rnacentral:lncRNA from 1 species
GAAUUAUUAUAAAGAUACAAGGUAGCCAAGUUGGUCAAGUUACCUAAAGAACAAGGGAUUGAGCCACUGAGUUUGUUAAUGCUCAAGUUCAUAUCAGAAAGAGACUUCAAGUUUCCUAUUCCACCUGGAAUUGAGCCAGAAAGUGAAUUGUUAUAAAGAUACAAGGUAGCCAAGUUGGUCAAGUUACUUAGAGAAUGCGGGAUUAAGUCUUCCAAAUAAUUUGAGUACAAAGCAAGGUUGUUUAGAGAACUUAAUCUGCCUAUUUCAAGAGGAAUGGAGCCACUUAGCUGAUUUUUGAACAAGUGAAGGGUCUUAAGAUAACUUAGGUGGCCAAUUUGUGGUGGUAUGGCACCAGAAAACGAAUUGGAUGAUAAAUCAAGAUACUUGAGUUUUGAAAUGUUACCAAUUUGAGGCGGGAUAUUUCCAAAGAGUUGAUUGCUCCAAAGAUCAAGAUACACAAGACGAGGAAACGAGGAGAAUGAGAAAUCAUGAAGCGUACCUUUUAAUCCUAUACUUGUGAGGUUAAUACUAUUGACUCUUCCACCAUGGUUGCAAUGAAUUCCAACCCAAGCACACGGCCCUGUUUUGAUGACGUUGUUAAGGGUCCAUGAAGAUAGGGGAGAUUCAUUAUUAUGAUUUUGAAGGCUAGUUUUCCAUCUGAGAAGUGCGUGGGCUUCUUCCAUAUAAUAAGAAGAAACAGUCAGUUGAAAAUUUAAAGCACAAAAUAGGAUUAAAAAAACCAGUGAGAAAAUUACUAAAUCGUUUCUUAAGUUUGGUAACACCAUUGCGUAGUGGGAGAUCGACUAAGACUCGAUAAUUAUAAAAAGAGUAGAGAACAACUGAAGAUAAGAACAACAAGAAUUAAAGAUUAGCUAGACAAGGUAGAUAGAAAUAAACAUCUAGGAAUGAUGGAUGUACAAAGAAACACACUGGAAGGCAAAUUUAUAGUAACUAUAUAUAUUCAAGAGAGCAAAUGAGGUAAUAGAAUCAAUUAGGUGAGGCAACAAGUCAAUGCGUCAACCUCUCUAAAGUAUACUAGUUGUUGCUAGGGAAAAAAAUUGGUUUUCAUUAAUUUUAUUAGUUAUCUAUCAAUUGAAGGCCUUAUUAAUGCUUUGUGUGUGUGUGUGUGUUAGUUUUCUAAUCUGAGACUUUAAAAUAAGGAAAAGUUUGAAAAACCUUUAAGGUCUCACAGUUUUAAAAUUUUUCCAAACUUUCCCACACUUUAAACAUCUGGAUUAAAAACUUUAUGUGUAAUUAAUGAAGACUAAAUAGUACAUUCUGUCCAAUCUACCAAGAUGUCAUCUAAAAAACCAAUGCACGAGGAUUGACGAAGAAAUUAAAUACUAGUUAUGUAUGUUAAACUAAUUCUAUUGUAACAAGUGAGUGACAUGUUAAAGAAAAAAAAAUUGAGUAGUGCUACACAUUCUUAAGUUUUUGUUUUUAUUUUAAAAAAUUAUGUCAAAUAAUGUAGCAUUUAUCAAUUGGCUGAUAAGAUUAUACAAUUAAUUCACUUAGUUUUUAUAAAGAAUUAUCAUCUACUUAAAGAAUGAUAUAUUAUUUAAGAUGAAAUUUAGAUUAUCUAUCAUUAUUGAAAAAAAUUCUAUAUCAUCCAAAAUUGAAUCAAAAAGUGAAUUUUUACAAAAAUACCAAAUAGUUAAGUUGGUCAAAUUAGUUAAAUGAUGUGGGAUUAAGGCAUUGAGUUUAUCCAUCCAUGCCGCUACGUGAAGUGUUUGAAUCCUAAAACUGGGAUAUCUCAUUGAGUUUAGAUGCAUGGUUGAUUCGCCAAGCUUCUCUAUACGAUUCAAAAUACUUGAUAUUUAAGGAAAAAAAAAAAAAACUCGGUAGAUAUUAAAGGUACAAAUCAAUUAAUUUACUUAUAAGAAUUCUAUCUGAAGCCGUAUCGGUCAAUGACGUCGCCGAUAAUAAUUACACUGACCAUUUGCCUCUGCUCCUUUCUCAUACAGAUGAAAAAAUGUAAAACAUCAAAUCUUUUAAUCUUUCAUUUUUGGUUUUAUUAUUGCAUAAUUUCAUGAAAUUUUUUCGGAAAGCUUAAAAUGUUUUGCUUUAUAGAUUCAGAAAGCUUAAUGAUCAGAGCACAGGAUCCUUUGAUAUUUAUUGAUCUAAAAUUUUUGGCUUAAUGUUCAUAAGAAUAUAUUUUAAUUUGUUAGAUUUCUAUUUGAAGCUGGUUCAGCUAUUCAGGCAGACCAGUUAGUUUAAUUAGCUGAUUUUAUUGUUAAAUCUUUACUCUUCUUUCAAUUCAAUUUCUGUUCUAAAUAAAGGGAAAAUUAAACAAGACUUAAAUUAAGAUAUUUGUAAAAUCAUAACAUUUUUUAUUUACAUUUCAUUAAUAAAUUUUACUUUGAUAUACUUUAAAAUUAAUUUAAGUCUUGUUUAAAUAAAUAUUCUAAUUGUUUUAUGUUUAUAAUUUAUUAAAUGAAUAAAUAAAUAUCAUGAUUUUAAUAAAUACAAUUAUAAAUAUCAUGAUUUUAUAAAUGAUCAAUAAAAAAAUUUAUGACAUUAAUAUUUCAUUUAUGAAAUCAUAAUUUAAUUAAUAGUUAAUGGAGAUAUGUUUUAUAUGUGAAUGAAAUAUUUUUCAUAUUUAUACACAAAAAUAAAGUUAUGAACGAAAUAUUUUUUAUGAUAAAUUAAAAAUUGCAUUUUCGUUCAAUGGAGUUCAAGUGCAAUAAUAAUAUUAGUAGUUUAAAUAAAAUUAGAUGUAAUUGUUAUUUCAGGAUUGUAAUUUUAAUUUUCAUUAAUCAUUACUAUGAUCUAUGGAAUUAAAUUUAUGCAUUGUUGUGUUAUGAUUGGUUAUUGUGAAAUUAAAUAUAUAGUUUUGAAAUUGUGAUAAACUGAUAAUAAAAUAUUAAUUGCUCUCUUAAUAAAAAUUAUUAUUAUUAUUAUUAUUAUUAUGGAUAAGAAGAUAAUUGGUCCAUAUCUGUUGCCCAAUUAGAUUUUAUAUAGCUUAACUCGGCCCUUGAAUUUUAGUAAUUGAAUGUUCGGUCAAAUCGGCACUUGAAUUUUAUAUGUGUUUAGAACCAACGAAAACCUACAAAGAAUAUGAACCGUCACGGUAUUACAAAAUGCCAACAUAUCAUCUCUGAAAAUUUAAUGCACGACGAUUGACGAAGGGGAAAAAAAAAAAGGAAAGAGAAGAAAGGAUUGCGUCUUCAAUCAGUUAAGGAGGUCAAUAGAGUCGACUCUGAAAAGUUUUUCCACAAAGAUUAAUGGGCAAAAUUGACCCCUGCUUUUUUGAAUGGAUCCUGACUAGCGAAAUUGUUUGCUGGGCAUUUAUUUGUUUCUCAAAAGAUAUGUCUGUCAGUAAAUAGAAAAAUUAAAGCAACACACCGUGCCUUCCUAUACCCUUUCGUUAUAAUAAUUAAUAUGCACUUUGAUGAAGAUGAUAAAUAUAUAAAUAGUAAAUAUUUAUAAUUAACUUAAAAAAAUGAAAUCAAUUAACUAGUGAACGCAUGAAGUAAUGCGAAAUUAAUGGAAGCCACACAUGCAAAGUUGCAAACUACUUAUCCACCAUGAGGUUGAAAAAAUCAAUGUGCAUGGCAGCAUGUGUAUAUAAUACGAUAAUACAAUGGAUAAGAAGAUAAUUGGACCAUAUCUGUUGCCCAAUUAGAUUUUAUAUAGCUUAACUCGGCCCUUGAAUUUUAGUAAUUGAAUGUUCGGUCAAAUCGGCACUUGAAUUUUAUAUGUGUUUAGAACCAACGAAAACCUACAAAGAAUAUGAACCGUCACGGUAUUACAAAAUGCCAACAUAUCAUCUCUGAAAAUUUAAUGCACGACGAUUGACGAAUCGGGAAAAAAAAAAGGAAAGAGAAGAAAGGAUUGCGUCUCCAAUCAGCUAAGGAGGUCAAUAGAGUCGACUCUGAAAAGUUUUUCCACAAAGAUUAAUGGGCAAAAUUGACCCCUGCUUUUUUGAAUGGAUCCUGACUAGCGAAAUUGUUUGCUGGGCAUUUAUUUGUUUCUCAAAAGACAUGUCUGUCAGUAAAUAGAAAAAUUAAAGCAAUACACUGUGCCUUCCUAUACCCUUUCGUUAUAAUAAUUAGGGGUGGGCACGGUUCGGUUCGGUUAGGAUAGAAAUUAAGUAGAACCGAUUUAAAUCGGUUAUUUUAUAAAAAGUACCGAAUAAGAAUCGAACUCAAACGGAUCUUUUCAGAUCGGUUCGGUUUGGUUCGGUUUUUUCGGUUCUGGACCUAUUAGGCCUAUUUUGAAUUUUUAAAUUUUUAACCCAUUGGACCUCAUAAAUGUAAUAAUUUUUUUCAACAAUUAGUUCAUCCUAAUUUCAUUACAAAUAUUAACAAUAAAUACAAAGUAUUCAAAACACAUUUUAUCACUAAUAUCUUACUAACUACUAAUAAGGUACUCACAAAAUAUAAAAUAUUAAAAUUUCAAAAUACAUAACCAAACUCCAAUACUCCAUCUACAUAAACAUAAUCAUAAUGUUGUAAAGACAAAUAAAAAUAACAACAAUUACAACUUACAACACAAAAUAAAAAGAAAAUUUAGAAACAAACGCCAACAACAUUCUCCCAUCUUCAUCAAUAUCAACAUCAACUUUAGGCAUUUUCCAACUCAAUAUUUGGAUCUACAAAAAAAAUUAAACACAUGUCGAUUUGAAUAAAAUCUAAAAUUAAUUCGGUUUUUUGGUUCAGCUGAGUGAACCGAAUACCGAACCGACAUUUCGGUUUUUUUUUACAAAUGAUAUAUUUCGAUUUUUUUAAAAUAAAAACCGAUCCGAAUUAGAAAAAACCGCCGGUUCGGUUCAGUACUUUUAAGACCACGGUUUUUUUUGCCCACCCCUAAUAAUAAUUAAUAUGUACUUUGAUGAAGAUGAUAAAUAUAUAAAUAGUAAAUAUUUAGCAAACUUUGGAUCUAAUUAUAUUGAGAUAUAUUGUCAAAGGCAAACUCAGGAUCUUAAAGUACACCAGACUAAAUUAAAAGUUAAACUUUUAAAAUGGGUAUGAAAUUUCAUAAGUAGAAAAAUGAGAAAAAAAAAAUGCACCAGACAAAAUGAGUAAAAUAUUCUUAUGGACUGACUGAAUAAAUAUAUCAAACUUUAAGGACAAAUUUAUCCUUCACGGAAAGAGCAAAAUAAAUUAAUUUAUCCACCACAAAGAGUAAGUUAUUAAGUUAAGAUAAAAUACGAGGAAAAAACAUACUCGCAUGACAAAAUAUACUGAAUUAGAAUGUGUGUUUUACUUAUCUUUUAGUUUAUCUUGUAACUUAAUAACUUAAAGAAUCUCUUGUUAGAUAAUAACUCUAAUUUAGAUAUUGUAAAAAAUUAAGUGACUGACAAGUUAUGUACAUAAAACAACAAACAAACUUAUGAUGUAAAAUACAUAAACCAUAACAGGUUUAUGCAGUGACAAAAUACAAUGCAUUAGGGUAUGUAUUUUACUUAUCUUUUAUUUUAUCUCUUAACUUAAUAACUUAAAGUAGAGAUGGUAAAAUCUGGAUCCGGAUCUACAUUGAAGUUUUGAUAUCUAGAUAAACAAAAAAUAUGCAGAUUCGGAUGUGGGUAAAUCCGCAUAGAUUGCGGGUAGAUUUUUCGGAUAAUCAGAUCUGCAUAAUAGUAAAUUCAAAUAUAAUUUUAAAUUCAACAAUUUACCUAAUAAUAUCAAUAAAAUCUAAUUAUAAUCCAACAAUUUAAUAUCAAUUCAACAUAAAUAACAUACAACAAUACCAUAAAUCCACAAAUAAAAAUUUCACAAUAUAAAUCAAACAUAGAAAAAAAAAAUCUAAGGCAAACCAAUUGAUUACAAUAUUCUCUUCUUCUUCUUCUUCUUAUUAUUAUUAGUUUCUUAACAUAUUUUUCAAAGUCAAGGAAGAUUAUAGAGUUAAUUAUGCUUAUACAUAUUAAAUAAAUAAUUUUUAUGCUUAUACAUAUUAAAUAAAUAAUUUAACUUAUAUAUUUUAAUUGAAAUCUAAUUAAAAAUAAUGCAGAUCUGGAUAUCCGAUUUUCUGGAUUCACUUGCAUCCAGAUCCAAACAGAUCUUAGAUUUGAGACUCCGUAUAUGCAUUUUUUAAUAUAUAGAUAUGGAUUUUUUCAAUUCCGGAUUUGGAUCUUCUGGAUCUUUGCGGAUGCGGGCUGAACCCCGAUUUUUUUGUCAUCCCUAACUUAAAAUAUCUCUUAUUAGAUAAUGAUUCCAAUUUACAUUAUGUAAAAGAUUAACUGAUUGACAAGUUAUGCACAUAAAACAACAAACAAACUUGUGACGUAAAUUACAUAAACCAUGACAGGCUAUAUAUUUGUAUCGAAAACUUAUAAAUAAUGAAAAAGAAUUGCAUACUGUAAAAUAAAUCUAAAAAUUAUUAAAAAAAGAUAAAACAGUACUUAUUUUCUUAUUCAAUUUUUUUAAUUUGUUUGUUAUUUAAAAAAUUGGUUGGUAAAUCAAUGUAUUCCUUUUCAUAGUUGGAUAAAAAAAUUAUACAUCAAUGAAAUAUUUUUUGUUACGUUUAAGCUUAAUUUUAAGAAACUAAAACCACAAUUAGAGAUUGCGUCUUCAAUCAAUUAUCCAGAAAAUGAGAAGGAUGGAUUUUAUAGUUCUACCCAUCAGUUAAGGAGGUCAAUGAAGUCAACACUCAAAAGUUUUUCCACAAAGAUUAAUGGACAAAAUUGACCUUUGGCUUUUUGGAUCUUGAGCGACUAACCAAUUUGUUUACUGGGCAUUAUCCCUCCGAAGAUAAUGUCUGUAUCAGUAAAUAGAAAAGUCGAUCAAUUCCAAAUCAAAGCAACAAACUGUGCUUUUAAAUACCCAUUUGUCAUAAUAAUGUGCACUUUGAAUAAGAGGGUGGCAAUAAUAUUGUUUUGUCAAAUCAGCCAUUGAAUUUAUAUGCUUCGUUCUUCAACGAAAAUCUACAAAGAAUAUGAACCGUCACGGUAUUACAAAAUGCCAACAUAUCAAUUCUAAAAAUCUAAUGCACGACGAUUGACGAACUGAAAAAAGAAAAAAGGAUGGCGUCUUUAAUCAGUUAAGGAGGUCAAAAGAGGCAACUCUCAAAGUUUUUCCACAAAGAUUAAUGGGCAAAAUUGACCUCUGCGUUUUUGGGUCCUGACUAACAAAAUUGUUUGCUGGGCACUUGUUUCCCUGUGUUAGUAAAUAGAAAAAAUCAAAGCAACAGUCAGUGCCUUCCUAUACCCUUUUUGUUAUAGUGAUAACUUUGAUGAAGAUGGUAAAUAUAUAAAUAGUAAACAUUUAGCAAACUUUGGAUCUAAUUAAAUUGAGAUAUAUAGUCGAAGGGGAACUCAGGAUCUUAAAGUACACCAGGCUAAAUUAAAAGUUAAACUUUAAAAUGAGUAUCAAAAUUUCAUAACUGGAAAAUGAAAAAAAAAUGCACCUAAUAAAAUGAGUAAAAUGUUAAUACCGUUUUCGUUAUUUUCAGUAGAUAAUAAUUUAUUAAUUUAAAGCAAAAGAAAAGAUUGUACAAGAAAAAAAAAACUCUUAAUGAACUAGAGUUCGCAAAAUUAUAUUCAUAAUAAUUGGCUAAUAUUCUCUACACCAUUGGUCUAGAUUGUGGAUUCUCAUCUAAACAUGCAAAUUGAAAUAUUUUUGAAAUAAUUAUUGUAAGCCAAUGUUUAACAUAAUACUCUAUGCUUAUGCUUCAAAAGAUAAUUAUAGGCUAUACGUCACUUGAGUUAACUAUAUAGGACUUAAACAACCCUUAAACUCUUGAGUUAAGCCUGUAGGCAUUUUAUAGAAAAUUAAAUGUUGGAUUUUUAAUCCAAUGUUGUUCGAUCCUUAAUCCAACGUUGGGCUUGUAGUAAGUAAUUAUGUAUUGCAGACUAUCAUAUAAGGUUAAGCCCAAUUAAAAAUGAUCUACUAAGGUUUUUAGUAAUCUGAGCUUUAAUGUAUCUAAUAAAAUGUAGGCCUUUAACAUAUAGAUACUUAGGAUAAUUUCUAUUUCUAUGAUAGGUAUAAAUAAAAAUACCUAAAGAUAACAGGAAACAUUUUCUAUAUAAGUGGUUAUGGUCCCCAAGUCACAUGAAACAAUCCUAUUCUCUUCCGACAUCCCAUCAUCAGAGAGAGUGGAGAGGGAAAGUUGAAAGGGUUCUCUGGGAUAACGUGUUGAUAUGAAAGACGAACCACACAAAUCUAAAACGCAAUUGAGCGUUAUAGAUUUAGGUACACUUCUGCAUAUUCUGUUAUUAAUUCUUAGUGAUAUAACAUAAAUGCUACUGGAUUAUAGGUGAUGGUUUUCACCAAAAUAAUUUAUUGUUCUAACAUUAAUGACUUUUUAACGGCAAGAAAUUUUUAAUGGAUUUUGAAACAUAAGGGAGAAAAUGAUAUAUAAUUUUAACAAAUAAUACGAGAAUUUUGACCAUUUUCUCAUUUAAUUUACCUCAAAUUUGCAAGAUUGAGGAAGUUCAUGACAAAUAGUCAUGUACAUACGCUUGUUGGAGGGGGGCAAUUUUUUCCAUCGUUCUUGUAAUCCCAUCCUAAAUUCAAAGUUACUAUAUUGCAGAUCUACUUUCAAUUCCAUGCUCCCAAGCUUAAAAUUCUAAUUCAUCUAAAGAGGAUGAUUUUUUGUACAGUCUGGUGGAUACAACCAGCAGUGCAAGAGGUUGUGAUUGACAGUUUUUUAGAUGCUAAUCAUACUCCAAAUAAUCUAGCUUCAUGGAAGGAAAGGGUGGCUGAUGAUUUGUUUCAAGCCCUUGACAACCCUCUGACUCAUCUUGAUCAGCAUAUGUUGAGUGGCCAAAGGCCUGAUUUUGUUAAAGACUAUGAAACAUUUGACUAAAGAAAUGUGACUUCAAAAUAUAGUGAAGCCAUUACUAGAAAAAUGGUCUUUACUGACAUUAGAAUAGUAUUAGUAAUUACUUUUAGUGACACUUGUUAAUUGUGUCAGUAAUCUAGCAGGCAAAAACAUAGUGACACUUUUUUGUGGUGUCAAUGAUUACUAUUACUACUGUAUUACAAGUUUUAUGAUACUAUGAUAUUAGUAGUUACUAUUAAUUAUUGUGUGUCAGUAGUUCGUUUCACUAUAGUAUCAUGAAUAUUAUGACACUAUGGCGAUGGUGUUUACUAACAAUAAUUACAUGUCAAUAGUUUGUUUUACACCACGAAUAUGACAUGAUAGAAUGAAUAAAUACAAAUAUUUUAUUGUCAGUAAUUAGUAUUGCUAUAAUAUCACUAGUAUUAUGUCACAUUGGAGUUGUUAAUUUUUUAUACAUUUUUUUAGUGUCGAUGACUUUUAGUUGAAUUUAUCUCUUGGCAUUUCUAUUGUUACUUUAUUGUUUUCAUUGUUCUUUUAGUUUUGCCAAUCAAACGAUGGUAUUCAAAGAAAAUAUUAAAAUUAAAUUGAAGUACUAAACUGAAUAAUUAAAUAUAAGUAUACAAUAUUCCCAAUAAAAUUUAAAUAAGUAUCAAAUGAAACACAAAUACAAAUAACUUAAAUAUAGUUUGAAAAAUCGCAAAUAUAGUUCGAAAACAACAUAAUGAUAGUUUGCAGAAAUCAAUCAAUUAUCCUCAAUACAUUUACUCUUUGACCUUUGCCUUCUCCUUCAUCUUUCCCGCCUACAAGUAUAAUAAAUGGAAUCAAUUAGCUAGUAUGCUACAUAAAUCAAUUGUUGGAUAUUUACAAGCAAAAAUAUAUUUAUAAUUUACCUGAUUAUUGUAUGCUACAAUUAACUUUACAACAUACAUGGUCUACUCAUCGCGAAGUAGCAAAAUAUCAUAUGUAGUGUAUUUAUCACAGCCAUUGAACUUCAAAAAUAAAGCAACAAAAUAUAUACAUAUUUUUUGAAUUUUGUCCUAAAAUAAAACAACAAAAUAAAUACAUAUAUUUUUAAAUCUGUUGUGAUUAACAUAAAAGAAAGGCCUAAGAAGCUGAUAAUUUAUAAUAAUUAUUUUGCUUCACUCAAUAUUCCUUUACCACUCAACAUUGGGCUUCAUAUGCUUUAUGUUUCUACAUGCAACAACUCCAGUCGUUACGGUUUGCACUAAAGUGCCUAAGUGAAUAGUAGAACACACUGAAAAUUGGCAUUAAUUUUGCCAAACAACAUCUUGAAUGCAUUCAACAAAAUAUUGAUGGGUUAUGUUCAACUAAUGCAUCUACCUACUCCAUUUAAAACUACAUUAGGAUAAAAUCUAGAUAUAUAUGGUGUUGUAACUUUUACCUAUAACAAAUAUGUCAAAUAAAGUGUAUGUGAUUAUCCUAAACAUAUAAGGUACUUCCUCUCGUCCCUAGCAAAAGAUAUGAUUAUAUUGCUAUUUCCAAGCAUCAAGCAGGAAACAAUUCAGCAAACAAUUCAUCUUCACAAUUCACAUAAAUAACAAGAAGUAUUUUAUAAACAAUGGCAAUAUUAAACAUUGUUCUUCAGAAAAUUCAUCCUACAAUGCACUCUUCAACAAUAGAUUAAAAAACGUUGUAGAAGAACUUACAUUGUUUUCAAGAAUAUACAAAUCUCAAACAAUAUCUUAGUUGUACUUCAUCACAUAAUAACCACAUUCAAAGGUUCCAGGUUGUUUCAGAACCUAAAAAAUAAAAAAUUGGUUUCAAAUAAACUGAUGAAAGUAACAAUGAAAGUUACAACUUUGUUUCAUUAAUACCUUCAUAGAGACCCGUUGCACAAUCUUCUUUUUGGUAGUCCUCACUUGAUGCAUUGUUUCCCAAUAUAAGCAUUCAAUAAUGUAUGUCAAUAAAAUUAAUCCACAACAUUAAAAAAUAAACAAAAAUUAAGUAAACCAAUCAAGCUUAUUCACCAUCAUCAUCAGGAUUAUUACCUUGUGCGUCAAGAUAAUAUAUUUUGCGCCUCACUAUAUCAAUUACUACUAGCACCCAGUGGCCACUAAACAAAAAAAUAAAUAAAUAAAAUGGACAAAAAAUAAAUGAACUAUACCUAGGUUAUAUUGGAAUACAAUGAUCUGGGUUAUUUGUAUCUUAUCUAAAAGGUCUGAAAUAUAGGAACACUAAUUUAGAUAACUUGUUUGAGUUGAAUGUAACUUAGCUAUCCAUCCAAAUUGAAUUGGAAUAACAUCACCACCAUUAUCCAUCUCCUCAUACAAUUGUCUAUUAAAAAAAGAAACUUGUAUGACAUAAAUAUAACAGAUAAAUUAAUGACAGUUUGGAAAAUCAGAAAACAUAAUAAAAACAUAAAUCAAGUUUUUUUUUCCUUACUUCAUCCAUAUCUCAAUAAGAAAAUUUGAGAGCUUUGUAAACUCAAUGAAUUUAUUGCAAAUAUGUUUGUCCAAUCUACUCUUCUAGUAGACACCAAAAGUUUUCAGAUCAUGUGCAAUCAUAAUCGAUCGUGGUGGGGGAGCUCGCAAUCAUCAAGGAAAAUAUGUUCAUUUGUGAACUCUUGUUCUCCUUUCUUGCUUUCAUAGCUCCACAGUUAUUCUUUCUCAGAAUAAGUUUCCUAGGUGUCACUGGUUUCAUAAUAACGGGUUCCUUUAUUGUUCUUUUCUCUUCAUAUAGAUAUACCUCAUCAUUUGUAGGAGACUUUAGGCCAUCAACUUUUUUCUUUGAAAGAGUCAAUCUUAAAGAUCUUCUUAGGGUAAUUUUUAAAGUGGCUUCACAAUCUACUUAGGGUGGAUUCUACGCAAGAGCUGGCAGGGGAAGUGUGUUGAUGUUUUUGUUAGAUUUUAAACAAACAGUCAGGUCAUUGGUCAAUGUCUUUGGAGUAACUUUGGUCACUGACUUUGGAGUAGCUUUGAGGUUAUUGGUCACUGACUUUAGAGUAACUUUGGUGGGGAAUAGACGAUCCAUCUCUAUCUUAACACUGCAACCACCUUUGGAGUUAGGAAAAUUGAAAUUGCUAACUUCGGUGUUGUAGCAUGUAUUUAUCCUUGCAUUCAUUUGAUCUAAUUGAGGUUGUAUAAAUUAGAGACUCUCUUGAUACAUUCUUCGUUCUCGCGUCAACUCAGUAGAAUCAGGAAUAUUGAAAUACAUGGAUGGGGUGAUCAAUUAACCCAAUAUUUGCACCCAACUUCUAUUAGGCUUCUUCUGAAGGGCUUCACCUAGGAUAUCAUUUGGUCCUUGGGAUUGGAAUGUUCCCUGCUGAGCCAGGCUUCUUAGCUCACUCUAUAAAUUAAAUACAAAAAGAUUUGAUCAAAAUUAGGAAUUAAAAAAAAUAAGUUAAAUGAUGACAGCCAAAAUGUACAUCUCAUUACUAGCAUUUUUCGAAAGAAAUAAAGCAACCUCAUUUGUUAAUUUAGAGGCACUUGGAUUAUUAUUCACUAACAGUCAUCAAUAACAAACAGAAAACCAGAAUUAAUUGCAAGCCUUAAAUCAAACAAACUUUAUAAAUUAUGAUCUUAUCCUCAACGCUCGGUUGCCUAUUACAAACAAGAAACACUACGUUUGCAAAAAAGUCAAUAAAUUCUAUCCAAUCAAAUUCUAAGAAAGCUUAAGGCAUUAAUAAGCAAAGAAAAUUCAAUAUAAAUUAAAAAAUGCCAAAUAAAGUUAUGUAUUGCUGUCUCUUUUUAUUUUUUCAGGUGCCCGUAACACAUUGCACCACAUGGUUUAAAUCACAAAACAAUGUCAGUCUAGCCUAUGGUUGCGGUAGCUGAUUUAUUAUUAUAAAUAACUUUUAGUGGUAUAUACGAUAAUUUCAAUUUAAUGAAAAUGAGAUAUCUGUUUAACAUGGUUUAUGUGAUAAAAAGUCAUAUAGAAUUAUAGAUUUAUCUUAUAUAGUCGAAUUAUAAAAUAAUUUAGGCAGCUUUCAGUUUCAGGCAAUUUGCAUUUGUGAACACUUUUUAAUUUCAAGCGAUUCUUAAAGGCACAAUAGUAUUCUCUCAGCCACUUGCUGCACUUUAGGGGUAUAACUUUUAUUCUUUUUUGUGAGCCAAUAACCAGGCUUUACUGCGAUCAAUCUUAUGCUCAGAAACUCCAAGGUCCAACUUCUGCAACAAUUCGAUAAAAAGUAAAAUGAAAUUUGCUUUGAAUCACCUUAUUAUUUUUCUUAAAAAUAUUCUAAGUUUUUAUAGAGUGGUUAUUAUGCUUGCUUUUUUAUGCAACAACCUAGCAUAUCUUGUGUUGCCUAAAUGAUGAUUGUACACAUUAUUCAUUCUUCUAUCCUUUGUUACCUUACUUUUUUCGUGCACAAAUUAGAUAUUGAUUAAAAUGGUUACAAGCACUCAAUAAUGUUAUCCAACUAACAAAAUUUUAAACAUAUUGGAAAGUCUUUGGACAAAACCUUAUCAAUAAAGCUUUUCUAAUCUCGUACUCAAAUGGAGGCUUUUUCAGUGAAUUUAAGUUGUUUGUAUUGGGCAGAAUAUAAUCGUUUGCCAACUCCCAUCAAUUUGAACACUUGGGUUUUGGCCUUAAGACCCAAUUUGAACUUUUUCUGAAUAUAAUUCUAUAAUGUCUCUUUGAUGUCCAGUGGUACUUUCCUCCAAUCAUCACAUAUGAUUAGAACUCUUUCUUAUACAAUCACCUUGAUGUAAUUCCUCAAAUCGUUUCUCUUCUUUCCAGCCAGAACUCUAUAUCAAUUGUAUAUAACCUCAAUCUCGUCACUAACUCCUUUCUGUAAGUCUUUCUUCUUUGUAAGGUUUCGUCUUAGUCUUCCUUCGAGAUCUGGAUCAUAUGUCGGCUUCUUACUUUCUGCCAUGUCUCUAACAAACCUGCAAAUAUAUAAAGUAGAUAAAUGCAUCAGAUAUCAAUAUAAUAAUAAAAACAAGUUAGUUGCUUACUUACGGGAAGUAGUGCUAACAAGGUAUAAUAAUUGAAUUGUUCAUUUUCCUCAAUAUUUACAUGAAACGAUUUAGCAUUUGAUCUUAUACAAAUUCCUCAUCGCCUAUAUCCAACUUACAUUUUGGAAGAUUGUUGGAUAAUGGUUCAUACACAUCCAUAUCAUCACACCCAGCCCCAUUUGAAUAAUUACAUUUUUCACUCACUGAACAAAUAAUUUAUUUACCAUUAUCUAGUUGGUUUUUCAUACAAGACACUUGCUUUGUAUAACUAGCUAGAAUAAAACAAUCAGAUUUGUAACCUAUCCGAUCUAAAUUAACUAUAGUGAAUCCUAACUCAUCAAUUGUUAAUCCCUCUAUCAUCUAUCUAAUCACACUUGAAAAGUACUUUCUUAACCCCUAGAUAAUCAAGUUGUCAGAUUUCAUCGACAACCUCGUAAAAAGGCGUAUCCCUAUAAUCAUGAUUUUGAUCUUUUGAGCUUGAAAUCUAUAAAGCUUUAGCAACAACAUGAACACCAUUGUUGUGUUACAUGGUUGCUUUCUCGAUUUCUUGUAACAAAAUUAAAACCAUUAAUAUAGUAGCCUUUAUAAGUAACCACGCUUGAGCGCAAUUUGUUUGCCAACCACCAUUCUAUUUCGUCAACUGCUACAUUAUUUACUUUAUCAGUAGUUACUUAUUGUUUCAAAUUAUAAAAUCACAGUAAUAAGUUAAAUGAGAAAAGUUUGUUUACCUUUACUUGGGUACUUUUAUUAGAUUUAAUGAAGCUAAUCUAACCUUUUGUUUUAGCCAAUCAACAAAUGUACGAAAGUGUUUGGUUGGCAACCAUAAAGGCCUUUUUAAUUGUCGAGAGUGUUUUGAUUGCAAUAAGGCCAAAUGAUCCUAAAAUUAUACCAGAAGAGUUAAUAAAAUUUUAAUAAAGUUAAUAUAAAUCAACAAAAGUUUUCAGUCUAUAUAUGGUUGAAUCUGGGGGUGUACACCAAAACACAUCGGUGCACGUGCGCCAAUGUAGGGACAUCAACCACCUUAAUAUUUACAUCUUCAAAUGGCCUUUUGAUUAUAAAAUCAAUUUGACAACCAGUAGGCAAUCUAAUUCAUUCAUAAUUUAAAAGGUACUUAACACAAAAUUCAAAUGAUUCCUAAGUAUUGUAGCACUCUACAAUGCAACCUUCAAGAUAGUUUUGGUUGCAAACACAACCCUUUAAAGGUUUCAUUUCUCUCUCAAAUGGAUACAUUCAUCAAAGGUAAACUGGGCCAUAUAACCUAACUUCUUCCGCUAAAUGGACCAUUAUAUCAAAGAAGGCAGGUAAGAAGUAGUGUUCUAAGUUGUAUAAGAUGAUUUUAAGUUACUUUUGCAAUUGUUUUAGAGGAUCUGACUCUACUACCUUAGAACACAAAGAAUUAAAAAAGAGUCACAAUCGGAUUAUGACAGAUAUGACAUUUUAAGGAAAAUAAUUCUAAAUUGCCAAUGGUAGAAGUUGUUGCAUCAAAAUAUGAAAAAUAAGACUUAAGCCUGUGAAGACGAUAAUCAUCCAUUGAAACAAGGUUUCUAAAGUUAGAACAAUAACCAUCAGGAACUUUAACACCUUGCAAGGUUUCACAUAAUAAUUUUUUUUCUUUCUUACUAAAAGUAUAUAGGGCAGGCAACAAGACUUUGUUUUGUUCAUCAAGAGCUAAUGUAAUAAAUGCUUUGAUGUUUUUUUUUUCUCUAAGCUCUGGGUGUGAGAUCUUUUUAGCAUUAAUUCCAUCUUUUGUUUUCCCUGGUUGAUAAAUUAAUGUGCCAUAAAUGCUCUCGCAUACAUUUUUCUCAAUGUGCAUCACAUCUAGUUAAUGGCGAACUAACAAGUGUUUCCAAUAUUCUAAAUCAAAGAAUAUUGAUUUUUUUUUAUAACAACUAAGCUACAUCUUUAUUACCCUCACCCUCAUACUCACCCUUACCCUCAUCCUUACUAUUACCCUUACCUUUACCAUCACCCUUACCCUUAUCCAUACUAUUACCCUCACCCUUACCAUCACCCUUAGCUUCACCAAGUUUUCACUUUUUUUAGACCUUUUUCCUAAACUUGGUGUCAAUGUCAGCCACCGAGUUUAAAAUCUCCACACCAGACAAAGGCCUAGGAGAGUUUUUAAGAAUCUGUAUGUGCCAUGUAUAUGGCAUUUUUUGAUUAUGCGGCAGCCAACAUGCAUAUAUAUUUAUCCCACAAACUGAAUAACCACAAUAUCCUUUAACAGUAUACUCGGGCAGGUUCCCUGUGAAGCCUGAUUAGUUAAUUCUGUUAUGUGACUAAGUGGCGUGCUGAGUCAGCUUAUAUAUGGGGCCAGAGUUAGUUAAUUCGUUACUGCUAACAGCUGGACAACAGAGCUAUAUAUACAUAGGCUCAGGGCUGAUCAACAGUGGGGUUAAAGUCACGAUUUUGAGAAGCCUAGGAUGAGAGAUAGAAAAUUCUCUGUAGGAGAGAUUUAAUCUUUGUCAUCAAUACUCUCAUUAUAAACACUUUGUUCAAUAAAAACUUCAAGCCCAGAGGGGUUUAUUUGGUCGUGGAUGUAGGUACUUUGGUACUGAACCACGUUAUAUUGUGUUCAUUGUUUCUGGUUCAUCUUCUUCUUGUUGUUGUUCUCUGGUUAUUUCUUGUGUUUGAUCUGGUUAGCUUUCUUGAUUAAAGAUUGUUGAUCUUGAAUCAUUUGGGUUCUAUAAGCUUAGGUUAUUUGAUUAAUUAGAGUGGAUCUUUAAGGAAUUCCACAACAAACUGGUAUCAGAGCAUUAAAAGAUCUCAGCUCUUGUUCACAAAUGGCUAGUACAAGAUUCGAUGUAGAAAAAUUUAAUGGAGAAAAUGACUUCUACCUAUGGAGUCUCAAGAUGCGUGCAAUCUUGAUCCAACAGGGGCUUGACAGUGCUCUUGAUAAUGAAGAAGAUCAGAUUGGCAAAAAGGAGAGAUCAGAAGGCUCCUCAAGCUUGGGUGGAGACAUAAGGUCUAUUAACAACAAAGCUCACAGCACCAUAAUCUUGCAUCUGUCUGAUGAAGUGCUGAGAGAGGUUGCUAAAGAAAAAUCUGCAUCUGGACUCUGGUCGAAACUUGAAGAACUAUUCUUGAAGAAGUCUUUGGCCAAGAGACUCUAUAUGAAAAGGAAGCUGUAUACAUUCUCAAUGAAGGAGGGAACAGCCAUGAAAGACCAUCUCGACGAAUUCAACAAGCUAAUCCUGGAUCUUGAGAAUGUUAAUGUGAACCUUGAAGAUGAAGACAGAGCUCUUAUCUUGUUAAGCUCACUGCCAGAUUCAUAUGAGCACUUUGUUGACACAUUACUGUAUGGGAGACAGACCCUUACAUUAAAAGAUGUGAAGAAUGCUCUAGAAUCAAAAGAAUUAAAGAAAAGAGCUGAGGGAAAAGAUCAGGGCCUUGGUGAAGGUCUGAUGGCCAAAUCAAAACCUGAAAGAAGAAGAAUCAUGACAAGAAAAGUAACAAUCAAAAGGAUAAAGCUGACAAGAAAAAGAAGAAGAGGAAGUGCUAUUUCUGUCAGAAGGAAGGGCAUUACAUAAAGGAUUGUUUCGAGAAGAAGAAACUUGAAAAGAUCCAGAAAGAUUCAUUAGGGAAGGCAGCCAUUGCAUCAGAAGAUGAAGGGGAUUCAGAAGGGGCAGAUGUUCUCAUAGCUGCAGAAAAACAACCCACUAAAGAAUGGAUCUUGGACUCAGGUUGCUCCUUCCACAUGAGCCCAAACAAGCAACUCUUCAAGACUUUUGAGAAAGUUGAUACAGGUAAGGUUUUAUUGGGAAAUAACUUGGCCUGUAAGGUUGCUGGAAUUGGAACUGUUACCAUAACUAUGCAUGAUGGAGUAGAUAGAGAGCUAAAGAAUGUAAGAUAUGUUCCAGAGCUUAGAAGGAAUCUAAUAUCCUUAGGAACAGUUGACCAGUUAGGCUAUAGCAUUAAGGCAGAGAAUGGUGAACUCCAAGUUACAAAAAAUAGCAUGGUUAUAAUGAAGGGAAUAAGAAGAAAUGGGUUAUAUGUCCUAAUAAGCUCCCCUUCCUCUCCAGGAGUUAUAGCCUCUGUUAGUGGUGAUAAAACAAAGUUAUGGCACAUGAGAUUGGCUCACAUGAGUGAAAAGGGGUUAAGGGAAUUAGGCAAACAAGGUCUAAUUGGUUCUGGUCAGAUUUCAUCUCUGGAGUUCUGUGAAAAAUGUGUGUUUGGAAAGGCAACUCGACAGAGGUUUGGGACUGGGAAGCAAGAAACCAAGAAUUCAAUGGAUUACAUACAUUCAGAUAUAUGGGGUCCAUCCCAAGUGCCAUCACAUGGUGGAGCUAGGUACUUCAUGACACUGAUUGAUGACUAUACCAGGAAGGUUUGGGUUUAUAUCUUAAAGCAUAAGAGUGAAGCUCUGCUGAAGUUUAAGGAAUGGCUGACCUUAAUUGAAAAUCAAACAGACAGGAAGAUAAAGAGAUUAAGGACUGACAAUGGGCUGGAGUAUUGUAGUAAGGAUUUUGAUGAGUUUUGCAGAGAGAAAGGAAUUGCAAGGCACAAGACUGUUAGACACACACCCCAGCAAAAUGGGCUUGCUGAGAGGAUGAAUAGAACAUUAGUGGAAAAAGUAAGAUGUAUGUUGUUUAGUGCAAACCUCUCAAAACAUUUUUGGGCUGAAGCUGUCACCACUGCAGCAUACUUGAUAAAUAGAAGUCCCUCAUCAGCACUCAACUUCAGAACUCCACAAGAGGUUUGGUCUGGAAAACCUCCUGAUCUAAGCAAUCUGAGAAUCUUUGGCUCACCAGCUUAUGCUCAUAUCAACCAAGGAAAGCUUGAACCUAGGGCAAUUAAGGGUAUCUUUAUUGGUUACCCUGAAGGUGUUAAGGGAUACAGAAUAUGGUGCAUUGAUGGGAAACCUUCAAGGAUUAUAGUAAGCAGAGAUGUUGUAUUUGAUGAGGGUUCCAUGCUGCAGCAAAAGGUUGAAACUGAACUGACAAUUUCUGAGCAACCAGCAAACCAUAAGCCUAAUCUAGAGGUGGAGCUCACUGAUGAUCAUAAGGACACUGAUGAAGAGUCUAAGUCUUAUGACAGCAAAUCUAGAUCCUCAGAAAUGAAUAACUACCAGAUGGCAAGAGACAGAGAAAGGAGGGUUAUAAAAUUGCCUAAGAAAUAUGGCAUAGCAGACUUGAUAUCCUAUGCAUUGAAUGUUGCUGAAGAAGUUAUUGGGGAAGAGCCCAGCAGCUAUAAGCAAGCCAUGAACAGCAGGGAUAAAACAAAGUGGCUAUCAGCAAUGGAAGAAGAAAUAUCCUCAUUAAAGAAAAACAACACCUGGAUUUUGGUGAGAAAACCAGAAGAUAGGAAGCUGGUUGGAUGCAAGUGGAUCUUCAAACUUAAAGAUGGAGCUACAAGUGAAGAACCUCCUAGAUAUAAAGCUAGGCUGGUGGCAAAGGGCUUCACACAAAGAGAGGGGGUGGAUUACAGUGAAGUUUUUUCACCAGUGGUGAAAUAUAGCUCAAUAAGAGUGUUACUUGCAAUAACAACUUACCAUGAUUUGGAGCUGGACCAAAUGGAUGUCAAAACAGCCUUCCUACAUGGCAAUCUUGAAGAAUAGAUAUAUAUGGAACAGUCAGAAGGUUUCAUACAAAGGGAGUCUGAAGACAUGGUAUGUUUACUUAAAAAGAGCUUGUAUGGUUUAAAACAAUCCCCCAGGCAGUGGUACUUGAGGUUUGACCAAUUUAUGAUUGCUCAUGGUUACUUGAGAAGUCAAUAUGACAGCUGUGUAUACUGCAAAUUCCUUCCCUCUGGAGAUGGGAUAUAUUUGCUUCUCUAUGUGGAUGACAUGCUCAUUGCAUGCAAGCACAGAGAAGAAAUAGAAAAACUUAAAACUGAGCUAAGGGCUGAAUUUGAGAUGAAGGACCUUGGCUCUGCCAGCAAGAUUCUAGGAAUGCAGGUAAAAAGAGAUAGAGCUGCUAAGACUCUACUUCUUUCACAAGCUGGUUACAUCAAAAGAGUGCUCAGCAGGUUUGACAUGGUUACCUCUAAAGCUGUCUCCACCCCUUUAGGCACUCACUUCAAGCUGUCAAAGCAGCAAGAGCCAUCUGAUGAUGCAGAGACUGAGUAUAUGAAGAAAAUACCUUACUCUAGUGUGGUUGGAAGCAUUAUGUAUGCUAUGGUGUGCUCUAGACCUGAUAUUGCUUAUGGGGUAGGAGUAGUCAGCAGAUUCAUGGGGAACCCAGGAAAAAUGCAUUGGAGUGCUGCUAAGUGGAUACUUAGGUAUCUGUGUGGAUCAUCUGAUUCUGGUAUUUUGUUUAGUAGAGAUAACAAAGUCACAAGUAAAGUCAUAGGCUAUGUGGACUCAGACUUUGCUGGUGACUUAGACAAGAGAAGGUCUACUACUGGUUUUGUUUUCACCAUGUGUGGAGGAGCUGUAAGUUGGAAAGCAUCAUUGCAGUCAGUUGUUGCCUUAUCAACUACUGAAGCCGAAUACAUUGCACUUACUGAAGCUGUUAAAGAAGCUAAGUGGAUCAGAGGGAUAUAUCUGAAAUGGGGUUGACUCAGGAUACAAUUCCAAUCUGUUGUGACAGCUCAAGUGCAAUUCAGUUAAGCAAAAACUCCAAAUACCAUGAGAGGACAAAGCAUGUAGAUGUGAGGUUACAUUUCAUAAGAGAAGAAAUUGAAAGAGGGGUAGUGGAUGUUGUAAAGAUCUCUACUGAAGUCAAUCCAGCAGAUGCACUGACAAAACCAAUACCAACAGUCAAGUUCAGAAACUCUCUGAGCUUGAUUGGAGUUACAAGCUUGUAAGUCAAGCAUAUUAACUAUCUAAACCAGGUCUGGGUGAAGCUGGUACAGAAUCAACUAAGGUGGAGAUUUGUGAAGCCUGAUUAGUUAAUUCUGUUAUGUGACUAAGUGGCGUGCUGAGUCAGCUUAUAUGUGGGGCCAGAGUUAGUUAAUUCGUUACUGCUAACAGCUGGACAACAGAGCUAUAUAUACAUAGGCUCAGGGCUGAUCAACAGUGGGGUUAAAGUCACGAUUUUGAGAAGCCUAGGAUGAGAGAUAGAAAAUUCUCUGUAGGAGAGAUUUAAUCUUUGUCAUCAAUACUUUCAUUAUAAACACUUUGUUCAAUAAAAACUUCAAGCCCAGAGGGGUUUAUUUGGUCGUGGAUGUAGGUACUUUGGUACUGAACCACGUUAUAUUGUGUUCAUUGUUUCUGGUUCAUCUUCUUCUUGUUCUUGUUCUCUGGUUAUUUCUUGUGUUUGAUCUGGUUAGCUUUCUUGAUUAAAGAUUGUUGAUCUUGAAUCAUUUGGGUUCUAUAAGCUUAGGUUAUUUGAUUAAUUAGAGUGGAUCUUUAAGGAAUUCCACAACAUUCCCAUAUGCUGGGAAGUCACUAAUUGUCUACAUCAACACAACCCAUAAAUUAAAAGUUUGUUUCUUAUAUGCAUCAAACACAUCGACACUUGCAUCUCAUAGAGUUUUCAAGUUCUCAAUCAAUGGUGCUAGGUACACAUUUAUAUUAUUUCUAGGCUGUUUAGGGCUAGAUAUCAAUAGAGACAACAUUAUAAACUUCCUCUUCAUACAUAGUCAUAGAGGACGAUUAUAUGUUAUCAAUGUAAUAGGCCAACAACUAUUAGUUGUGCUAAGUGUGUUAUGUGAGUUAAUCCUAUCAAAUGAUAAAGCCAACCGAAGAUUUCUCGACUUUUGGGCAAAAUUAGGUCAUUUCUUGUCAACUAGCUACCAAGUCGAUGAAUCUGCUGUGUAGUAAAGCUUACCAUCCUUAAUUCUUUUAUUUUCAUGCCAUGUUAGGUUCUCAGUAGUUUUUGGUAAUUGAAACAUUCUUUUGAACCUAGGAACUAUAGGAAAAUACCAUAAUAACCUUUUAAGGACCUCCUUUCUAAUUUUUUUUUUUAUCUAUCUUUUCUUUUUUGCCACCUAGAUGCUCCACAGCUUGUGCAUUCACUAGGAUUUUUUAACUCAUUCCCAUAAAGAAUGUAAUCAUUUAGACAUACAUAUAUUUUAUCAUAAUCUAAGCCUAAGUGCUUCAAUGUUCUUUUGGCCUCAUACAUAGACUUAGGCAUACUAUUAUCAUUCAACAAUAUCUCAUUCAACACUUUUAAUAAAGCUAAAAUCUCACUAUCAGACCAGCCAUAAACUCCUUUUAUAUUGUAUAGUUUCAUUAAACCCGAUAGCUUUGAAUGUUUUAAACCUAGAUAUAAGGGCCUUUCAGCAUCUUCAAGCAUAUCCUUAAAAGGACUAGUAUCUUUAUAAUAAAGCUUGAAAGCAUCAUGAACCAUGUCACCUAAACUACUAUAAUCCGGACAUUUAAAACACUGAUUUUUUGGUGGUCUUGGCACUUUUCAGAAGUAGGUUUUGGGUCUACUCACCAUGCCAAUUCUAAACUAAAUAUUUUUCUAAAACCUUUUUUAAAUAGAUGUAGCCUCACUUGUUCAGGAGUCAAAACUCCGUAUUACAACAAGAUGUACAAGGACAUCUAAUCGACAUUCUAUUUUCAUAAUAAAAAAUGGUAGACUCCCAAAAAUCAUCAACCCCAUCUUAAUACUCAUCGGACAAUCUUUCACAGAAAAUCCAAGUUUUUUCCAUAACAUGUAUUUUUAAGUUUCAUUUAUUAGAUGUUGUUAGAUUGAUAAGUUUAAUUAAAUUUCACAAAUAACUUCAAAAUUUUAAGUUUAAAUUAAAAUUACAAAUUGCAAAAUAAAUCUAAGUUCUGUUUGUUUAAAGUCACUUAAAUACACAAAACAUAUAUGUACACAUUCGGUAAGCCAACAGAACAUACAUGUACACAUUCAGCAAGCCAAUAGAACAUACAUGUAUACGUUCAGUAAGCUAACAAAACAUUCCAUAAACAUUUUUCAAAACUUCACUUUCAUAUUAGAAUAAACAAAAGUAUAUGUAUAUCAAAUAAACAAACAAUAUAAUUCCAAAAGAAUCUAUGCAACAAAAAUGAAACUAAAACCAUGCAUGUAAAUAUUUAGAACAUGUCAAUACAAGUAAAACUCAAAACAUACUAAUAAUAGAACUGGAAAGAAGUGAGUGAUUUGUAAGACUUACCAAAUAAAGAUAGUUGUAAAAUCAAUUAAAAACUUUGGUACGAUAGCUCAGCUUCAAUUUCCUUCAAAUCUUUGCUAUGUUUUCUUAGGUCCCAAAUUACGAACAAUCAAGUUUACAGAAAAAAAAAACCAAAAAAAAAAAAGAAUUUAAAGACCCAUUCUAUAGUUAAACUGCAACCAAACAACAUGCAUGAGCAAAUAUAAACUAUAAAAUCAAAUAAAUGGUACCUUUAGAAAGGAAUUUAUCGGAGGGGAGAGAGAGAACCAAAUCGUGAUACGAAGUAGUUGCUUUGCUUGGGGCUUGGUUGGGAUUGACAGUGCGGUUUGAUUAGAAUGUGCAGUAUCAACCAUGGGGGAUAGUAUUUUAAGGUUUUGUUUGCUUAGCUUUGAUAGAGAAGAAGAGUCCAAAGGUGAAGAAUGAUGAGUGAAUGACUUAGAAAAAAAAUGGCUUCAACUUUGGUCUUGGGGUUAGGAUAAAAUGGUGCGUUUAAGUUAUCUUUUAGUUUUUUUUUUUAAAGUGAAACGAUACCAUUUCUAAUUAGAAAUAAUAAAUUAACUCAAAAUUUUCAACCAAAACCCGCUAAAAUUUUCACUUAGCCGCGCUCAAUACAUUUCAAAAUAUUAUAUUACAAAACCUUUUUUUUUUAUUUUUUUACUGAUACAGUAGUAUAAGUAACAAAAAGUCACAAUGGUUUUUAUUUUAAACUUAAUAGCUUCGAUUUUCAAGGUCUUCGGUUUGAAUAUUAACCUGGAACAAGAUGAGAAUUUAGAAUUUAUUUCUUUUUACCGAUACUUUAGUGUCACUAAUAAAAAUUUCAAUGGUCUUUUUCUUAAACUUAAACGUUUCAAUAUUGGAGGUCCUCAGUUUGAGUUCUAUCUUAAAUAUGAUUAGAGUUACUUUGCUUUUAUUAAUGAUCCAUAUGUAUGAAAAUACUGAUGUUUUUUUAAUAAAGUGUCACAAGACAAGUGUCAGUAAAUACCAUUUUUCUAAUAGUGAGCUAAUUUUUGAGGAAGCAUGCAACCACCUUCAGUGGAUUACUUGUUUGAUUUUUCGGUUGUGGAUUUAAGAAUAAGCUCCUUAAUGCCAGCUGGAAUAAUUUGCUUGCUGAUGGAUAACACAUGGGUGAAGGUAGUUCAAUGACUAUGAAUGCUCCUUAUGUUUGGUUUCUAUAUUCAGGGAUAUUAAAUGGCAUUUCAUUCUCUGGGAUGGGUACCGAGCCAGGGGAAGAUGAUUAUCAAAGGCAUUAAUUACUUCUUUUGUUAGCAUAAGACUGCUCUAUUUGUUUUCUUAAUUGGUAUUUUCGUGGGUUAUGGAUAUCAGUUCUAUUUCAGGACUAAAAUUUAUCUCAUUGGCUUGUUUCUCUCACAUAUUUCUCACCACUUUAUCCACAAUCUAAAUCAAAUGUUAAUUGCUAAAUAAAUCUCUAAUAAAAGUUUUCAAAAUCUUAAAUUAUCACACAAAAUCAAAUUUAAUAUCAUUAUCAACAACACAUUACUUAUUCACAAAAUCUAACAAAAUCCUAGAACAAAACCCAUCAUUGAUUGGGGUGGUGAUGAACUGAUAGUGAUGAUAAAUAACUACAAAAAUAUAGCUAGUUAAAUAUUGUGAUGUCUAUAGCUUAGUUUUAAAAUAUAGUUAGUUACCGCAUCUAACCAAAAUAAUAUGGACGUUUGCACGUAUACAUGUAUAUAAUUUUUAAAUAAUGAUCAAAUUUCCAUGUUGUUUCAAUAAUAUAAUCAGUCCUCCCCUUAGUUUUCGAAACUCAUCAAAACUUGUUUCAAUAAUAUAAUCAUUAAUUGCUCCCAUCAAGACUAGUGAUCAAAGUUCCCUCAAUUUUCAAAACUCAUUAAGACCCUCAUGUCAUUAAAUAAGUUAAUUAAAUGUUAGUCGCACGCUAAUCAUCAUAUUGUCCGAUGGAAUUGGGCUGUGUUGUAUUCACAUAUGAUUCAAAUGAUUAAUUUAUUAAUUUGGUGUGCCGACUUAAAAUCCAUUUGCUAGAUUUCUUGGUCUUAUUAUAGAUUUGUAUCAUGAAUGACAAUAUCACUUUGUUGAAGAACUUUGGAUAAUCAAGCACUCAAUAAACACUAUUUUAUUUCUUUAACAACACCCCUUGGCCACAACUUUUAUUUUUCACUCUUUAUAACUUAGAAGCUUUCUUACUUCACUUGAUGCUUAAACUGAAUACAUGAGGGGUAUUUAUACAUGGUACAAAUGAAUCACAACCAUUCAUUUAUUCAAAUACAAAACAAAUCAUAACCAUUCAUUAAAAUCUAUCACUCAUCUACUUCACCAACUACACCAACCACACCUACCAUAAGAAACUUUUAUGAAAUGGGCUUGGGUUUCUUCAAAUUGGAUCAAGUUUAUGAUCCAACACACUUAACUUCACGAUUUUUCAUUACUCUCACUCUAGUUGUAUUUCUCUUUUCUCGUAAUUUAGUCUAUAAUGGCUAACCAGUUAAUUUAUUUUGUAUAUUGAUCAAAUACAACUUGGUAAUAAUUUUUUCAUACAAAUUAAUACUUUUUUUAACUAAAUAUUCGCUAGGAUCCUAUUCGAACCAUUAAGCCGUUGUUCUCACCAAAUCCAGGUCAAAUCUUAUUAAAACAAAUAAUUUUUUUUUUUUUUUUUUUUGGGGGGGAGAAUGGGCUAUGUUUGGGUUUAAGUGUGUUUUCCUAACAUUUGGGUAGGAGGUGUAGUUGAGGUGAUCCAGGAGGUAAGAGGAGGUGACUUGGGAGGUUAGCUACGUGGGAGGUUAGCUAUGGUGAUUUGGGAGGUGAACAAAUGCAUUCUGAUUUUGGAAUAAUAAGAAGACCUCUGUAAAGUUAAUUCAAAGAGUUGACAUAGGAAGUUCAAGAGAGUUUAGGGAAUAGCUUUGGUAAACUUGAGGAUAGCUCCAGAGAGCUUAUCCGAGGACCCAAGUAGAGCUCGUGGGAUAACUUAUGUGAGCUCAUAUAUAAAGUGUGAUUUGGGCAUUAGAACCAUAAUUAUAAGAAGAAAAUAAACAUAAACAAUAAAGAACUGAGUUUCGGCUCCGUUUGGUGUAACUUUUCAAGUAUAACUUAUUUAAGAAUAGUUUUUACACAAAAGAUUUGAGUCCCAAUUGAUGAGACAUUCAUUUAUUGGAUAGUGGCUAAGUAAUUUGAUAAAUUAUAAAAUCCAUCAUUUAAUAGAUGAAUGACACAUAAUAUUAGGAUUGAAGUUGAAAUUUAAAUAUUAGAAUUCCUAACAUUAUUAUAUUUCAGAUAUACAUAUCUUUAUGGCCAUUGUAAAUUAGAUAUGUAGAAGCGUUCGUCUUUUGGCGCUAGCUCUUGUUAUCAAGUUUGUUGACGUGGCACUGAAGUGGGACCCAUCUGCUUAGUUGGUUUAGGAUGUAAAUUUAACUCAACUAACUUUGACUAAGUUGGACUAAAACUGUGUAUAAUGUGAAUAGUUAACGAGUGAAUGUAGGCUCAUUUUUAAAUUAAACUUGUAAUCCAAUCUUAAAUUAAUCUGAGGUUAUUUCUCUCGUAGUGGAAGCAAGAUUAAAUGGAUAUGGUUAAUUUGGGGUAGGGGAGGGGUGGGUGCAAUGUAAGUAUGUAACUAAAAAUUAGAAAGAAAAAGAGAGAGAGAGCACAGUGCUCAUUCUUGUUUCAUGAAGUAGUUAACUUUGUCUUAGACCUGAUUUAUAAUUAUUUUUUUACUUAUUUAAGAGCAUGUUCCUCCAGUGCUAUGUCUUUAUUAAGGAGUAAAGCUUAUUACGUCUCUCUCUAAUUGAUUGUAUCUUUUCUAUUCUUUCUUAGUAAAAUCCCUUGCUUUGGCAAGUUUCAUAUAAUUAAAAAAAAAAUGCUCUGAAUUUGCUUUACUUUCUUCUGAUUCUUUAGACUCAUUUGUUUGUGAUCUUGAUUAGGUUUGAUACAUUGGUCAAUGACCAACUGAUUUUGGGGUUUGAUUGAAUAAGUUUGUCCUGAUUCCUUCAGAAAUACAAACGUUAAGCUUGGAUCCUCUAUUGGUAAUUGUGAACUUCGGAAUUUAUUGAAGAAUAUUUUAAUACGUGUACAUUCUAAUUCACGUAAGGUCAAAAUCCUUUUUCUUUAUUAUUAUUGUUCAUUAACUAAUAAUGAUAUAUUCGUAUUUAUAAUUGUAAGAGUUUAAAUUAGCUGAGAAUGUUUCCUCAAAAAAAAAAAAAAAAUUAGCUGAGAAUGUUCUACUGCCAAUUAAUGAAUACAUAAGGCGCCAUUCAAAGAUUUUGUACUUUAUAUAUGAUUCUACAUUGUAACCACUUUAAUCUGAUAAUAAUUAAACCACAAUUGUAUGAUACGAGGAUGACUUUAUUCAUAAAAUGAAAAAGAUACAUGAAGUUUAGAAACCUUAUCCCUCGUCAUAUGGAAAAAGUUGGGAAACGAAAAAUAUGGGAUAGACCAAUUACUUGGAAAAAUAAACAAUUCCUACGCCGGACUAAAUCUUUAACAAUUGAGACACUUUCUGCAUGGUUGGUCUAGAUGCUGGCCUCUCAUGUAAGCAUGGUAUGGAAACUUCCAUGGUUGAAAUCAAUUUAUCCUAAACAUUGCGCGAUGGAGUUGGAAGUCGAGGGUCCAACAUUUCAUCAAGGGCUAUGUUCAAAUUCGAAGAUAAUGAAGAGCAAAUUGAGGAAAUAAAAUCACUUCCAAUGCUAACACUCCAAAGCUUCAUCCUCACCCUCUUCAUAUGAAUCCUGCAGUGAAGCACAAAUGUGGAACAUUAUUAUUGUAAAUAAAAAGUGCGGCUAGAUACUGCAUAUGAACUAAUUUGCGAAAGAACAUAUUUGAGUAAAUAAAAAAGGAGAACAAAGGUGAUGACUAGUAAAAGCCCAAUUUCUAGAGCUUGGUCCACAAAAGAAAUGCCACUUAAAUUAUGAAGUGACAUGUACAACACAUAGCAUCACGACCAAGGGACAAUGGAAUUUUACAAAACAACAAAUAAAAGAUGAAACGGUUUUAUUCCAAAAGUUACAUAACUUUUAGAAAAUCCAGUGUAGCUACAUUAUCAAAACAUUCAAAUCUAGGAUAUGCAUAAUCGCAUAGUUUUGACAAGUGUGAGAUGUCAACAUGGCCUCAAAGAAUACUUGCAUCGAGUUCAAUAUUAUACCAGAUUCAACAAAGCAAGGAAAUAUAGACCAGCAUCUAUAAAGAAACAAAAACUGAAAUAUGGUUCCUUGACACUCCAGCACCCCUUCCCUAUUAUGUAUUAACAAAUUGGUUCUUGAAAAAUGGAGAUCAUACCGGUCACAAUUAAGUACCUUCAGAUCACCGGAAUCAACACCAUAUCCAAAGAUAGCUUUUCUACGAUGCUGUCCCUCAUUAAAUUCAACAUGUUCCACAAAGUUAUCUUCAUCAGAAUCACUCACACUUUUUAAUAUUUCACCCUUUUUAAUAUCUGCAUCUUCAUCUGAGGACUUUGAAUCAUCCAUUUCCACAGCGACAUGUUUUUCACCAAGCCCACCGGCAUUCACUUCCUCAGUUUGAUACUGCUUGUCAUGAGUAUACUCUGUAUCAUCAUCCAUAUCUUUUGCAUUGUUGGUAGUAUCUGAUGAGAUAUUAGGCUUCCGGCUGAAAACAGAAAUGAAGCUCUUUUCUAACUUCUCAUCAAUUGAAUAUUUGGUAUUUUCAAGCGACUUUACCAUCAUCUCACCAACAUCUUGAACCUUUCCUGGUAACAGCAAGGAAACAGUAUUUAAGCCCAAAGAUUGGGGAUAAUGUGGGGAUAAAUUUGCCUCUUUAUCCUGCCAAUUGUAUAAGUCAAAACAAUAUAUCAUCAAGAAUACAAGAGCUAUUUCCAUUUUAUAUUAUUCAAAACAAGAUCCACAAAACGUACUAAAGGUAAAGAUUAAAGCUUUUUAUGUAUUAACCGAAAAAAAAAGAAGAAGAAACAAAAUAGUAAACCUCUGCAGUUUAAUUUUCCAUUUUCAUCAUCCACAUUAGGAAAUUGAACAAAGUGGUCAUUGAUGUUUAUAUAGACAGCAUCCUUGUCAUAAAGGAGAUCCCCAAGGCCAGACAUGGGUGCAUAAAAAUGUUUUUCCUUAUCACGCAGUCCCUUCUUUUUGGCAGCAGAAGGUAAAGGACAUGGAUCAGCUAACCCUGUAACCCCAGCUAAACUGUAGUCACCAACACCAACAAUGUGCACCUGGUUCAAGAAAGAACAUUAAAUUACAAAUGUUUAAUUGAUUGGAUAAGGGCAAGAUAGAUGAACAUUUAAUCGAAGGCAUUUGCCAAAUACAAACCAAGACAUAAUAGCGCCAUAUUUUUAAGCGUAAAGACUGAAAAUGGAAAUUUCUUCUUAAAGGUUAAUAAUCUUAAUCCAUAAGCCUCAAAUGACCUUCAGGGCUGUCAUGCUAACUAACGUGCCAUGUAAAUUGCAACUCCGUCACAGAAAAAAGAAAAUUCUUAUUAGUCAGCUUUUGUCCUAAUGUUUCUUAAAGUUUCACUUUCAAUGUACUUCCAAUCAGGCACUGGUAAGCCAACGGCACAAAGCUCCACGUUACAGAAAAAUUUUUGCAAAUUGCUAAUUGAUCACUUUUUCCAAAGCUGAAUUUUACAUCUUACAUUUUACAUAUAAAACCUGCAUUCGUGAAGCCAAAUGAGGUUGAGAUUUGCUUAUUAUGAAAUAAGACCUCUCUAAGUUAUGCUUCAUCAGUUCUUUUCCAUCACAACUUCCAUCCAAUUGUCGCCAGAAUGGUAAACAAGUCCUUGCCUAAUGGCCACAUAGAUGAAAAAUAAGUCCCAAAACCACCUAAGCUUAAAGUCACAUAUGUCCUAAAAUCAUUAAAUUUUCAGAAACAUCAUAUGCAACAUUAACCUUAUUGUUGCGGACCGCCCAAUUCGCUAGCCCAAUUGCCCACAAUUUCGGACUAGAGAGCCAACACAAGGCCAAGAGUGCUAGCUUGGCCCAAUUCCGGAACAUUCUAGGCAACUCUAGCACAUGGGCUUGUAAAUACUCUAGAAUUCUCUAUACAAUUCCAGCACAUGUAAAUAGCUAGGAAGUUGUAGAAUUCUCUAGAAUCUCUAGAGCUUGUUAAGCCUCCCCUAUAAAUAUGGGAUGGCAUUAGGCAUUUGCAUCCAACAAACACUACAACAAGCAUUGUAAGCAACUCAAGCAUUGUAAUCUCUCUUUGUGCAAUACAACUUUCCUUAUUCGGCUCAAUUGCUCUCUUCUCUAGUUCGAGAAGCUCUAGGCUUACUUAGCAACAUUCGGCAAAGUUGUCUAAGUGCCGCACGGGUUAGCUGCGCAAAAUACUCAUCCCGUGACAAGUGGUAUCAGAGCUAAGGAUUGCACGCACGCAAGUUAGCUCACGAGCAAUGGCCAACCCUUCGAACGUAGCACAAGAGGGUGUUGUUGGUGUGGAUGUUCCACCGGAACCAAGCCGUGGCCGAGAGGGAGAACGCGCCCAAGGCAAGACUCGCGGCAAGUCCAAGGCCCCAUCCGUGGAUGCGUUGGAGCCUCGUGUGACUACUCUUGAAAUCGCUUUGUCCGCCGCUCAAGAUAGCCUCGAAGGUUUGGAGGAAAGAGUGGACGGUCUCGAGGGGGAAUACGCCGAGUUCACGGUGGCAACGAAAGCCCUCAUCCAAGAGCAAGCGAACACUCUCCGAGGUGAGUUUCGUUCUUUCCAUGAUGAGUUGCUAAAACUUCGUAGUUUUGUUCAGGACGAACUACGCGUUGUCCGUGCGGAAGUGGAUGAAUUCCGCUCGGAUUGGGCAUGGCACAAGCGCACACUCUCCGCAAGUCCAGCUUCCGCAAACUCGAGUGAUGCGCACCGCAUUGACGUGCCAAAACCCGACACAUACGAUGGCACACGCAAUACCACAAUCGUGGACAAUUUCCUCUUUGGGCUUGAUCAAUACUUCGAUGCCAUCGAAAGUGGGCACUGCACCCACUUAUCUUAGAGGCGCCGCACAACUAUGGUGGCGUCGCAAGCAUGGCGAGGUGGGUAAGGGCAUUUGCACCAUCGACACUUGGGCCGACUUCAAGCAAGAACUCCGAAAGUAGUUCGCCCCAAGCAAUGCGGAGAAGGAAGCGCGAGCGCGCUUACGUCGCCUCAAGCAAUCGGGUAGCAUUCGGGACUACAUCAACGAGUUCACUACCCUUAUGUUGGAGAUAAGUGACAUGUCCGACAAGGAUUCGCUCUUCUACUUCCAAGAUGGCCUCAAGGAUUGGGCCAAGACCGAGCUUGAUAGGCGUGGUGUUCACACACUUGACGACGCCAUCGCCGUUGCGGAAUCGCUCACCGAAUACUCUACCCAAUCCAAGGACAAAAAGGCCAACCAAGGCAAAGGUGGGGGAGAGAGUCGCAAGGACAAAGGCAACAACCGCAAAGAUUAGGGGCAGAAAAAGCCGCCUAGCAACAAGAGCGGGCAAGGAAAAUCGGAGGGCAAGAAGGAGGCGCCAAAGCCGCGAAGCCCAUGCUUCAUAUGCAAUGGUCCUCAUUGGGUACGCGACUAUCCGGAGAAAAGGUCGCUCAACGCUCUUGCUGUCCAACUCAAGAGCAACCCCACAAUGUCCACGGAGGAACCCCAACUCAGCAUGGGUUCUCUCCAACGCCUCGGCGCACUUAAUCGCCAACAGCCCGCACUCGUCAAGAAAGGGCUCAUGUAUGUAAGCGCAAAAGUAAACGGUCAGUCCGUUCGCGCGCUGCUAGACACGGGAGCAACGCACAAUUUCGUGUCCGUAGACGAGGCCAAGCGCUUAGGCCUCAAGGCCACCAAGGAAGGAGGCACGAUGAAGGCGGUAAACUCACCCGCCAAGCCAAUUGCGGGAAUCGCACAAGGCGUGUACAUCACGCUUGGUACGUGGAGCAGAAAGCUUGACUUCUCCAUCGUACCCAUGGACGAUUUCAAGAUGGUCCUCGGCAUGGAAUUCUUCGACCAAGUCCAUGCCUUCCCACUGCCCGCUACAAACUCCCUAAGCAUCCUCGACGGGAGCAAAGCAUGCAUGGUACCCACGGAGCGAGGCAAGUCCGAGGAGAAGACACUCUCCGCCAUGCAAUUCAAAAGGGCUUUUAAGAAGGACCCAAGCUUCUUGGUCUCCAUCCGGGAACUAAACGAGGAAGGAAAUAGCGGAACGUCGACAAGCCAAGUCCCUCCGCGGAUUCAAGUCGUCCUCAAUGAGUACAAGGACGUGAUGCCUCCAGAACUUCCGAAGAAGCUCCCACCUCGACGAGAGGUAGAUCAUGCAAUCCUUGGCGCCCUACCGCAUGGCGCCACCCGAAUUAGAGGAGUUGCGGAGACAACUCAAAGACUUGCUGGACGCAGGUUACAUUCGCCCCUCAAAGGCCCCAUUCGGUGCAUCGGUCCUCUUCCAAAAGAAAAAGGAUGGAUCGCUGCGGAUGUGCAUCGACUAUAGAGCGCUCAACAAGAUCACCAUCAAGAACAAGUAUCUGAUUCCAUUGAUUGCGGACUUGUUCGACCAGCUUGGCAAAGCGCGGUACUUCACCAAACUCGACUUGCACUCCGGGUACUACCAAGUGCGCAUCGUCAAGGGAGAUGAACCAAAGACAGCGUGCACAACAAGGUACGAGUCUUUCGAAUUCCUUGUGAUGCCUUUUGGCCUUACUAAUGCACCCGCCACAUUUUGCACACUCAUGAAUAAGGUACUCCAACCAUUCCUCAACCGCUUUGUGGUCGUGUACUUGGAUGACAUCGUGGUGUAUAGCACCACACUCGAGGAGCAUGCCCAACAUUUGCAACAAAUCCUCCAAGUACUUCGAGACAAUGAACUCUUCCUCAAAUUGGAGAAGUGCUCGUUUUCCCAACAAGAGGUGGAGUUCCUUGGCCACAAGAUUGCGGGCGGGAAGAUCAUGAUGGAGAACGCCAAAGUAAAGGCCAUCCUCGAUUGGGAGCCUCCCUCGAAAGUGCUCGAGCUUCGCUCAUUCCUUGGGCUGGUGAAUUACUACCGCCGCUUCAUCAAGGGCUACUCAGCCAAGGCGGCACCCUUGACGGAUAUGCUCAAGAAAAACAGAACGUGGCAUUGGUCCGAAGGAUGCCAACGCGCAUUCGAGGAGUUGAAGAAGGCAAUUUCGGAAGAACCAGUCCUCGCUCUUCCGGACCACACAAAGCCCUUCGAAGUCCAAACGGAUGCCUUGGAUUUCGCCAUAGGAGGAGUCCUCAUGCAAGAAGGCCACCCUAUAGCGUUCGAGAGUCGAAAGCUAAACGAUACGAAACGCCGCUACACGGUGCAAGAGAAGGAGAUGACCGCAAUCAUACAUUGCUUGCAAGUGUGGCGACAUUACUUGCUUGGCUCACACUUCACGAUCAUGACGGACAACGUGGCGACAAGCUACUUCCAAACUCAAAAUAAGUUGAGUCCGAAGCAAGCACGGUGGCAAGAUUUCCUUGCGGAAUUCGACUAUCGACUCGAGUACAAACCGGGUAAAGCCAAUGUCGUUGCGGACGAUCUAAGCCGCAAGGCCGAAUUGGCGACACUUAGCGUGAGCCAACCGAAGUCCGACCUUGUCAGACGCAUCAAGGAAGGCGUCUAACAAGAUCCGCUAGCAAAGGAUUUGCUGGAGAAGGUGCUCGAAGGCAAGACAAGGCGAUUUUGGCAAGAUGAAGGCAUCCUCCUCACCAAGGGAGAUCGAAUGUUCGUGCCAAGGUGGGGAAACUUGUAAAAGGAAGUAAUCAAGGAGUGCCACGACUCCAAGUGGGCUGGUCACCCAGGAAUUGAGCGCACCACCGCACUAGUCCAAGCCUCAUAUUUUUUGCCGCACAUGAGGGACGACAUCGAGGCAUAUGUGCGAACUUGUCUUGUGUGCCAACAAGACAAGGUGGAUCAUCAACUCCCAGCGGGAUUAUUGGAGCCGCUGCCGCUAGCAACAAGGCCAUGGGAAAGUGUCUCCAUGGACUUCAUCACAUCGCUGCCUAAGUCCGAGGGUUGCGGAAGCAUCAUGGUCGUUGUAGACCGAUACAGCAAGUAUGCCACAUUCAUUGCCGCACCCGUCGACUGCAAAGCGGACGAGGCAGCCCGCCUAUUCGUCAAGCACAUUGUGAAGCUUUGGGGAGUUCCAAAGAGCAUUGUGAGCGACCGAGAUCCUCGGUUCACUGGGCGUUUUUGGACGGAGCUCUUCAAGAUGUUGGGGACCGAUCUCAAGUUCUCAACAAGCUUCCACCCACAAACGGAUGGGCAGACCGAGCGCAUCAAUGGCCUCCUCGAGAUGUACUUGAGGCAUUAUGUGAGCGCUCAUCAGCGGGAUUGGGCGAAACUACUCGACAUCGCCCAAUUUUCUUAUAACUUGCAGCGAAGUGAGGCUACGGGCAAGAGUCCGUUCGAGAUCAUUAUGGGAUUCCAACCAAUGACUCCCAACGCCAUAGUCUCAACUUAUGGAGGGAAAAGCCCCGCGGCGCACAAGCUCGCCCGCGAAUGGCAUGAGGAAACGGACAUCACGCGAGCCUACCUCGACAAAGCCACGAGGAAAAUGAAGAAAUGGGCGGAUAUAAGGAGACGGCAUGUUGAGUACAAGGAAGGUGAUCAAGUCAUGAUCAAGCUCCUACCCCAACAAUUCAAGACAUUGCGGAAAGUCCACAAGGGGUUAGUGAGACGCUAUGAGGGACCCUUCCGAGUUGUUCGACGUGUGGGCAACGUCUCGUAUCAACUUCAACUUCCACCAAGACUCAAGAUCCAUCCGGUCUUCCAUGUGAGUCUUCUCAAGCCAUAUCAUGAAGACAUGGGAGACCCAAGUCGCGGAGAAUCGAGGCGCGCGCCAACCGCCGUUGUCACCGCGUUCGACAAAGAUGUGGACUACAUCAUUGCGGACCGUGUGGUUUCAAGGAGAGGCGUGCGAGCACAUAGCGAGUACUUGGUGAAGUGGAAAAACCUCCCCAAGAGCGAAGCCACUUGGGAACGUGAAGAAGAUUUGUGGCAAUUCGCUGAGCACAUCCAGAGGUUCAAGCACGAGAGCGCGACGAGGACGCCGCGAGCUUAGGUGGGGGAGGAUGUUGCGGACCGCCCAAUUCGCUAGCCCAAUUGCCCACAAUUUCGGACUAGAGAGCCAACACAAGGCCAAGAGUGCUAGCUUGGCCCAAUUCCGGAACAUUCUAGGCAACUCUAGCACAUGAGCUUGUAAAUACUCUAGAAUUCUCUAUACAAUUCCAGCACAUGUAAAUAGCUAGGAAGUUGUAGAAUUCUCUAGAAUCUCUAGAGCUUGUUAAGCCUCCCCUAUAAAUAUGGGAUGGCAUUAGGCAUUUGCAUCCAACAAACACUAAAACAAGCAUUGUAAGAACUCAAGCAUUGUAAUCUCUCUUUGUGCAAUACAACUUUCCUUAUUCGGCUCAAUUGCUCUCUUCUCUAGUUCGAGAAGCUCUAGGCUUACUUAGCAACAUUCGGCAAAGUUGUCUGAGUGCCGCACGGGUUAGCUGCGCAAAAUACUCAUCCCAUGACAUUAUGCUGAGAAAUGAACCUCCUUCUCACCUUUAAUUGUAUAAAAAGGGAAAAAAUAAAAUAAAAUAAACCCUUAAGCAUAUUCUGAAAAGGAAAAAAUUCCAAUGGCAAUUGUGAGGUUAAGUGCUUUACAAUGCAUAAAGUUAGUUCCCUUUUUCAGAUUACAACCUCGCAGAUAACCAUAAAUUAUGAUGUUUCUGUCACAUUUAUUAUUCAUGUGCACUCUUUCUGGAGGAGUAACAUCUUCGAAACGAUCAACCACAACAUAAGGAUGGGAAGUUCUCCAGUGCAAAGAAGGAAACUUCAUAACAGAGAUAAACUUUGUAAGAUUGCAAAUAUCUGUUUUUGUGUACCUAAUGAAUUAGGGAAAGAAAAAAAGAAACAAUAACCUCAAAAAGAAUUCUAUGAUUUGAAACUACUAAUUUAACUACAAUAUUGGGUGAUAUGUCCAUAACACAACAUACUAUAUAUAAUCCUUACUUCCCAUGAAUGAGACCAGAUAAUUUAAAUAGUUUUGCUCCAUGGUAUGUUUCUGUCCAGAAGCGAUGCUUGAGAUGCUGCUUCAUUUUUCUUAGUUUAUUCUUAUCUUUGUAACUUAUCAAGGUGAGUAAGAACUCCCAUAAACUUUGGCAAUCCAUGAUUUUGCAUUAAAUUAAGGAAUUCAAAAGUUUCUUGUAAGAAACAAAACCCAGUUACCAAAACUCAAAAUUGUUUUAACUACAUUAUUAUUAAAUAUAUGCUUUACUCCUUAACCACAGGAAAACAGAAAAUCAUACAAAACCAGUAACAUAAAACUAAGUUAUGGAGAUCACAAAAAAGAAAAAAGAGCAGCUGCAGCUCCAUCAACACAAAUGCAGUGAAGUCCAAACCAAAUAGAACUGUUCCAAAUGAAAUCUCACCAUUUCAAAACCUUGACUUGCAUCAAUGAGUAGUGCCAAGUUAGCAAUCUUUGCGCAAUCAAUCAUGCUAUUGAUAUCAUUCGGGCACUCGACAAAUUGUAACCGCAUUUUCUUGCCUAACACAUUUCAUCAAAUCCCUCUCAAUGAACUCUAUUAUAUUUCAAAUCUAACAAUGAAAUUACAUAAACUAGAUCAAACCUAACCUGAUACAACAGUAACCAGUCCACGAACCUCAUAAACUUUAUGCUUAGUGUAAUGCUUAAUAAGACACUUUAUUAACAAAGACUUUCCAACCUGCCACCACCAUUUCAUAAGUUAAAAUCACCAUCUAAAAAUUCCAAAAUUAUUACUGAAUUAAAGCGUCAAUAAAUCAAAAUUAUUUUUUAAACAAAAUUAAUAAUUCAAUACCUGGGGCGGUCCCUGAACUACAACAACAUAUGGUGGUGGUUCACCAUAAGAGCGGUCUAUAGUCGGAAUGUGAAGCUGACAUUGCUCUUUCUCGGUCGCUCGCAUCUGUGAUCGCUUGGCUUUCACAGAUGAAGUAAAACCAAAAGCCUAUUAGAUGAUAAUAACAAUAAAUGAUAAUUAAAAUCAGCAAAAGCAAAGGAAUAAUAUUGCUUAUUUAAAUUAAUGAAAGAAGAAAAAAAGUAAACUGCAAAUUAAGGACCUUUUAUGGUUUGGUUUCUUAUUGUCUUGUUUAUUUAUAUCAGAUUUGGGCUUCUUUUUCGCCGAAGAGCCCGAUUGGCGAGUCCUGUAAGCCUUGUCCGGCUGCAGUUCCAUGGCUCCGCUGUUUGCUGCCGUAUUCACAUAAGUUAACUGCCUCGAGGCGAGUGAAUGAGAGGAGUGCUUGCUCGGCGGUUGCUACUUCUUGUAAGUUAAAAACUCUUUCUCCGCAGGUCCGCUAAAUUUAUAGCCGAUAUCCGUGUCACCAACGGAGAGACCAGUUAAUUCUGAUGGCGCUAACAGAGAUGUUAAUUCAGAUCGGCAAUGGCAAUGUAGAAGCGGAUGGAUGCCUACAGAGAGCAGGAGUAAGCAAGGUGCUAGGUUCAAAGGCGAUGAACGUUGCUAUUUGAAUUUUUUCUCCAGAGUAAGGGUGAUAAUAAUUCUACCUCAUUUUUUUUUAUAACACCCCACUUAUUAUUUUUAUUGUUGUAACUAUAAUUUUAUCCUCAAAUAACUGUACAAUAAUACUAAGGGCCAAUUUAGGAUUGCGGUUGAAAUUUACUAAGUUGCUUAUUUCAUAAUUUUUUAUGAAAAUAGUGUUUGAUAAAUUUUGUAAAAACAGUUUAUUUCAUAAUUUUAUGCAUUUUGUCAGUAGUUUUUAAAAGUAGGUAAGGAGUUGCUUUUCAUAAGCAGCAUAUUUAAUAAACUACUAUACUUUUUUAAAAUUUCUACUAUAACCCUAUAUUUUAAUAAAAAGACAAUUGUAUCUUACUUAUCCAUAAACCUUAAUAUAUAAAUCAUUAGAUAUCAUAUUACCGUUAGGGGUGGGCAUUUUCGGGUUCGGAUCAACCCGAUCAGGUUGGUCGGGUUGGAUAAAAAACCAUCUGAUCGGAUCGGGUUAAAAAGUCGGGUGGAGUUCGAAUCGGAUCAAAUUUGGGUUAAUUCGGGUUCGGAUUAAAUUCGGGUCAAUUCGGGUCGGGUGAAAUCAGAUUAAAUAGGGUUCAGGUCAAUUCGGGUUUAAGUAAUUUGGAGCUAAUUUUCUUUGCCUUUGCCCUUUAAUAUGAAUCCCACCUAAAAAUUCAUCAUAAACAUUUAACAAAUACCAAUUUGUUGUAGAGAUUAGAGAAUUUUUAAUUUAUCCAAGGGCUAAAACAUCAAGACAAACCCACCCCAAUCCCUUAAUCCACAUGAAAAAUAAUAAAAAUAGUAAUGAUAAUAAUAAUGUUGACCAAUGAAAUUUCAAUUCAAAUACCCUCUUGUCACAUUGCUAACUAAGACAUUUCUCUCCCACCUUCCUUGUCCUCCCUCAUUCAUCCAUCCAUUCAUUUCAACCAACAAAAAAAGAAAACUGCUAUAGAAUUAAAUUCAAAUGAUUCAAAAUUAAGAAUUAACACAAAGCAUAAAAUUAAAAUUAACACAAAGUUUAAAUUUAAUAAUCUCCUUCCAAAGCGCAAUGUCCAAUUCUAAAAUCUAAACAUUAAUCUUUAGAACACAAAGUCACAAAAUUAAACAUAAUUCAAUUGUUUCCUUUUUCCAAAACACAAAUGACAAAGUUCCAAAAUCCAAAACACAACAAAGUUAAAUGUAAAUCUAGAUCAACUUCCUCCACAGCUUCACCGUUCCUCGCAAGCACUUUGACAACUUUUAACUUCAAUUUCUUCUACUCCAAGUUGAAGAAUUGUAGCAUAUAUCCCCUAGAGAAAAUUUGAAAAAAUAAUGUAUGAUAACCGUUUAACUACUUUCUUUAAGCCGCAUUGCAAAUAAAGGGACAUUAAACACAAACACAUAUGCCCAAUUCAUGUGUGUACUUGAUUGAAUAUAAGAAGAAAAAAAAUUAGUCAAUCGUGGCUUAUUUCAUGGCAUUCAUCACCAAGUAAAUUUAACAAUAAUCCUAAUUCCUAAGUAAUACCAUUCCGCCAACUUCAAUGUGUCUAAAAUAAAUAAAACAAUUAUAAUAUUACAAUUUGACUUAAAACUUAAAAGUUAAAACUAUAACAACUAUUGUCUAUUAUUAUAGUGUAAAUUACAACCUAAACAUAUAAUAUGAAAUUAUAAAUAAUAAUAUCUAUUAAGAAUUACCUUUCAAAUAUCCAUAACACCCAUAUCAGCGCUCACUGUUUCUACCGUUGAAGCUUGUGAUCUUACAAACUCUUUAAAAUGUCAAAAAAAAAUUGAAAUUAGUAAGUAACUUAAGUACAUGUACAUGCUAUUUAUAAAGUUAUAAUACAUCUUAACUUUAUAAAGUAUGAGAAAAAUAAUACCUUCUUGUAGCUCCAUAUGGAAUAUCUGCUCUUUAAUAUCUUCCUGAAGGUUAUAGAUAGGAUUAGCAAAAAGUUUAGCUUGUAACCAAUUUUCAGUACAUAUCAAUGUCUCAAUCAUACAAGGGGUCAAAGAACUCUGAUAUUCAUCAAUGACGCGACACCCAGUGCUAAAGGCAGAUUUAGAUGCCAUUGUGGAAACAGGAACAACGAGGACAUCCCUUGCAAUUUUCUCUAAUAUCGGAUACUUCGAUCCAUUAACCUUCCACCAAAGCAAAACAUUGAGCUUAAGAUUGCUCGGAUCCUCAACUGGGUCACUCAAAUGUUGUUCCACCUCAUAUACUACUCUCUUGCCCUCAUUCUGAACAAACUCUUUCUGAGCAUACCCAAGGAAAGGGCGAGAAACUCGGAAAAUGUCAUCACCAUCACCACUAGGAACCUCGGCUAAACCAACCUCAAUUGUAAAAUAAGGAGAAUAACUUGUACCACCAUAGUUGCCGCUAGGAACACUCUCACUACACAUCGAUGGUGUGGAACUAGAGCACAUUGCACUAUAUGCAUCAUAAAGCUCAUUUAACAAAUCUUUCACUGCUUUGAUCAUUUCUUCAACUUUCUAACCAUCAUUGGCAAAAAUGAUCUCAAAAAUAUGUGUGACAAAGUCCAUUUUAGCUCGCGGAUUAAGAAUAGAGGCAACAAUCAACAUUUUAUUUAUCUUCCCUGAAGACUCCCAAUAUUUAUUAAAUUUUUCCCUCAUAUUAUAAGCCAUAGCCACCACCCAAGGAUCUUUACUUGCCUCUAAUGCAGUCAAUGAGCUCUCAAUUAAGCCAAUGGUAUCAUAACAAAGAUUAGAAGUCACACUCAAAGAGGCAGAAAAUAACAAUGUGGCAUCAUAAAAUACAUUCAAAAACUUCACAAUUCGUUCUGCACUCUCCCAAUCCUCAGGUCCAGGCGGGCCCACCCUCUUAGCGUUAUUUUCUUUCUCGAGAAAGUAUGCCUCAUACGGUUUAUCCACCUUUGCCAUUCUAUCAAAUGCUGCUUGAAACUUCUAUGCAGUCAUCAACAUUAAAUAUGUGGAAUUCCACCUAGUAGGACAAUCCAAAACAACCAUUCCAUUUGGACAUUUCACCUGUUGAGCACACUAUUUAAAUGCAUGUAGCCUCGUAGUGGAGGAUCUCACAUACUUCACAGCAUUCCCAAUGGUGGCAACACUAGCAUGCAAUUCAUUCAACCCCGAAACAACAAUCAAAUUUAAAAUAUGUGCACAACAACUCACAUGCAUAUACUGACCCGCCAAUACAAUUGCAUCAUUAUUCCUCCAAGCAAGCAAUUGCAUAGUCACAUAAUUAAUAGCAAUAGUCACAUAAUUAAUAGCAACAUCAUUUGUAGUGGCAUUAUCAACGGUUAUUGCAAACAACCUCUCUAUCCCCCAAUCUUGUAAACAAGCUACAAUCUUUUUACCGAUCGUUUUCCUUCUAUGAUCUUCAAUCACAUUGAAGCUAAUAAUCCUUAUGUUCAAACACCAGUCACUAUCAAUAAAAUGAACUGUGAUCACCAUGUAACUCAUGUUUUGAACGGAAGUCCAAAAAUCUGUGGUAAGAGACACUCGCUGUUUGUUGUUGCAAAUCAAACUCUUCAACAUUGUCUUUUCUUCCAAAAAUAAAUCCAUAACAUCCCUACCAAUAAUUCUCCGAGAUGGCAUAACAAACUGCGGAAUGGCUACACUACAGAAAUGCCUGAACCCUUUGUUAUCCACAAAACUAAGCGGCAACUCACCCAUAAUGAUAAUUUUGGUAACUGCCCUUCUAUAAGCGUCUUGACUCCACCCUUUAGCCAAAACCAUAUUACUUGCAUUUCCUUCCCCACCCUCAGUUGUCAAGUUUUGUUAACUUCCCUCUUGUUGUUCUCGGAAUGUCUUGUAUGCAGGGCAAGUCAGUAUAUGAUUUCUCAUAUUUGUAAUCACAUCACGCCUUGAAUGACAUUGAUAUUGUCUACCACAAUAGUUGCACUUGCAUUUUUUUGGAUUGUCCUCAAGUAAAGUAAAAUGAUUCCACAUCGCAGAUCUUUUCUUCAUCGCUGGUCUUUUCCGCUUUGCCUUUUGAGUUCCUUCCAUUUGAACACUUUGAUUGUCAUCAUCACUUAUCGAAUUCGAUCUUGAGUGUCCAGACAUCUAAACAUACAAAUAAAUAAUUAUUAAUCAUUAAUUCAUAAAUUAAAACACAAAAAGACUAUUAAAAAAAUCUACUUAAUAGUUAGUAUUACAAAUUGAUUCAAAUAAUUGUUAAUUUAAUUUUAUGAAACUUUUUGAAAUCGAUAUUUCCAAUUUUCCACCAUAAUGUUUAUAUAUGAUCAAGAAUUCAAGAUGCAUAUUCCAUAAAAGAAAACCAAGAAAUUAAUGUAAUUAUUUAAUUUAUAAUAUCUAAUUAUCCAUUGGCCAAAAUAAUAUAAUAUUAAUUACAUAUCUGUAUCUUAAAUUCUUAAUUCUUAUUAUAAACCCCUAAGUUUAUGCCCACAUUAUAUGUACUCAACCACUUAAUAAUUACUUAUUGGUUAUCAUGCAAUUAAUUAAAUUGAUUAAUUAUUUGUUGAAGUUGAAACUUGAAACUACUGCAAUUAAAUUGGUUAAUUUUUGGUUGAAGUUAAAACUAUUGUACAAGUACACAACUAUACAUAUCAUAUGACAUAUAUAAUUAUAAUUUAUAUUGUAACAUAAUAUUUAAUUUUAAUUUUUAAUCUACCAUUAUUAUUCAUACAAAAAAAUCAAUUAUCAAUAAGUAACAGAAAAUUAAAGCCCGAUUAUUUUCAUUUUAUUGUUAAAAUUUAACAAUGAUAAGUGCAUAUUUUUCAUAUAUUUUGCUUUUAAUUUCUCCAUCUUUUUCUUGUUUUGAUCUUAAAUAUUCUAGUUAUUUUAGUUAAUUUUUAAUUUAAUAGGGAAUUAAUUAAUAUACAUAUUUUACCUUUUAUUAUUAUAUAUUUGCUAGUCAUUUUUAUUUCUUAUUUUUAAUUAAUUGUAUUAUUUUAUUGAAUAGGGAAUUAAUUGGAGAUUGUGGAUAAAAAGGGCAUGAAGAAGUUCAAAUUGAGAAGGAAUAAAGAUUAAAUUGGAAGACAAAAAUACAGUCAAGAAUUGAUAGAACCGAGUGGAAGAAAUCAAAGCAAUUAAUCCAAUUGAGAAAUGUUGAAUAAUUAAAAGAUUUAAUUUUUCCAAUUGGCAAUUGGAGUGCACGUGCAUGGCAUUGCAAAAGUGGAAAGCAAUUUAAAUGGGCCCACAAUUGACUUUCAAAAGUUGGAAUUAAUGGCUUUUGGUGGCGUUAAAUUGGAAAAGGAUUUCAAUUAGAAUUGAAAAAGGAUUUCUUUAUUCUUGUUGGAGAAGAAUUCGGUCAACUAGCAUUAUAAAAGGGGAGCCGCUGGAUGGAAACAGAGGAGUGCAGACGCAAUUCGGGCAGAGGAAAAUCAGCAGCCGCAAGGAGAAGAAAAAAAUCAGCAGCUGGAAUUAAGUUAAAGCAAAGGCAGCCGCUUGAAUUAAUCUCCAUGAUUGGUUUUUGUCAAUUCUCUUAUUCCCAAUUUAAUUAUGUUAGGCUAAAUUUUUAUUUGGUUGAGGGUGAAUUCAAAACCCUAAACAUGCUAUGCAAUUAAAUUUAAAUUCUAUCAUUCAAUUUAUUUAAUUGAGAUUGUUUAUGUUCUUCUAUAAUUAAUGUUCAUGGUUUAUUCUUGUUUUAUUUGAGUGGCCAACUAGAUAGGACUUGAAUAAAUUUUAUUGCUAGAUUAAAAUUCUUGAUCCGUAAUUGUCUUGAUAUUUUAAUCAUUAGUAGCAGGUUGGAAUUAGUGAUUUCAAUUGAAGAACAUAACCUAGGUUAAAUAAUCCGAGCUUGUGUGUUUAUUGCCUAGAUCAACCUAAUAUCUUUCUUUGUUUAAUGCUUCCAUUAUCUUAAAUUUAAAGAGCUUGUUUUAAAUUAUUUAAUGGUUAGAAAUUAGGUGAAGAGCUUGUUUUGCCUAACAACACACUAAGGAAAGAUUGAGACUAACAGAGCUUAUUGUUGUCUACGGUUGAUAGUUUCAAUAUAAAUUGAUAAUAGAAUUGAUAUAUUAUGUGCAUGUUUGGUGGUGGCGAAUGAUCCUUUAAUCAAAGUUUUCUUUAUUAUUAUUUCUUUCUGCUUUAAUUAGAGUUUUUAUUAAAUUCUUGUUCGUAGUUUUAAUUUCUUUAUUUCUUACUAUUUAGUUAAAAAUUCAUAAACCCCCUUUUUAUUUAUAAUUGGCAUUUUCUUUAGUUAGAUUAAUUUAUAUUAUUAUUACUAUUAUUAUUACUACUAUUAUUUUAUUUUAAAUCUUGCUUUAGAGUUGAUAAUAAAUAUAACUACAUAGUCUUUGUGGGAUCGAUCCUUACUCGCUCUGUACUAAUUAUUUAUAUUAGUGAUAAGGUUUUAAAUUUUGUGCACCUUAACGACACUACCAAACAAUAUAUAAUUAACGUAUAAAAUUGCAAUUAACAUUUCUCAUAUAACAUAUAACAAAAUAAUAAAUAAAAAUUAUUAUUAAGUAUAUACCAUCUCUUAAAUAAGUAUAAAGGCCGGAUUCGGGCUUCCAAUUUCCAAAACACAAGAGACUUUUUGAGAGAAUGAGAGUCAACACUCAACAGCCGUGAAUGGUGGAGACUGGAGUGGAUCGGGGGCAGCUUGCUGGAUGGGUCUUCAAUCGGACUGAGUGCUGGUGGAGUGGAGGAUUCAAGGCGUGGAUCCGGUGCUUGGUUGCAGCAGAUCUGUAGAUCAGGUCACGAUCUUCGCGAAUCAGCUUCAGCUUCGGUUUGCGUCAUUCUCGGCGGCGGUUGCUACGUGUGGUGGCCGGAUGAAGCUAGCUUCGUGAACUGUGCGUGUGCGUUUGCUGCGUGUGGUGAGCGACGGAGGCCGUGAGCAGUGAGGCGUGAAUGGGUGUGGGUUGGCUGCUUGUGCUUGACAGUUGACACUUUGAGUCUUUGACAGCUUGAGUGCUGGAUUGUUUUGUGACUGUGUGUGCUAAUGGCAGUUCUUUGUGAGGGACGUGAGACCGUGAGGCCGUGAGUGACAGUGAGGGUUUGUGACUUUGUUUGUGUUCUUUUCUUUGUGAAUUUUUGUGGUGAAUAUUGAAUACUUUGUGUUGUGUACUUGUGUGUGUGUUGUUGUCUUGUCUUUGCGAAUUUAACUGAAUACUGUGACUGUGUGAUACUGUGACCCUGUGACCGUGAGUGUGUGACUUUGUGAGUCUGUGACUCAGUGAUUGUGUGAGUGUGUGAGUGAUACUGUAAUUUUUGGCUUUGUUCUUUUUUUUUUUUUGUCUCAACCCGAUCGGGUUUUCAGAUUGGAUCGGGUUUCACCCGAUCCGAUCAUGAUCCGCUCGGGUUGAGACAAAUUCACCCGAUCGGGUUUUCUUCACUACUCGAUCCGAUCUGAACCCGAAAUUUUUCGGAUCGGGUCGGGUCGGAUCGGGUCGGAUAUUUUGCCCACCCCUAAUUACCGUUAUAAUUUAGUUACUGCCAUAAUGACCUACAUUCUCUCCAGUUUUGAUCCAGUAAAUUCAUAUUCUAAUUUCAUAACUAUGCCUUUUAAAGUUUAAUCUAUGUAUAUUUAUAUUUUUAUUAAUUAAUUGUUUCAAAUCCAUUGGCAAUCUAUUUUCAAAAGAAAAAUCUGUGGUAUUUUUAUGUCAGAUUAUGAAGUUCUUUAGAUUUUUUUUAAUUGAGUUUUUCCAUGUAAUUUUACAUAUUUAAGAAAAAAAGAUAUGUCUAAACAAUUUAUGAAACAUCCUCUAAAAAUAAAAAGCAAUUAAAAUUUAUGUCUAUUUUGGUCAUUAUAUAACAAAACAACAUUUUCGUAAUAUAAUUUACCAAACGCAUAUACUCUACUUUUCAAACUCACAGCAACUGUAAUAGUACAGUUUACCAAACACAAAGCUACUUUUUUAAUCAGCAACUUAUUUCAUCUGCACAGUACAAAUAGCUUAUUUCAUCAGCCUCCGCAAUCCCAAAUUGGCCCUACGUAUCCCAAAUAUUAAUCUCAAAACACAUUUCAAGUGAUAUAGCAGCUGAUGUGGCAUCCACUUAUAAAUUUCAUCUAAAUUAAAAUAGACCCUAUGAAAUAAUUUAUUUUAAAUCUUAUCAGUUUAUUACUCCUUUAUAAUCAAAUACCUUUUUACAAUUAAAAUUCUUUUAAUCUAUAUCGUUUUUUGCUUGGCUGCAAAUUAAACGAAGAGAGAACAAAAGUUUAGGAAGAACAAAGCUUUCAGUUUCUCUUCAAUCAUGACACAUUUCUAUUUCUACCAAAUUAUUUUACUAUUACUCAAAAAUCUGCACUUCUGGGAAAAAAAAUAUAAAUUGAUGGGAUUUUAAUUGCUCGGCUGCAAACUAAAUGAAUAGAGAGGGGUAGUUUAGGAAGAACAAAGCUUUUAAAUGAGACGGCGGAUUUAGGAUCAAAAGAAUUAGAAGACUCUCCAAAAAUCAUUACUACUUAGGUGAAAUGUUUUUUUUUUUCGUGUUUGUAUUAAUUGAUGCUGAAUUUAAUUAGUUAGACUUUUCGGAUUUAUUUGAAUUUUCGGAUUUAUUUGAAUAAGGUUGAUGACAAGAAUGAUAUAAGCAAUGAACCAAAAACUAAAGAAAUUAUUGAGCCAAAAAUUGGCAUGAUUUUUUAUACGACUCAAGAUUUGUUUUGAGUUCUACAAGAUAUGUGGGAAGAUAAUGAGAUUUGAAAUUAUUAAAAGAACCUCUAGCACAUGAGAUAAUGGACAGUUGAAAUAUGUGACAAUUUCAUGUUCACGCAGGGGUAAGGCAAAUUCUUUAUCAAGCCAUCCCUUUAGAUUACAGCCAACAUCUAAAACAAAUUGUAAGGCUAAAGUAAGGGCAACAACAUGUCUUGACGGAAAGUGGGGAGUAAGAUCCAUUACAUAUGACCAUAAUCAUGAGUUGAACACACCAAAUAAGGCUCGUUUUCUUGGAAACCAAUAGGGCAAUGAAGUUGUUUGUUCAAAGCAAGUUGGAAUUGAAUGAUCAAAUUGGAAUAAGACCAAAUAAAAGCUUUAAUUCUUUGGUGGUUGAAGGAGGAGGAUAUGAGAAUUUAGAUUUCCUAGAAAAAGAUUGUAGGAAAUGUUUAGACAAAGUAAGGCACUUCAGCUUGGGGAUGAGAUGCUUUUGUAGUUCAUGAUUAUUUCUUAAAAAUGCAAGAUGGCAACUCCAUUUUUUUUAAUAUAUAUGAUGGAUUUAGAUAAAGAUGCUCGGUUAAAAAAAUUAUUUUAGGCUAAAGUAAGGAGUAAAGUUGCGAAUAAAAAAUUUGGCGAUGUUAUUACAUUUGAUUUAACGUAUUUAGGAAAUAAAUAUGAUAUGCCAUUUGCUGCUUUUGUUGGGUUCAAUCAUCAUAGAUAGUCAACAUUAUUAGGAUGUGGUUUGAUUUCCAAUGAGGACACCAAGACAUAUGUAUGGCUUUUUCGAUCUUGGCUUACAUGCAUAUUUGGUUGCGUUCCAAAUUCCAUAAUCAUUGAUCAAGAUAAGGCCAUGCAGAGGGCGAUUGAAGUUGUCUUUCCACGUGCGUGACAUAGGCAAUGUUUGUGGCAUAUACUGAAAAAGUUUCUAGAAAAAUUAAAAGGUUACAAGAAAUAUGAAUUGAUCAUGUUGACUUUGCAGAAUGUUGUUCAUGAUUCUUUAACAACUUUUGAUUUCGAUGAAUGUUAGAUGGUGUUCAUUAAAAAAUAUAAUCUUCAUAACAAUGAAUGGUUGCAAGGCUUAUAUAAUAAGAGGCGACGUUGGGUGCCAGCAUAUGUAAAGGAUAUGUUUUGGGUAAGAAUGUCUACAACAUAGUGUAGCGAGAGUAUGCAUGCAUGCUUUAAUGGUUAUGUAAAUUCAAAAACUACUCUAAAGCAAUUUGUUCAAAACAAUAUGGGAAAUGCACUACGAGACAAGGUGAAAAAACGAGACAAGCUGAAAAAACAAAAUCGUGCUGAUUUUAAUGAUUUUAAUUCUAAUAUCCCUUAUGCGACUCAUUAUGCCAUGGAGCAGCAAUUCUUAAUGCUUAUACAAUGGAAAAAUUUAAAGAAUUUUAGCAAGAGCUAAAAGGUAAAAUCUUUUGUGAGACAUUUUUAUGUCAAACAAAUAUUUUAACUUCAAAGAUUAUAGAAGUUGAAGAUGUUAAAAUUGGAGAGGAUCACCGUUGUGACCCUUUUGAAGUUUCUUUUAAUGAGGUUAAUUGGGAGAUUAAUUGCAAAUGUCUACUAUUUGAGUUUAAGGGAAAUAUUAUGUCGACACAUCAUUGCGGUGCUUAUUCAUAAAGAAAUUUUUUUUAUUCCUGAAAAGUAUAUUUUUAGGCGAUAGAGAAAGGACAUAAGAAGAUGUCACACCAAUUAGGUGAAAGUAAGUAAAGACAAUUGGAGCACCAAACUUGAAGGUUUCAGAUUUGAUAAGAUGUUCAACUUUUUUUUAUGAUGUAGAUGAACUAGCAACUAAUAAUAAGAAUAAUUGCAAUAUGUGUAGGAGGUUUUAGAUGAUUUGAAAGCAAAAUUGAUGUUAAAUAGAGGUAGUGGUGAAAUUAGUCAAUCUAGCAGCAAUAUAGUUCAUGGCACAACAGAAUGUGGGGAGCUUCGUGGUAUUCAUAGUGGUUAAAUUCUUUCUCCAUUAGCAGUUAGAAGUAAAGGUUGUCGGCGUUACAAGCAAAAGCAAUCUAAAAGUGAGCAAAUUAUUCGGAGAAAAAAAAACAAAAGAAAACAACCAAAGAAUGAAAUUAAUUAAUUUUAUCCAAAAUGCUUGUCAAAUAUUUUAUUAUAAUGAUCUUGUAAUUCCUAUAUAUUAUUUCAUUCAAGGGAUCUUAAAUGAUAAGUGGUGAACCACAAAGAUAUUGAUUAGACAACAACGCCAUUCAUGCAACAAUUACUUCUAAUAAUCUAAUGCAGGUAUUGUGUUAUUAUUCUUUCUGCUUGUUUUAUAAUUAUCAGGAGUAUGUGACUCUUAUUGUCAUUAGGUCGAUGCCAUUUUCCUUUUAUCUUUAGGGUAAUACAUGGAGAAAAUCAUAAUAUUUUUUUCUCAUAGUUACAAUUAAACCUUUAGGUUUUUCUUUUUAACUAAUUCUUUUUAAUAUUUACAAGUCAAUCGAGAGUUGUAAGGAUAUUGAAGUAUGAGCUAGCAAGAAGCCAAACAUAAAAAGAUGGAGAUGAAGAAUUUAUUUGAAAACAUUAUGUCAUCAAACUAUAAUGCUAGAUUAUUAUCAAAUUACUUUCAGAGUUUGGUUUUUGCUAUGAAAUUUAUGAUGAAUUGUGGAUUUUUAAUUGAAUGGAGGUUUACAGUUCGGACUAUUCCGAUUUAGAGUAACAAUAGAAUUAGAAUGUUAUGUUUUUGCAAUUUUAUGUUUUUUUUACUAUUAACGAAUUUUGCUUUAAAAGAGAAAACGAGUGAACAUUUUACUGAGGGCUGAAGAAUAUUUUAAGUCUUUCAUAAUAAUGCAACUGAAUAUUGCUGAUAAUUUCUCAUUAAAUGACAAAGCUUAAGUGUAGAUUGAUUUUCAGUACAUAUUGAGUUUACAGAAAAAGCUAAUUCUCUUGGGUUUCGUUGAAAUAAAUACAAAUAUUUAUUUAUACUCUUCCCCAUGUUUACUGCUACUAACUAUUGAAUAUGAAUAAUCACUGGACGGAAGCUAUUAAUCUUCUAUCAUGUAACUAUACUUUCUUGUCCAGUGAACAUUUUCAGCUUGUGUAACCUCCUUACUGUAUGCUACACGCAAUGCAAUAUAGCAUAAAAAAACUAAUGCCGAUAACUAGACAAUUUGCUCUCCAAAAUACACAAGCUAAACCAAUGGAGCAAUCAUUCGUGUCUCAGUUGCUCUAGAAGUCAUGACCAAAUUCCCAAUAAACUUAACGCAAAAAAUGAGGUUCAUCACUGUCCACAACUUUAGUAUCAUAAGAUACUUUAACAAUCAAUUCAGAUCUCUUCUUACUAAUGUCACAAAAUCUUUUGCAAUAUUUCAUAUGCUACCUGGGAAGUAAAAACAAACAAAACCUAGAUUAAACUAUUGCUUUUGAGAUUAAAGUAAAAAGGGAAAACUUUGAAAAUAGACCCAUUUUGGUUCAAAUGCAAAAUUUCCAAGCUCUUGAUAAUUUUUUUUCUUAAAGCAAAAUCAGGAUGAAACAAAGUAAAAGAAGUGAUUUCUAACAUGACCCAAUUAAAUUAUAGCGUUAAAUCAAAAAGUGGAGAAAUUAUACAACACACAUGAUUGUUUAACGCAGAAAUAAAACAAGAGCAUAAUGCAGAAAAAAUAAAGACGUUUUAAGUGUAAUAUGUAAAACUAAAAACUAAAAAGUUUCUAGUCACUUGAUAAACAAGAAGGAAAAUUAUUCAAUACAAAAUCUAGCUACCUAGUUUAAAAAAUGAAAUCUUUAUUCUUAUUAUAUUACUAUUUAGGAAGGAAGAUCAAAAUCAUUUAGAAAACAAAAGCAAUUAUACAAAAGGGGAUUGGGGAGCGAUAAGAUGGUGCCAUCGAAUGCAAAACACUUCUCCCAGAUUUAUACACCCCAUUAGUCCUCUUAUUUCUUUUAACCCAAAUCCGCUAUCUCAAUCACAAGAAAAUGAUGUAGAUACCUGAUAAAUAAUAAAAAAUAAACAAAUAAGAAUCAAUAAAUACAGGCGGCAUGUUUUAAAAAUUUAAUUUUACAAUAGCUAUUGCAAGUGCAGAUUUUUGAGUAAUAGUAAAAGGGUUUGAUAAAAAUUACAAACGUGUCAUGAUUGAGAAGAAACAGAAAGCUUUGUUCUUCCUAAACUUCCUCUCUCUCUUCCAUUAGUUUGCAGCCAAGCCAAAAACUAUAGAUUGAAAAGAAUUUUAAUUGUAAAAGGCAUUUGAUUGUAAAGGAAUAAUAAGGGGAUAAGAUUUAAAAUUAAUUAUUUUAGAGGGGUCUAUUUUAAUUUAGAAGAAAUUUAUAAGUGGGAUGCCACACAUUAGCUACCAUAUCAUUUAGGAUGUGUUUUGAGAUUAAUAUUUGGGAUAUGUACCAUUAUUGUUUGGAUACAAAUUCUUUCGAUUUUUGGAUACAAAUUUUAUCAAAAUAGGCUCCUCUUAAAAAUUGAUUCACCAUUUGUAAGUUCAUAAUUGUGCUACACAGGCCCUGAGAUUUCAUGUUGAGCAAUACUCUUCAAUUGAGUCCACUUUAUGAUAAUGUAAAUAAAAAAAAAAAACUUAUCAUUGAAAAGUUAAAUCUAACAAUCAGAAAAAUAAUAACAGUGAUGUUUUAAUGAUAGUAUGAAAUAAAGGGAUGAACUGAGUAUUUAGUCAAAAUAUAUUGACUACUAAUAAUGUGCAAGCAUCAUGCCAGUGAGUGCUAGCUAAACCAAAAAAUCGAAAGCAAGCAUUUUAUCGAACAUCUCAAAGGUAAUCUCAUAUUUGUGUGUCUUUCGUUCUUAUUUCAUCAUCAUUGAUAAUAACCUACCCAAACCCACUGUGUGAGAAAAUAUAAAGAAAAGUGUUUGCCAAGCGAGAAAAUAACAAAGAAACAAGAGGAAAGUUUGAAGAAGAAACUAGAUCUUUAUUAUUGUUGUAACAAUGAAAAGAAUGUUUACAACAAUUUAUAUAGCAGUUGGAAUAACUAAUUGAAGCUACUAGAAUCUACACAAAAUAGUAAUGCAAAUACAAUUAACAAAUUCUGUUAUGCACAAUAGAGGGAAGCAACGAAUUCUGCCAGCUCAGCAUAAGGAAGUAUCUGUUGUGUGUGCAUUUAGUUGCAUCCAGUAAGCUUACACUAUAACUCUGUUUCAGAUAUGCUAACAUCCCCCCUCAAGCUGAAUGGUCUAGGAAGAACAUUCAGCUUGGAUCUAAGAUACUGAAACUGGCCAUAUGUCAGUGCUUUAGUAAGAACAUCAGCUGUUUGAUCCUCACUAGGAACAAAGUUGAUUGAAAUUUUUUUUGCUGCAACUUUCUCCCUAAUAAAAUGAAUGUCAAGCUCAAUGUGUUUAGUCUUUGCAUGAUAAACUGGAUUAGUAGCCAAGGAUAUAGCACUCUGAUUAUCACACCACAUAACUGGUAUUGUUUCCAUUUUAACCUUUAAUUCAGUAAGCAAGGCUUGAAUCCAUAGAACCUCAGUUGUACCCAGUGCCAGAGCUCUGUACUCUGAUUCUGUGCUAGAUCUAGAUACUACAUGUUGCUUCUUUGAAGACCAUGACACCAAAUUUGAGCCAAGAUACACCGCAUAACCUGCUACAAACCUUUUGUCAUCUCUAUCACACGCUCAAUCAGAAUCACUGAAGCAAGUUAUUUGUAGAUUGCCACUGUGGUAUAGUUGGAGACCAUAGUGAAUUGUACUUUUAAGAUACCUCAGUAGCCUCCUGCAGGCUUGCCAAUGUUUUGUUGUAGGAGCUGCCAGAAAUUAGCUUAGUUUGUUUACUGUAAAAGCUAUGUCUGGCCUUGUCAAUGUCACAUAUUGCAAUGCCCCAACAACAUUUCUGUACUAAUAGGAAUUGUCAAUUUCAGUGCUUGAGUGCUUUGUAAGUUGAUGAGAAGUAGCCAUUAGUGUAUGUACUGGACUGCAACUAUUUAUGCAUUGUUUUGACAGUAAAUAUGCAAUAUAUUUGCUUUGAGAGAGAUGAAUACCUUCUUUGGUUUUUGUUACUUCAACACCAAGAAAGUAAUUAAGCUCUCCUAGAUCUUUAAGAGCAAAAUUUUCCUGCAUAUAAGAAAUUACUUGCAGCACACUAAGUGGAUUAGAACCAGUGAUGAUUAUGUCAUCGACAUACACUAGAACUAGCAAAAAGUGACCAUUAACCCACUUGUAAAAUAGAGAUGAAUCUGACUUACAAUUAACAAAGUUCCACUGUGUAAUCAUGGCAGAUUUCAGUCUAUCAAACCAAACCCUCAGAGCUUGUUUUAAUCCAUAGAGAGCCUUUUUAAGUUUGCAAACAUGAUGUGGCUUAGAAGGGUCAACAAACCCUUCUGGUUGAUUCAUAUAGACAUCUUCAGUAAGGAUGCCAUUUAAGAAGGCAUUAUUAACAUCAACCUGUCUUAUUAACCAUCUGUUCAUCACUGCUAGACUGAGUACAACUCUUAUUGUAGAUGACUUAAUAACAAGGUUGAAAGUUUCACUAUAGUCAACACUAUAUGUCUGAUGAAACCCUUUAGCUACAAGUCUUGCUUUGUAUCUCGACACUGACCCAUCUGAGUUGUACUUGAUUCAAAAUACCCACUUAUUACCAACUACUUUGACAGGUGUUGUAGGUUCAACAAGAAUCCAAGUUUGAUUUGCUUAAAGAGCAUUGAAUUCUUCUUUCAUGGCUUUAAACCAUUUAGGAUCUGUUAAAGCUUAUGCUACAGAGGUUGGUUCAGAUGGUUUAGAUAGAAGAACAGUAAGAUAUAUUUUUGGUUUGAAAAUACCAGCUUUAGACCUGGUGAUCUUAGGAUGACCAGAAGGCUGUGAUGCUGGUAAUUGAUGAGUAGGUUGAGAUGAAGAGGAUGUGUUAUAUUCUGUUGUGACAGGAACUUGAUUAUUUGAAGAGGAUACAGGUGAAGCACUAAUGGAUAAAGGAGAUGAAAACUGAUGAGAAUCUUGAGGUAGAGAUUCUUGAAAUUUAGUUGCUGAGAAAGGUACUGGAAAGGCUUACAUUGAGGAAGAUGAAGGUGUUGUAUUAGAAUUUGACAGACUUGAGUUUGUGACUGAAGAAAAAUCAACACCUGACUGAUAGGGAAAUGAUUUUUCAUCAAAAAUUACAUGGUUUGAAACAUACACUUUUCCAUAUGAAUGAAGACACUGAUAGCCUUUAUGAUGUGGACUGCAGCCUAUGAAUAUGCACCUGCUUGACCUGAACUCAAGUUUAUUUCUAUUAUAAGGUUUAAGGUAGGGAUAACAUGCACAUCCAAACACUUCUAAAACUGAGUAAUCUGGAUGCUGCUGGAAAAGUUUGAAGAAAGGUGAUACAUUGUUUAAAAUAGGUGUAGGUAAUAUGUUUAUAAGAAACACAGCUAUGUGGAAUGCAUUCCACCAUAAAUGCAGGGGUAAUUUGGAUUGAGCUAACAAAGUCAUACCAACAUCUACAAUAUGUCUGUGUUUUCUUCAUGUCCUUCCAUUUUGAUGAUGGAUAGGAGGACAAGGAUGCCUAAAUUGAAUCCCAGAAGCAGCUAAUAAGGAAGAAAAAUAUUUGACUUCAUCCCCUCAGUCAGUUUGAACAAUUUUGAUUUUCCUGUCAAGGUGUUGUUCAAUAAAAGUUUUGAACAUUGUAAAAACUUGUAAUGCAUCAAACUUGGCUUUUAAGGGAAAUAACCAAGUAAAUCUCCUAAAGUCAUCUAGGAUGGAUAAGUAAUAGUUGUAGCCUUGAGUAGAUGUUAUAUGCGAGGGUCCCCAGAGAUCAGCAUAUAUGAGUUGCAAUAGUGCUGUGGUUUUUGUUUCUACAGAACCAAAAUGUUGAAGAUGGUUUUUACCAAGUUGACAGGCAGUACAAAAAAUCAAAUUUGAAGCUUUAUUAAGAUCAGCAAAUGUAUUACAAUGCUUCAUUACAGUUUUGAGAAUAUGUAUGGCUGGAUGUCCUAGCCUUUGAUUAAGCAAAUUUACAUCUACUGAAUGAACAGACACUGACAUAGCAGUAGGCUUCCAAAUUGCAUUAUUUGAACAAGCUAAAGUUUUUGAUUGACUUGAACUGAAACUUGACUCAUCAGAAGCAGAAAGAGUAGCAAACAUAGACAAAUGCUUAUGAGUAGGAAUUUGAGAGUAGUAAGCUGAGAAAGUAGGUUUAGAGACUUCAGAGUUUGAGGAGAUAACAUCUUGAAUCUGAUACAAGCCUUCCUUAGCAAUACCUUUAAGCAAAAGAAUUAUUGUGUUCCUGGCCUUAAUGAGAUAUAAAUUAUCAAAAAAUUCAACAAGAACAUUGUUAUCAGUCAAGAGCUGAGACACACUUAGCAAAUUUUUGGUUAUAUAAGGCACAUGUAAUACAUGAUUAAGUAAUAAGGGUUCAUGUGAGUGUGUAGCAAGCAAUACAGAUCUUAUAUGUUUGAUUUUCAAGCCAUUUCAAUUUCCUAUAAGUAAUUCUUCUUAUCCAUAAUAAGGUUGCAGGUCAAGAAGUUUACCUGAAUCAUUUGGGAUGUGGCUAGAUGCUUCACUAUCUAUAUACCAUGAGGGAUCUUCAAUUAUUUCAAGUGGAGAAAUGACUGAAGCAGCAGAGUUUUGGCUUUGAUUGAAUUUAUGAUCAUUAUUCAUUCCAUUAUAAUAGUUGAAAACAGCAGGAUUACUAGGACCAAAGUAAGAUGAAUUAAAAGGCAUUUUAGUAACAUGAUCUGAAUAUGCUAGUUCUGGAUAAGCAAUGUGACCUUGAUAGCUAAAUCCUUUCAAGAAGGCACCAUUACCACCUCUUCUAAAGUUAUUGAAAGGCCUUUGGCCAGCAAUAUUUUGAUUGAAGCCUCUACCAAACUGAUUAAACAUAGGUAUAAAAUUUCCUCUUCUAGGACCUCUUUGAUGAACAAAAGCAGAAUUAUACAUGUUUUUGCACUUAUUUGCACCAUGACCAGGAAUAAAGCAGAUCUGACAAACUAUAUUCGGCUUAAAUGGCAUAUUAUUUCCUCCGUUACUUCCAUUUCCAAAAUUAUUUUGUGCAUUACCACCAAAACCUCCUAUGCCUCUCUGAUAACCAGAUUUUUCUUUAUAAAAUCCUUGAUUCUUUUGCACAACAUUAGCAGUAAGAUUGUGCAUAACAUCAAAGCUUAAUUUUCCUUUCUUCUGAUCAAGCCUCAUUUCAUGACUCAACAAUAUUGCAUAUAAUUCAUCUAGACUCAUAUUUUCUCCUUUUGCAAGCAACGUAGUAACUAGUGAUUCAUAAUCUUGUGAAUCCAGACCAAUUAAAAUGUACGUUACCAGAUCAUUAUGUUCAAUAGGCUUUCCAACAAUAGCAAGAUUAUUAGCUAAACGUUUCAUUUUAGAAAAGUAUGCAGUCAUAGGCAUAGAACCUUUUUUAGCAGUCUGGAGUUGCUUUUUGAGUGGCAUUAUUCUUGCCUGAGUUUGAGAAACGAACAUUCGAGUAAGUGACUCCCAAAGUUCUUGACAAGAUACACAAUGAAUAACAGAUGUCAGCAAAUUCUCUUUAAUUGAUGAAAACAUCCAGCUGAUGAGUAAUUGAUCUAUUCUGAUCCAGGAGGCAAAUGCAGGAUUCUCAGUUCUUGAAUUGGAUCCAACAUUUGAGGAGCUUGAUGCUUCAUUGAUCUGAUUGAGAUACUGAUCUGGACACUGAUUUGCUCCAGUUAUAAAUCCUUCCAAUCCAUUCCCUUUGAUUGAAGCUAAAACUUGAUUUCUUCACACCAGAAAGUUGUUUUGAUCAAGUUUGAUAAGUGCAACGAAGUUAUAAGACUUCAAAGUUGUUUUAUGCAACAGGUGAAUAAUCGACAGUGAAGCAUUCGUAAAGAUGCACUAAAGCACAACAUCAAUCAGAACCUCCUUGUUUUAGAUAAAUAUUCUAAAUGUUCGAGCUCGCCAAAUCAAUUAUUUGCACGAUCAAGAACAUAUCCAUUCCAACCACACAUAUUCUAAAUGUUCAAGCUAUUAGCGGUGCUAUGUUCAUCAGUUCUUCUCCAUCAAUCAAUCAAAUAGAAGAAAGCUGUCAGAGAUAUUUGAUCAAACAAACAUAUACGUGAAUUUAAUUUGAAUCACGAACUACAUGUUUUGUAGCCAUACAUUAAUAAAAAAAAAUUGGAUGUGACAAUUGAAGAAAAUGUAAAGGAUAAGACUUGAAAUAUUUGCCUUUUUUUACCUUUUUUUUAGUAAAUAAAUUAUUGUCCUCUCUCUUUGUUAGAUUCCUAUAUUCAAUGAUUACUCACACCGAUAACUUUGGUUAGAAUAUUUGAGAAAAUAUUUGCUUUCAAGUUCAAAGAAGAAACUCAAGCAUAUUCCCUUUCAAAAUUUGAUGGAUAAAAAAAAAGAAAUGAAAAAUGAAAAUUGUACGUCUAUGAUAGUCAAAAAGUAACAAAGUUUUAUUUGUUAAUUAUAGAAGAGGCCUACGUGUGAAGGCAUAAAGGAUGAAGGGUGAUGGGUUUUAUCUAGUUAACAACAGAAGCUUAUUUAGUUCUUUGAUUUAAAAGUGACAAAACCCUAAACCACUUUUUGUAGUUACGAUUUGAUUGAUGUAAAUAUGUCAAUUUCUAGCUUUUGAUCCUUUUUCAUUUAUCCGAAAUGUUUGCUAAAGUUGGUUUAUUCCUAUGUUUGCCAUAAUUUUAGUAGUUGGUUUGCAAAAAGAUACAUAGAAAAGAUGGAGUUUGGUUGUUUCUGUUAGCCUAUAUGGCUAUAAAUAUUGAUUUUGAUGAUAACAAACCACAUGUGUUAGUUAAACAAAGAUUUAUGAAUUAUGCUUUUACAAUAAGAAAAUGAUUUUAUGGAAUUAAAGUGUUUUGAACUAAAAUGAAAGUAUUUUAUAAUCUUUAAUAUUGUUUUAAAAUUUCGGAUUCGGACCUAUUUGAAAAUAUUUAAAUAUUUUAGGUCAUUCUAUAAUUUCACAUAGUUUGGGUGAUAUCAUAAUUUCAAAAAGUUUUGGGAUUGACAAAGUAUUAUUUAAAAAUUCUGAAAUUGGACCUAUUUGAAAACUUUCAUAACGUUUUGGGUCAUAAUACAGUUGUAUAAAGUUUUGGGGUUAAACUGUAAUUUCAAAAAAUUAUUUACUGUAGCAGUUACUGUAGCAAGCGGCUGUUUGGAUUUUGGGCAAUAAGCUUCUGGAACAUAAGCGGCUAUCCGGAUUUCGCAAGCGGCUAUCCGGAUUUCAAAAGCGGCUAACCGGAUAUGACAAGCGGCAUGCCAGAUAUUCUGAAAUUCAAAUUUUUACUGUAACGGUAACAUAAAAGCGGCUAAUCGGAUUCUAUAAACGGUAAGCCGGUUAUCACCAAAAUGUGCAUAACGGCUAGUUUUUGAGCUCAAACUAUAUAAGCUCAAAUCCAAUUCAUUUUCAAGCUAUCUAGCAAGCAAAAAUCGAAAAAGCACACAACUUCAUUGAGCUCUCAUUUCGCAAAUCAUAAAACCUUGAAUCAUCUUUUGUUCUUCAAUUUGUAUAUCUACUCUUUAAGAGAGUUUUCAUUGUAAUCUUCAAUUCAUCAUCUUAAUUGUGAGUGUUUGAGUGUGUGAGACACUUGAGUGAAGAGAUUAGGAGACAAUCUUUGAGUGUGUGAGACACUUGAGUGAAGAGAUUGGGAGACAAUCUCUUUGUUGUAAAGGUUCAUUGACACAUUGAAGUCAAUUGUAAACAUUUGAAGCCUUGGAAGGCUUGGAUAGUGAAAUCCUCAAGUUUGGAUCGCUUGGAGGCGUGGAAGUAGGUGGAGAUUGCCGAACCACGUAAAAAUUCGUGUGUUUGUUUCUCUUCUCUCUUACUUAUUUGUGAUUGUGUUUUUAUUGAACUUAUUGCUUUCGAAUUUAUUAAAGCGUUAGAUUGGAUUGUUGUGUGGUUUUGUUAGGAUAAUUUUUAAAAUACCAAUUCACCCCCCCUCUUGGGUUGCACACUUGUAUUUCAGUUUCAACUUAAAUUUUUUACUUAAAAUUUUAAUACAAAUUUUGAGUUAUUGAUUUUAUACAAUCCAAUAGUCGAUGAAUUGACAUAAUUAAAUAGUAAUUUGAUUUUCAAUAUCUACCCCUGAAUUGCAUACAAUUAAUAGCUCGAAGUUUAUGUUAAAAUUUUAAAUAAAAAAUUUAAAUUAAAAUAACCCCUCCCUAGCUAAAAGAUAUUAGGGAGCCCAAUUUUAUUUUAUAUAAGCAAUAUUAUCGAUUGUACGAUUUAUAUUCAGUUCAUCUUAUAUAUAUAUAUUUUUUAUAUUUUAUGGGCCUACUAAGAUUCCUUUAUAAAUUUUAACACCCUCAUCUUGUCCUCGGCGUUAAAAUGUUAACAUGGAAAGCACAUAAUGUUGAAAAGUUUACGUGACAUUUUAAGUUCAUUAUCUAUCAACCUAAAUUUGGACAAUGGACCAUUGCUCACCAAGUCUCUUUGUUCUCAAACUGGGCGACGGCCGGAUGACAAUCCAUCGCCCGAGUUGAUCAAAAGCCCAUUCCAAUAAAAAAAAUAAAAACAAAUCAUUUAAUUCGGUUUAACGAAUAUAUAUAUAUAAUCAUUCUCAAGUGCGGACAUACUUUUAAAUCUUGCGGUUUAACAGAGUUAAUUAUUGAAUAAAUUAUAAAACCAUGCGGUUUUAAAAAGUUAAAAACUAACUAUUUUAAGUCCGCAGUUUUAAAGUAUAUCCGCAUGAAAAAUAAAUAAAGGCGCCCGCACUAGAGAAUGACUAAAAUUUUUGUUUUAAGUUACGAGUUACUUGCAAACAAUGUUCGUGACAUUGAUAUAUUCUUUAGCUUUUGAACCAUGGGAAACAGUUCAUACAUAUAUAGUCUACCCUGUACCUAUAUGUAUUCUCUGGUGCCAAAUAAAAAGUAACAACAAAGUGCCAUUGCCAAAGCGUACAUGAUGGUAAUGGAGGGCGACUUUUACUUUAACUUCAGAAUUGUGGGCUACUCACUUCUGUUAAUGGAUAACAAACAACAUCAGCCCAGACCUAGAAAGCACUUUUAACUAAGCACUUCCAGGAUCCAACCCAUUAGUGCCUCGCUGAAAUUUCUUUGUACUAGCACUAUCGUACAUAAAAAAAAGGACACAAAAACAUGCAUACACACGUAACACUCCUCAGAAAUUGAAAAAAAAUAUUAUUUUAAACACCCCAAAAGGAAGCCAUUCUUCUUAUAAGUAGAGGCCACUAGAGCCCUCCAAAACCAUCCAUUUCUUUCUUUCUUAACUUCUUUGUCCCUCUUUGAUCUCUGGCUCUUUCUCAGUUCAUGCAAACUUGCCUUAAUUUUGUUAAGGAAUAUCAUGAUGUGAUGACUUGCUGAUAUUGUUGUGCUGAUGUGCAGGUUAUGUAUUUAGUCGAGUACUCACAAGGUGUGAAAACUAGUUGAGCCAGCUAGAAGAAUCUAAUGUAACAGAAUGCCAGUUGGCAUUUUAUGAUUAGUCAAUGUAUUUAGAUUAUGUUAUUGGGCUGUAGUUUGUUAUAGCUUGUAAACGAGUAUAUAUAGUGCUGUAUUAAUUUACUUUGCAUUGUAUUCAUUCAGCUAAUAAAAAUAAAAUUUCAGAUUCAUCUAGAUUCUUCUGGUUCAUUUUUCUUCUCAAUUUUCUCAUGACCCAAACACCAUAUCAACUUCAACAUGGUAUCAGAGCAAACAAACAUGACUAAUCCAAAUCACACAUCUUCUUCUUCCAUCUCUAUCAACUUUAUUCAACCAGUUAAGCUUGAUAGAUCAAACUACAUUGUAUGGAAGGCUCAGGUGCCUGCUUCAAUAAUUGCCAAUGGACUUGAAGGUUUGGUGAUAGUGUUUGUCCAGAUCGAUAUCUCACUGCAACAGAGGGAGAAUUUAGUAGAUCAACAGCUCAAGUUUCACAGAGGCAAGAGAAUCCAGAAUACAUUACCUGGAUGAAAACUGAUAAGCUUCUCCAGAGCUGGAUGCUCUCAUCAAUGGUGGAUAAUAUACUUAUUAUGGUGAUUCAUUGUGAAUCUUCACUGGAGCUAUGGGAGAUGCUUGCUCAGAUCCUCAUGUCACAGUCAAAGGCUAGAUAUCUGCCACUGAAGAUGCAAAUUCAAUCAACUAAGAAAGGAUCUCUCUCUGUAAGUGACUAUUUCAACAAAAUGAAGAAAAUAGCUGAUAGUUUAGCUAUUGGAGGUAAUGCACUUUCAUCUAAUGAGUUGAUCGUGCAUUUACUCAUUGGAUUAGAUGAUAGCUAUAAGUCUCUUGUGACUAAUAUCCUCACUAGACUUAAGAAGGAAGAACUUCCUGUUGAAUAAAUGUAUUCAAUGAUGCUUAGUCAUGAAACUAGGUUGGAGAUAAGCAAGGGAAAAUUACAGAGUGAGGUUAUGCAUGACAUGACUGCUAACUUUGCUCAGAAAGGACAAAAUCCUAACAAUAAUGGCUAUGGAACUCAGAAAAAUAAUAAUUCUGGUGGAAAUUUUGGAGGAUUUACUGGAGGCUAUGGUGAUAAUACGAAUGUUUUUGCUGGUUUUAAUCCAGGAAAAGAUGUCAUCUGUCAGAUAUGUUUUAUUCCUGGACACUCUGCAGACAAAUGUAAAAACAGGUUUAAUCAGGGAUUUGUCCCAAGAAACAGAGCUUUUGGGGGUUUAGGCCUAGAGGAGUUCAAAACUAUCAGAAUCUUAAAGCAUUUACUGGUAAUGGUCAAAACAACAUUGGCAGAGGCUUUAGACUUGCUUAUCCUAGACAGGCAGUACCAUUUCAUGGCUAUGUUGCAUACCAAGCCCCAAGCUUCAUCUAUCCUCAGAAUAUGCCAGAGUACCAAGGAAACAGUGGAAACUAUAAUCAUUGUGCUUUUCCUGGAUUAGCGGCAAACACAAUGUUUGCAGGACAAGUUACUUCUUCUGCACCAACAACUACUUAUGGUACAGCUGCAGAUUCAGCCUGGUAUCUUGACUCUAGUUCUACCAAUCAUGUAAUUCAGGAUCUAGGUAUCUUUGUUCACUGUUCAGCUUAUCUUGGUGAUGACAAAUUACAUAUAGGAAAUGGUAUGGGGUUAGCUAUUGAAAGUAUUGGUUCUGCUAUCAUUCAAACUCUCUCUGCGUUAUAUCUUUAUCUGCAUAAUAUCCUAUAUGUCCCAGUUAUAACUUGUUGAUUUAUAUUUUCUUAAAAUAAUGUGAACUUAUUGUAAUUAUUUUCUAAAAUUAGGGUGGGUUUACAAAAUUAGUGGGUGAAAAUAUUCCCACCUUUUGUGAUUUUUCCCUUACAACUUUUGCAGUUUUACAUAUCACCCCUGUGCCUUUUCACACUCAUUUUAGACUUUUGCUUCUAAAAGUUUACUCCUAUGAAUUUUGGCCCUAUUAUAUUUUUCUAGAUCUUCCUAGCUUCCGCGAUAGUUUCAUGUAGGGUAAAUGGUAACAAAAUUCAUGCUAGGAACUUGAUUAUUUUAGGAUUCAAGAUAUUAAUUCAUGUUGUGUUGAGAGUGAUUGUGAAAUUCACAUUGGAAACAUAUCGUUAUUAUAAGGCUUCAAACUACAAUAAUACUCAGCAAAACCUCUCUAAAGUCAUGUUUUUGGGACCAAUUAUUUUUGUUAUUAUAAGGAAGCAAUAACUUAAUAGAGGUGUUGUUACAAAAAUUAAUGUUUUGACAUAAUUAUCCUUAGUGCAAAUGAUAUAGAGGUAAAAUGUGCAUUACAUUAAUAAUUAAUUGAAGGAACAUGUCAAAUCUAAUGUAUAUACAUUGAUAAAAGAGAUAGACAUAGUUUAAAAAAAUUAAUGCAUAUGUCUAUGUAGUGUUAUACAAAGUCAUUCUAAAAGUCUAAGUGUUUACAUUCUCUUAAAUAUUUUUCUUUUAAUAUAAAUUCUAUAAAUACUGUACAUUAUAUAAAUUAUUAUCCCAAACAACUUUAAAAAUAAUAUUUUAUUUCAUUUGAAACCUUUAAUGUAAGAUUGCAUAAUGUUUUUGGAAUAUAGAAAUAAUUAUUGUGAUAGGGAGGCUAGUUUCUUGAGUUGUGAUUUAGGAAAACUAUAACUUAUCAUAUUUUGAAGUUUACCCUUAUUUGUAACUUGUCUGAAUUGAGAUAAAAAAAUUUUUUGACUAUAUACAAUUUAUUUGUAUAUAGUGUAUCACUAUAGAGAGAUUUUAAUAUAAAAUGGAAUAAUAUAAAAGUGUAAAUUAACAAAGGACUUGGCUUCAAUGAUGGUAGAUAAUUUAUCAGGAGUAAAAGAAAAUAUUAUUAAAAGCUAUAGUUAAUGAACUAGACUUCGCAAAUUUUUAUGCGUUACUAAUUGACUAAUUCUUUUCAUCGCGUCUAGACUCUGGAUUCUGAUCUAAGCAUGGGAAGGACACCUACAAGAUUGACAUCAGUUUAUUCAGAACAUUUCAUUAAUUAAGUUAUUUAUUAAUUGGAAGAUGAAGGUGAAAUUUCUAAAAGAAAAUCUCCUGGAUGCUUCCCUUUGAUUACGUCCAAUGCUAACACAUUGAAACUGUGCACAUCGCAUUUUUCAACGACCUUCAUGUUAUAAAUAUAAUCAUCUUAAUUUGUAGCACCAAAAUAUUUGUUCAAUGUAAUUGAAAAAAAUAUCAUGAUCAUGUACGUGAAGAUUCUUUUACUUAGCUUGAUUUAUUUAUUGGCUUAAUAACAAAAUAUAUAGGAAUAUCUUAUAGUUAUAAACUCAAAUAAGUUACAUACCUCUCCCUCCUUUUUCCUCCAUCAUCAUUUUGUUUAUAUUAAGAUGGAAAACGGACUCUUUUCUUUCAACCGACAUUUCGUUUUGAGUGAAUUUACUCAUCUGCAUUGUCGUGUCCUGUGUUGCUGGAGCCGAACCGACAUUGAUUUUAAUGUCGUCCACGGCCAUUGAGUUAGCCGCAUGCAUGACACGUGAUCUUCUGAACUAAAACGGUAUGUUGUUGCUGUCGUUUUGGAGUCGCAUAAACAUGAACCUGCUGAUCACGUGAUUCAUGACGGUUAUGGUUGUUGCUUUUGGCGGGAACCAGCUGGUGGCCAACAAGCCCAGAAGCAGACUUUCUGAGGCUGACUCUUGCGUGCAUUUCUUAGAUCUAAUCGUGAGAACUCUGAGAGAAAUUUAUAUUUGUCUUAACUCUUGGAUUCAAUAUAGUGAAAGCUUGAAACUUGUUUUCUCAGUGGAUGUCUGCACUAUCAAUAGGUGCUGGACCACUUAGUUAUGUAGGGUUCAUCUCACUUUGGUGGAUCAAAAAGUCCAAAGUCUAAAAUAAUUUAUUUGAUGUGUAAUUAUUGUAAAAUUUUGGACUUGGAUGAAAUUAACUAGAAAAUAUAUAAAGGAACUAAGUGGAGAAUUGCAAGAGCUGUAGCCAUUUCGUGAAGUGAGAAGACGUUGCGAGAGAGAAAGAGGUAUUUUAUUUUCUUUGGGUUUCAAUCUUUAAUUAAAUGAUCGGAAUGUGAUUUUAACUCCGAUUUCUUUCAAAUUUGAAGGAUAAGUUCCUGACAUCGCCCUCUACAUUUCUACUAUGUUGGUCUAUAUUUUAUUCUCUCGGUAGCUGUUAUUAGAGAUAUAGAUUUUAGAUCUAUUAUUGUAAGUUAAGAUUGUUGAGAAUUUUGAUAUUGUUAGCUUCUAAUGUUAUCUGGAGAAGAAUUUGUGGUGUAAUCCCAUUAAAUAGUAGAAGUUUAUAUCAGACUACGGUCCCGUGAAUUUUCCCAAUUUGAGUUUUCUGCGUAAAAAUCAGUAUUUCUUGUGGUUGGUUUUUGCUUUAGAUUUAUUGGUUUAUUUUUCUGCAUAUUUAUUUGUAGUGCACAUCUUAUUUUAAUCACACAAAGAGGGAAAAAGUUUUGUUUCCGCUUAAUUUCUAGCUGCUUGUGGUAGUCUCUUUCCCAACAAAUUCUUGUGUAUUUGUCUUUGUUUUGUUUCUGUUCUUGGUCGAUUAUUGAGUGCGUACAUUUCUUGAUCUGUUAAUCUUGCAUCGUGAGGAUAGAAUUAGGUUUUGGGGUGAGUUUAAUCUGAUUUACAAGGGCUGAAUUCACAAUAAUUGCUCUUUUAGUUUGUGUUGACUGAUUCGUGCUUGUGAGAAAAGAAAAAAUUACUAAUUUGAAUGAGAUAUUGCUCUAUGCUUCAGCUUCGUGGUUGAAGGCUAGCUGAUGCUUUUUUGCCUUUUCAAAGUUGGAACAAAUUUUUUUUUUUUUUUUAAGGGUAUUGUUUGUUUAAAAUUGAAUUUUUUUCUUACAUCUACUGUUCCGUAGUCAGUUUAAAUACCUAUAUAUUGUCUUAUGCAUCUUUUUGUUAUUGGCUAUUUGUUCAUUUUUCUGCUAGACGUGUUUCAUAUUUAAUUAAGAAUCUGUUACAGGUUCUUAAUUAUAUGAGAUCGCAAAGACUAAUGGAGGUAGGUCUGUACUUUUCUACUGGCAGUGACAUCCUAUUUUAUGCUUUGUUUCUUUAAAAUGUUUUUGCAAAAAAAUUUUGGAAGAUAACUUUUACCGUCUGUGCAGUGAACUGAACUUCAGCAAGUACAAAAAGGAAGAUUGGGUGGUUGUAAAAGAAAGUAAUUCUUAAGAAUCUCUCCAUCUUCGACAUUGUAGAAGAAACAAUUUCGGUCAGAAAAUGGGAUCACUUGCAAAGAAAGGAUUGCAACAGUUUUUGACACAGCUUCAGCAACAUGCUUUGAGAAAAAAGUUCCUUUCUUUCUCAACUGUUUCGUUGAUUUGUUUAAUUUCUGCCAUGGAUUUCUUUCUUUUCUUCUGUACUAUUUUCUGUUUGGUGGCUGAGAAAGUUGAAGAAAGCUUGAAUAUUUAUUACUCUAUGCAGGCAAUAACUGCUGGAGUGCUGCAAGCAACCAGUGACAUAAUUGCUCAGAAACUCAACGGGCAUUUACAAAACUUCAGCUGAGGAGGCUACUUCUUAAAGUGGUUAGUUUUUUCACAUUGCAUCUCUUCUAUAUUUGAUUUUCUGCCGUAACUCAAGAUAGCUAUAGUAUUCCGUGUUGUUAAUAAUUGCGUUUUGAUUUUUGUGUUUCACUGGAACAUUAGCUUUUAGCAUCUUCCAAUUGGUGAUGGGUGCUCGCAAUUCAUUUUUUCAUUCAUACUCUGAGUUUGGUGAAUGUUUUAUAUUAAGAAUUCAGUCCAUAGUUGCCAAAAUUUAUGUCCUAUUAAGCUUCAACUUUCUCUCUAGCCAUUUUCAAAACUUAUUCAGUUAUCUGCCCUGCAUCAAAUGCAUGCUUUCUCUUUAUACUGUGUAUUUGGUGCUCGUAAUUUUUGUUGACAUAUAUCAUCUCCGCUAUGAGGCUUGGUCAGAGGUUCGCUUCCUACAAAAUAUCUUGAAAAGGGUGACCUACAUUGUGGGAUGGGUAAUCAGAUAAGUCUACUAUCAAUUCCAUGCUCUCUUCCAAAUCCACAUAAAUAUGUAUUCCACACACCUGGUUGCUAGUGCACUUAAAUAUGCGAAUUUAUCUAAAGAGGAGAUACCUUUGUACAGUCUGUUAAGUAGGUAAAUGCCUGGUUUUGUUAAUGACUGCCAAACAUCUGACUAAGGAAAUGUGGCUUCAAAAUCUAGUGAUGCUAAAAUUUGAAGAUGGAAGUACACAACCACCUUCAGCGGAUGACUUGUUUGGUAUUUUGGGUUUGGAUUUUAAGGAUAAGCUACUUAAUGCCAACUGGAAUUAUUUGCUUGCUGAUGAGCAACAUACAGGUGAGGAUAGUACAAUGUCUAUGAAUGCUCCUGAAGUGAGUGCUGGUUUCUAUUCAGUUAAAGAAGGAAUAUUACAGAGCAGUUCGUUAUCCGGGAUGGGUACCAACCAUCUUUUCGAAGCUGUGGUCUCUAGGGCUAACUUUGUCUGGAAGCAGAUCUCAGAUGAUAAUGUCUCUUAUAGGACAACAUUGACACAAAUCAGUAGCUCCUCUAUUCCUACUAAUUCUCUUUCCACUGGGCAGGUUAAUUUGUCUAACUGAGUGCAAGCGGAGCUAUUGGCCUUACUAAGUCUUGACGAAGGCAGGGACUGGAGAAUCCAACUCUUUUCAGUCUGGUUGGAGCUAGGAUAAUGGAGGAAAUUGUUCUCAAACUACUUCCAUAUACGGGUCCCAUAUCAGUUCCUGGGUAGAACAGGGUCAAAGUGUGAAGCGUGACGGUAGUGUCUCGACUACGUAUUCUGAGAAAAACGAUGAAACAGCUAAAUCAAAUAGCAGAAGACUUAAUCUUGGUGAGAAGAUGAGGGCCCAAAGAUCACCAGAUGAUUCAAGAUCGCGUUAAAGAGUUGCGAGAAAUUUUACAAAACAGGGGAAAAUUAAUUGCAUUUAUUUUCACUAAUUAUCUUAACUUUAUCUGUGUCUUGUCAAUAGUAAUUUAUAUUUUAAUAUUGAUAUUUGUCUUUAUUCCCUUAAUAUGGUUCAACAUUGUAGGAUUGUGUAGCAUAGAGGCACUUCUAGAACGUUCCGUCAAGCACAUGCUGUUCUUGCAGAGUAUGACAAAGCACGCUGACAAGCCUAAAACAAACAGGGGAAUCAAAGGCAUAGGGGACGUCUAAUUUUUGUACUUUUACCAUCAUAUUUGGCGUACGAGUUUAAAUUUAUUACAUAAAGUUUUCUGAGCUGGCAGUCAUCAUGCCUGAACUUGCAUAUAAUCAGCAAGGAACGUGGUUUGCUUUUAAAUGAUAACUUCGAGGAAGGGACAACAUGGGCAUCUGAGUUGAGGAUCUGAAUGCACCACGUUAGCUGCUGGUGGAGGUAGUAAAUGGCCUGUUCUUUUGAGUAGAAAUUGUUUGGUUUGAAUAAAUGUUCAUAUCUGUGGGAUUGUUGACAAAUGCUUUGUGGGUAACGGGGUUUCUUUUUGGAAAUAGCUGAGCUAGUCAGGGGAUUGAGGUACCAUAGGAAUGUUGCUGUAACAGAUGAACUAUAAUUUCCUACUGAACUUAUUCUAAACGUGAGAUGGCCGCCCUGGUUGAGUAGUCAUAACAUUCCAUGUUCAAUUACAUGGCCGUUUGAUGAUUUUCACUUAGCAGAAAAUGAAUGAUUUAUACACAGCUUAUUAGAGCAGUUUAAAUAUGUGAACGUAGGCCAAUUUCUUUAGGGGUUUAUUUCAGAGAAACUGAAAACAUGCUGUUAGUCCACAUUUUAAGAACUUUCCUUCUUUUCAAAUGGGUAUUUUUAAAAUGCAGCAUGCUGUAUAGUUAUUUUAUUUUAUUUUUAAUGUUUAUAAUAUUUAAACCUUUCUUCUAGCAGGCAUAUACUAGUUAAAUCCCCUUCAAAUAUUAUACAUAAAGUUGUUAUCUAUGAAUAUACUAGCUGCAGUAAGAAUAGGAUUGGCUUCUGCACGGCGAAGCUAGGGAACUUAAAAUGAUCGACUUUUGUCAAUUUCGUCAAGGAUUAUGUUCUUAGGGCAUGUUUGGUUUGGAGGAGAGAAUAGGGGAGAGAAAAGUAAUUCAAAUUCUAUUUUUAUUUCCAUUGUUUGGUUACACAAAAUACAUAAGAAUUUAAUUUACAUUAGAAUUUAAUAUCCCUUAUAAUGUAGAAUUUGAAUUCCACACCUAAAAGUGAAGAAUUUAAAUUCCUUUUAUAUUGAAAACUCAAACUUCCAAAAUUGCCGCCAUUGACCGGCGUUGACCGGCGGUUGACUUGUGUUGAUCGGAUUUUAAUUAUAUUAAAUAAUAUUUAAUAUUUAAUUAUAUUAAAUAGUUUAGUAUAUUAAAUUAUUUUAUAUUUUAUAUUAAAUAUAAAUCAUGAAUUGUUUUAGAAUUUUUUAAAAUUAAAAAAGUUUGGUAUUAAUAUUAAAUUAUAUUUUAUUACUAAUAUAGGCAAUUUAGUAUUUAAGGCAAAGGAUAAAUUGGUCCCAAAAAAAAAUUACAAUUCAUUUCCCUAUCAAAUUUUAUGUCAAACCAAACAAUAAAAUUUAAUUUCACUAUUCUCUUCCACUCCUCUCUUCUCCUUUCCUCUCCAUUCCACUCUUUUCCUCUCCUCCCCUUUCUUAAAACCAAACACCACCUUAAGGUUUAAAAGAACAGGCCUUUUGUUUAUGGAAAAAACCUACCUUCAGUUGAAAUGGAAAUAACUUUUUUGUCGUUCUCCGGAGCAUGUAUGCUGCAGUCUACCCUAUCAUAAGUUUGUAACCCAAUAUUAACUUAUACUGUAUGCUUCAAAAAUAAAUUGUAGGCUAUUUGUUUAAACUCCAUUUCGUAUUAGCAAUCUUUGUACAUUCACUUACCGUAUGUUUGGUGAACAGGCUACAGGGAUGUGACAAGGAUGGAAAUAUUUAUGUCACUUGUUCGUCUUUUGGAGCAAACUGUGAAGAGCUGUACCUUGGUAAAUGCCUUGGAUAACGACAAUGUGAUGCUCCAUCACUCUUUUCCCUCAGCCACUUCUAUUGCAGCAACUGGUAGGCCCAGUAGUUUACAGCGAGCCACCAGCUAUUAAUACUUUACUGGGCUGGAUAUGUCAAGAGCUAGCUUUCGCGGCAUCACUUGCCAUGACUGACAUGGUUCCAGUCGGCACUCAGGUGGUUCUAACUAACUCGUUCAUCUCCCCCAAACCAAAUUAUGUCUAAUCUCACUUUUUUAGGGAGGGAAAAUUUCAUUUAGGUAGUUGUGUGAGCUCCUUAAAAACUUUUAAAUGUGUGUUUCUUUCAGAGAUGUAUAUCUGAAUGUUAUCUAAUGCUUUCUUAAAUUAUUUAGCUCUGAAAAAUGAUCAUUGAAGAGGUUAUUCUUAAGUGCUAAGUUUACAGGCAGAGAGGGGUUUUGUAGUUAAAAAAUGUAGAGAGCAUAUGUCUGGGAUAUGAAAUGAAGGUAUUGAGGUGUUCUGUUUUCUUAAUUGGUAUUUUCUAAAAUCGAUAAUGGUGAAAUGGGGCUGAAAAAUGAGAUUAUCUGGCAUCCUGCUCUGACGCAUAAGUCAGUAGGCUGAUUUGGUGAGUUUGAUGGUUGUAAUUGCGUGCUUGCCGCAAAUGUGUCACCCCUUAGCUUAUAAAUCUGGAUUGGUGACUAGAAGUUGUGUCUUUAGGGGUGCGGGGUUCUUAUACUCCGAAGCUUUAGGGUCAAGCAGACAUUAUGUUUUUAACUUGUCAACUGCAGUAUUCGUGUUUGAAAUCAUCUUUGUUACCUUAACCCCCCUCUCCAAGAUUUUAAGCCUGCCUUCCUUUGACUGAUUCAACUGCGCACCUCAAUACCAAUCAAUCGGCACUCAGGUGGUUCUAACUAACUUGUUUAUCUCCCCCAAACCAAAUUAUGACUAAUCUCGCUUUUUAAGGGAGGGAAAAUUUCAUUUAGGUGGUUGUGUGAGCUCCUUAAUUAAGAACUUUUAAAUGUAUGUUUCUUUCAGAGAUGUAUAUCUGAAUGUUAUCUAAUGCUUUCUUAAAUUAUUUAUCUGUGAAAAAUGAUCAUUGAAGAGGUUAUUUUUAAGUGCUAGGUUUACAGGCAGAGAGGGGUUGCAUAAUAGUUGGUUUUGUUGGUAAAAAAUGUAUAAAGCAUAUGUCUGGGAUAUGAAAUGAAGGUAUUGAUGUUUUCUGUUUUCUUAAUUGGUAUUUUCUUGGAUUACGGAUUUCAAUUCUAUAGCAUGACUACUGUAAUCGUGUGUUUCUUCAUUUCUCAUUUUGCUUUCGUUAUAUUUCUCAAAUUUUUUGUCAUUCCUCCCAAAUUGUGACGUUUAAUGGAUAAGUUAGGAACAUUAUCAGACAACCUAGGACGUGUAAUAAAAACUUGGAAAAUAUUGUUUCAUGUUUGUUAAUAUGUAUCAUGCACUUGAAUUUGCAUCUUGUUAUGGGGCACAUCAUCAUCGAAAAAAGAUACAUCCUGUCAAGGGAACUUACAAGACUUACCCCUUGUCAUCCCAAAAAAAUCUAGAAAACGAAUUAAAAGGAUUAAAUCUUUAACAAUUGAGACACUUUCUGUAUGGUUGGUCUAGAUUCGGGACUCUCAUCUAAGCAUGAAAGCGACUUCCAUGAUUGAUAUCAAUUUGUCUUGAACAUUGUGCGAUGGAGUUGGAAGCCGAGGGUCCAACAUUUCAUUGAGUGCUAUUUCCAAGUUCAAAGAUGAAGAGGAAAUUGAGGAAAUGAAAUCUCUUGGAUGCUUCCCCUUUAUCACUUCCAAUGCUAACACCCCAAAGCUGUACACAUCGCACUUUUCCGUAACUUUCAUUGUGUAUGCAAGCUCUGAAACAGAAAAACAAAAUCGAUUAUAUUUUAUUUUUUAUUUUUACUUGAAAUCUAGUAAGCUGAUACUAGUUAGUUGAUUGUACAAGUUCGAAAUAAUGAUUUACAUACCUGGUGCAACAUAUCCAUAUGUGCCUGCAAGUUCUGCCCAAUUGGAUGAGUCUGGCUUGAGAAACCUGGCAGUUCCAAAAUCCGAAACAUGGGCUUCAUUCUCCAAAUCUAACAACACAUUCUUGCUUGAUAUAUCUCGAUGAACAAUUGGUGGGAAGCAAUCAUUGUGCAUGUAAGACAAUGCAUCAACUACACCUUUUAUCACAUUCAUUCUCUUUGUCCAUCCCAAAUCCUUUGCUACUGCGUCAUUGCUCAGGGUCAUGGCCAAGCUACCCAUUUCAAGAUAUUCAUAAACUAUAAAUGAGUGUCGGGCAUGUGAACAAAAGCCAUAAAAUUUUACAAUGUUACGAUGUCGUAUCCUUGUUAAUGUCUUAACUUCAUUAAGGAAUUCUUGUUGACUUGCCAUCUCACUUGGGAGUGGCGAAUGAAAUUUCUUGACUGCAACGAUUUCUCCAGAUGGUAACUCAGCCUUGUAAACGCUUCCUUGUCCACCCUUUCCAAUGCAGUACUCAUCAUCAAAGUCAUUUGUUACUCUAAUGAUUUCUUCGUACACAAUUUUUCCUUCAAAACUUAACACUGAAAGAAAACCCGAAGCAUUUCCAGGGCUACUUUGUUGUGUCUGUGAGCUACUCCUUCGAAACAUAAAGAACAAUCCAAUUAGAGAAAUUAAAAGAGCAAAACUCCCUAAGAGAGGGAAUACAAUAACAACCCAAAUCUUUCUCGAAGCUUGUUUGUGUGACUUGGAUGCUUUACAAGAUGGAAAUCCUUUGAUAUCUCCACACAAGCCUUUGUUCCCUUGUAAUGCUUCCAUCGGAGCAUCUCUAAAUGCGGUGCUAUUAGGAAUUGAUCCAUGUAAUUCGUUGUAGGAUAUGUCAAUAUAUGAAAGACCAUGCACUUCCUCAAAACAACUUGGAAUGAAGCCAGAGAGGUUAUUGUGGGAGAGAUUCAGCUUCUCCAAGCUUUGCAUAUUGCAGAUUUGAGAUGGCAUCUCUUCUCUGAGAAAGUUAUGACUCAAAUCUAACUCUGAAAGAUGAAUUAACUUCUCCAAUUCAACUGGAAUUUUCUUAAUAAACUGAUUAUUGCUCAAAUUCAAGUUAUGCAAUUUAACCAAGUUACCAAGACUUUUUGGGAUUGAGUUGCUUAAUCUAUUUGAAGACAAGUCAAGGCGCUCAAGUUGAGUGAGUGACCCGAGCUCUAGAGAUAGUUGUCCACAAAGUUGAUUACUAUUGAAAAUGAGCUUGAUUAGAGAACUAAGCUUGACAAGUUUUGAUGGCAUCUCACCAACAAUGUGAUUUGACGAAAGAUCAAGAACUUUUAAUUAAGAUGAGUGUAUAAUCUCAGGGGGCAUGCUGUCAGUAAUAUUAUUCGAGGAAAAAUCUAAAGUGCCUAACUUUGGGCAUCUUCCCCAGUCAGAUGAGAUUUCACUAUAAAAAUAAUUGUGGCUGAGAUCUAUGAAAGCUAAGUUUGGAUGAAUACCGAAAGAUUCAGAUAUAUUACCGGUGAGAUGGUUUUGAUUAAGACGUACUCUUACUAAGCUUGUCAAAUUUCUCAAAUUAGGAAUUGGACCUCGUAAUUGGUUAUUCUCUAAAGUUAGUAGAGUCAACUUCACAUGGUUCCCAUAUUCUUUAGGAAUAGCACCAGAAAGCGCAUUAUCAAAAAGAGUCAAGAAAGUCAUCUGAGUCAAGUUACCCAGAGAAUGAGGGAUUGAGCCACAAAGUUUAUUGCCGCUCAGUUCUAAAUCAGAAAGAGACUUCAAGCGUCCUAUUUCACUUGGAAUUGAGCCAGAAAAUGAAUUGUUAUAAAGAUACAAGAAAGCCAAGCUGGACAAGUUACCUAGAGAGUGAGGGAUUGAGCCACCAAGUUUAUUGUUGCUCAAUUCUAAAUCAAAAAGAGACUUCAAUUUUCCUAUUUCACUUGGAAUUGAGCCAGAAAGUGAAUUGCCAUAAAGAUACAAGGUAGCCAAGUUGGUCAAAUUACCCAAAGAAUGAGGGAUUGAGCCACAAAGUUUAUUGUCGCUCAGUUUUAGAUCAGAAAGAGACUUCAAGCGUCCUAUUUCACUUGGAAUUGAGUCAAAAAGUGAAUUGUUAUGAAGAUACAAGGAAGCCAAGCUGGUCAAGUUACCCAGAGAGUGAGGGAUUGAGCCACUAAGUUUAUUGUAGCUCAAUCGUAGAUCAGAAAGAGACUUCAAUUUUCCUAUUUCACUUGGAAUUGAGCCAGAAAAUGAAUUGCCAUAAAGAUACAAGAUAACCAAGUUGGUCAUGUUACCUAGAGAGUGAGGGAUUGAACCACCGAGUUUAUUGUUGCUUAGAUCUAGAUCAGAAAGAGACUUCAAGCUUCUUAUUUCACUUGGAAUUGAGCUAGAAAGUGAAUUGUUAUAAAGAUACAAGGUAACCAAGUUGGUCAAGUUACUUAGAGAAUGCGGGAUUGAAUCUUCCAAAAAGUUUUUGUACAAAGCAAGGACGUUUAGAGAACUUAAUCGGCCUAAUUCAUGAGGAAUUGAGCCACUUAGCUGAUUCUCGAAUAGGCAAAGGACCUUCAGAUUACUUAGGUGACCAAGUUGUAGUGGUAUUGUCCCAGAAAACGAAUUGGAUGAUAAAUCAAGGUACUUGAGUUUUGAAAUGUUACCAAUUUGAGGCGGGAUGUUUCCAAAGAGUUGAUUGCUCCAAAGAGUGAGAUACUCAAGAUGGGGAAAUGAUGAGAAUGAGAAAUCAUGAAGCGUACCUUUUAAGCCUGUACUUGUGAGGUUAACACUAUUGACUGUUCCUGCAUGGUUGCAAUGAAUUCCAACCCAAGCACUCGGGCUUAUUUUGGUGACAUUAUCAAGAGUCCAUGAAGGCAGGAGAGAUCCAUUUUUAUGAUUUUGAAGGCUAGCUUUCCAUUUGAGAAGAGCAUGGGCUUCUUCCAUAGAAUCAGAAGAAGCGGUGAGUGGAAAAUCUAGAACAGGGAAUAGGAUGAGGGAAAUGAGUGAGAAAAUUACUAAAUCAUUUUUCAAGUUUGGUAACGCCAUUGCAUAGUGAGAGAUCAACUGCGACUAGAUAAUUAUAUAUAGAAAGAGUAGAGAACAAUUAAAGAUGAGGACAACAAGAAUUAAAGAUUUGCUAGACACGGCAGAUAGAAAUAAACAUCUAAGACUAAUGGAUGUACAAAUAAACACAUUGAAAGACAAGAAAGCAAAUGAGUUAAUUGAAUCAAUGACGUAAGCCAACAAGUCAAUGCGUCAAACACCUCUAAAGUAGACUAGUUGCAGGUAGGAUAAAAUAAAAAAUAUUGGUUUCAUUAGUUACCAAUAUGUCGAUUGAGGCUUGUAUUGUAUAUAUGCUUCUUUUAGCUUCAACAAAAAUCUAUUAGAAUGUGAACUGUUACAGUGUUACCAAAAAAAAAAAAAAAAAUUCUUAAUAUGUUUAUAUUAACUAGUUCUAAAUUUUGAAAUAACAUUCUAAAAAUUAAAAAAAUAUGUAAAUGGAGUUGUCGCCGGAGUAGCUGCCUGUUGGCGAUAAAUGGUGGCAUAAUUUUAGUUGAAACUUGAUUAUUUUGGAUUCAAGAUUAAUCCGUGUCGUGUAUAUCAGAGUGGUAGUAAAAUUCAAAUUAAAGACAUUAUUAUUUAUUACAAGGCUUUAAAAUAUUGUUUUCAUAAUGCCCAAUAAUCCUAUUGGCGUAAAAAAUUUCAAGGAAAAUAGGGACAAAUGAGUCAUUUGACUUAAUAUUUACUCUUGAAAAUUUAAAAUAUACAAUUAUAAAAAAACUGUUUUUUUAAAAAUAAAAAGUACUAAAAAAAUAUCUUAUUAUUAAUUUUUUAAUUCACACCCAAACCUAUGUUUUUAGUUGUAUUGAUUUUUUUUUUUUUGGUUUGCAAUGGGGGUAACUUGACUUCUCUUUCUCGGAUCCUAAGCCCUGACUAACUUGUUUACUGGGCGCUCUUUUGGAUCCUGACUGACUAACUUGUUUACUGGGUAUUUGUCCGGAGAAAGAUUGUUAGUUAGUGAAUAGAAAAGUCUAUCCAAUUCUAAUUAAAGCAACACACAGUCACACACUGCCUUCCAAUACCUUUUUGUCGUAUACAGUCACAAAUAUCGCAUAAAUGUUAUUGUAUAGGCCCUUGUUUGAUAAACAAAUAUGAUUAUUAUUGUCAUAUUAUGCACUUUGAUGACACAACUGCUUUAAUAUCUAUUUUAUAAAUGGCAAACAUUUAGCACAUUUUGGAUCUAAAUUGAGGUAGCUUCACUCAUCAAAUUUUAUGUAAAUAUUAGCUAUAGGUUUCCAUAAGGUUUGAAUUUGAAAUUCACAAGAAAGCAAAUAAGUGGUCGUCAAGCUUGCAUGAGCUCAACUAGUCAAUGCGUCAACACCUCUACAUUACAUCACAUAUUUUAAGAUAUCCAUUUUCCAGCACUGGAUCAAAAUUUCCCAGUCAAGCAACUUGCAAAAGUGGAUUGACUGAGAAAAUUGGGAGUGUGCUGAUUGAUGGAACCAACAAAAUUUCAAUCUCUAUCCCUUCCAAACGCACUAACAAAUUUUCAAUCUCAACCGGUCUAUACGUACCAUACGCACUAGCAAAUUUGCAAGGUCAAUGCUUAUUGGAGAACAACAAUGUGAUGGUUCAUCGCAAUUUUUCCCAAGCCACCUCUAUUCCUGCAAGUGGUAGGCCCAGUAGUUAUACUUUUCUGGGCGCUGGACAUGUCCAGAGCAUGCUCGUUAUUGCUCGUCUCCCCAAAAACAAAUUAUAUCUAAUCUCUCUUUUUUACGAGCAGGGAGAAAAUUCCAUUUAGUGUGAGCUCCUUACUAACAACUUUCAAAUGUAUGUUUCUUUUAGAGAUGUAAAUAUGAACGUUAAGAUGAUAAGUUGAUUAUUGAAUAGGUUAUUUGCCAUAUACGUCGGUUGCAUAAUGGUGGGUUUGCGGAUAACAAAUGUGUAGAGCAUCUAGGAUAUGAAAUGAAGGUAUUAUAAGGUGUUUUUUCGUCAGCGUGAGACUGUUGUUUUUAAUUCGUUUUCUUAAUUGGUAUUUUCUUCGGUUAUGGGUUUCAAUUCUAUUUGGUGACUUACAGCAGUCAUCUCAUGUGUUUGGUGACCUCCUUAUAUUUGAUCAGCCCUCCACUUUUCGGUUAACUCGAUUUAUUUUUAGCUCUAUCCUGACUAAAAAAUAGUUAAAAAUAAAUAAUAUUUAUAUUUUGUUUCUCUCUCACAUCCCUUUCACUUUCUUGAACUGAUUCACAGUAUGAAUCAAAUAUUAUCUCCUAAUCCAAACCCGAAUCGAAAACUUGAAAGUCCUGAAUUAUUAUCACCAAAAAUCAAAAUCAAUCCCAAGCAUCUAUCGCAACAAAAUACACUACUUACAAAAUUUUACAAAACCCUGUAACAGAACCCCUCGUGCUGCAGAGGAGAUGGAUUGGUAGUGAUGACGAUAUGUGCUGGUGAUGGUGCUGGUGAUGAUUGACUUGAUGGUGAAGAUGACGAUUGACUUGAUGGUUAUGGUAAUGCUGACGCUCCAUAGAGGAAAAAAAAUUAAAAUAAAAAACUAAUAUAUCAGAGAACUCUAAACGUGUAAUAAAAAAAUUUGAAAAUGUUGUAACAUAUAUUUGCCAAUAUCAUGUACUUAAAAUUCUGUUAAAGAGAAGUUUUUCAUCUUCUUAUGGAGCCCACCAUCAUCGAGGUGACAGAAGAUUGAUGGGGUACCUCUAGUUUUUAAGUGGACUCGGAAGAGAAAUUGAUCACCGACAUCACUGUUUGAUAAUUGUAAUUUUCUGUACUUCAAAUUCUGUUAAAGAGAAGUUUUUUAAUUAAUUCUUAAUUAUCACUGUUUGAUAAUUGUAAUUUUCUGUUUCUGGAGUUAAGGGUGUUAGUAUGUUAGAGAGUAGAGACUACGGUGCUUUGAAUCCGUUGGCACCGACCUUUUUGUAAAAUUUCUCAAGAUUUUCAUUACACAUCUCAAGUGUUUCGUUUCAUUUUCGCUAUUUUUGUAACAAAUUUUUUAUUUGAAGAGAACCAUAGCUUAAGAUGAUUCAUAUAGAAAAUUUAUUAGCUGCGAAUAAUUUUUGCAUUUUGGAAAAUACAGAUUUGAACUGGCCCAUGGUAAAUAACUACAAAAUAUACUAGUCAAUUACCGGGAUGCCUAUAAUUUAGUAUUAAAAUAUCGUUAGUUAAUAUGUUAACGGAAAUCCAUAUUUUAAAAAAUAUUGACGUUUGCACAUAUAAUUUUGAGAAAAUAAUCAAAGCCCCUCUGUUAUUUAAAAACUCACCAAAAAUCCAUAAUUUGCUGGGCAUUUUUUCCCCAAAAGAUUUUGUCUGUUAGUGAAUAGAAAAGUCUAUCCAAUUCCAAUUAAAGCAGCACACACUGCCUUUCAAUAUCUUUUUGUCGUAAUGAUAAUAGUACAGUUUCAAAAAUCAUAUAAAUAUUAGAGAAAAGGACAUUUACACCCCUAAGGUUUGGAAAAAUGAUCAUAAAAACCACUGAAUUUUCAAUAAGUGACACUAAAACUCCAUUUUGACCAUAAUGUCUUUUAAUUCUAUAAAUUCCAAAAAAAAUUGACUCCAAAAUUUUAUAGUAUAUAGAAAUAUGCACCAAAAUAAAUGUAAUAAUAUAUAGAUUUUAAAAUAAUUAUAUUAUUUAAAAAAUAGUUUUAUAUUUUACAAUAUGCUAGACCUAUUUUAUUAUAUUAAACUAAUUUUUUGAAAUAAAUAGAAACAUAAUUUUAAUAUAAAUAAAUUAAUAUUAAAAUUAUUUUGAAUAUUAUAUAAAAAUAAUUUUAAUAUUAUUAAUAGGGAGAUAUUUUGUCAAUUGUAAAAUCCAUUUAACCCAAAGAUUUAUUUAAAAUCUUUAUAAUAAAUACAAAUGUAUUAUUAAAAUAAAUAUAAUAAUUUAAAAUUUUAAAAAUUAUUAAAUGUUAAAAAUAAUUUAAUAUCAUUAGUCUACUAGAUAGAUUAUAUUAUUUAUAUUAAAUUCGUAUUAAUUAAAAAACUUUCAAGUCAAUUUUCUAAUUACUAUAUUCAAGGGUAUUAUGGUCAAAAGGAGAUCUUGGUGUCCCUUUGUGAAAACUUGAGAAUCUUUGUGCCCAUUUCUUUGAACUUUAGGAAUGUAAGUGUCAUUUUUCCUAAAUAUUAUUGUACAAACUCUUAUAUGAUAAACAAAUAUGAUUAUUGUUGUCAUAUUUGCACUUUGAUAAAGACACAACUACUUUGAUAUUUAUUUUAUAAAUGGUAAACAUUUAGCAAAUUGUGGAUCUAAAUUGAGAUAGCUUCACUCAUAAAAUUUUAUGUAAAUAUUAGCUAUAGGUUUCCAUAGGGUUUGGUUUGAACUCCUUCACACGGCUGAAGAGGAUAUACACUAUAUAUAUAUACAUAAAUUUUUUAGUGCCUCUUCUUUUGAGCAUUUUUCCCUCUACCGCUUUUAUCCGUGCAUAUUUUAAGGAAUAAGCGCAUCACUUUUUUUUUUUUUCUUUUUCCUCUUCAAUUAAUAAACUUCACUCCCUUUUCAAAAUAAUAAUAAUAGUGAUGGUGAUGAUAAUGAUGAUGAUGAACUUCACUCUUUCCUCUUAUGUCCCCCCCCCCCCCCCAAAAAAAAAAAAGAAGAAAGAAAGAAAGAUAAAAGCAAUUUGCUUAUAGAUACAUAAUAAUGAUUUAAUUAAUUAAUUGUUCAAACCUCCUGUUGAUUUCAAUUUUUUUAGAAUAAUGUGAACUUGUUGUAAUUAUUUUUUGAAACCGGGGUUGGUUUACAAAAUUAAUGGGGUGAAAAUAUAUUUGUUCUUUAUGAUUUUGCCUUACAACUUUUCCAGUUUUACAUAUAACGCCUGUACGUCUUCAUACUCAUUUUAGACUUUGGGUUCUAAAAGUUACUUCUAUGAAUUUUGGCCCUAUUAUAUUUUUCUUGAUCUUCCAAGCUCCUCCCUUGUUUCAAGUAGGGUAAAUGGUAACAAAAUUCCUGUUAGGAACUUGAUUAUUUUAGGAUUCAAGAUAUUAAUUCAUGUUGUGUUCAGAGUGAUUGUGAAAUUCACAUUGAAAUCAUUAUUUCUAAGCUUUCAAACUACAAUAAUGGUAAGUAAAACUUCUUUAUAGUCAUAUUGUUGGGACCAAUUUUUUUUUUUUUUUUUCUAUGAGGAAGUAAUGACUUAAUAGAGGUAUAGUUACAUAAAUUAAUGUUUUGACUUAAUCAUCCUUAGUACAAAUAAUAUAGAGGUAAAGUAUGCACUACAUUAAUAAUUAAUUAAAGGAACAUGUCAAAUCCAAUGUAUAUACAUUAAUAAAAAAGAUAAAUAUAUAUAUUUUUUUAAAAUAGUACAUAUAUCUAAAUAGUGUUAUGCAAAGUCAUUUUAAAGUCUAAAUGUUUUUGCAUUCUCUUAAAUAUUUUUCUCUUAGUAUAAAUUCCAUAAAUACUAUGCAUUAUAUAAAUCAUUGUCCUAUACAACUUUCAAAAAUAAUAUUUUAUUCCAUCUUAAACCUUUAAUAUAAUUUUACAUAAAAUUUUUCGAAUAUACAAAUAAAUAUUACUAUGUGGAGGCUAGUUUCUUAAGAUAGGAUCACAACGGUAGAUAAGUUAGCAGGAGUAAAAGAAAAUAUUAAAAAAAUGUGUCAGUUUUUUUUUUUUUAAGUAUUUCAUUAAAACAAAAACAUUACAAACUGUUUAAUAAGCACAGAGGUGGAACAUGACUCCACUCUCCGGGACCUGACAUAGAACCUCCUGCCCUAACAACAGAAUGGAAAGAAGAGUUCGCAGAUCGACACACAAACAAGAAUUGCACUUCUCAUAUAGACAUCGCAAGAGAUUAACACUCCUCAAUUGUAAGGCCAAAACCAUUGGGGCUGGAAAAAUUCUCAGUUAAAGCUUGAAAGACUUGAAGGUUGUCCAUUUCGAUAAUAGCACAAGGCAAUUGCAGCCUCUUGAUCCUACUGAGAGCCUCUCUAAUGCCAAGAGCUUCAGGCUCUCGUGAGCCAAAAAUACCUAGAAAACACUCACACCUUGCUGCCACAAAUUCACCAACAGAGUUAUGAAUUACACACCCAACACUGAACUUGAGCAUUAAAUAUGGAAGCAUCAACAUUACACUUUAACCAACCAAAGCAAGGUUUUUCCCAACAAAUAGCCCCAUGACCAACUCUAUUAGUAUCAGCAUUAAUAAAGAAAUGAUGUUUCCUUAUAGUUUGCCACUGGAAUAAAAUCUGCCCAGCAGAGUUGAGGACUUGUAAAGCACUGCCAGUUCUGUGGUUCCAUAAAUGAUCAGUACGAUGAAUCCAAAUCCUCCAGCAAAUCAUGGCGGCAAGCUGACAAUUCUCCUUACUAUACCGAGAGAAAAUAGCCUCCAGCCAAGCCAAAAAAGAAAUGCAGUAACCAAAGAAACCAACAGCAGAGGAAAUCCAACAAGACGUAGCAAAGCUACACUCCAGUAGAGCAUGUGUAAUAGUCUUAUCAUAGGCAUUGCACAAAGAGCAAGUAGGUAUAAUAGUCACUCUACGACGAAUAAGGUUAUCCGCAGUAGGUAAUACAUUUGUCGCAGCCAGUCAAAGAAAAUUCCUAACCUUACUUGGCACCUCCAAAUUCCACAAUGUUCUCCAAAUACUAGUAGAAGAAUCACUAGCACUAUGGGUUAACAGUUUAUAGCAGCUCGUAUCGAAUAAACUCCACAAGGAUCAUGCAGCCAAUACCACAUAUCAGACUCUCUACGGUAGCUAAGAGGAAUUUGCAAGAUCAGCUCUUUAUCUCUUGAAUUAAAAAGGUUAGAAAUAAUAUCUAAAUCCCAUCGUCUUUGGUUUGGCACCAUCAAGCUACUCACUUUUGCAACAACCAGCUCCUCAUUUAGGUUAGAUGAGAUAAAGCCAUUAUUGAUAUCUGGUAGCCAAGGAUCUUGGCCUAUUAAAACAUUCUACCCGCUUUUAAUUUGAAUUUGGCUUCCACAGACAACAACAUCCUUUGCAGAUAAAAUAGAUCGCCAUACAAAACUCGGAUUGUGCCCUAAUUUGGCUUCAUUAAUAGAAGUUCUCGAAUAAUAGCGAGCCUUUAAAACUUUAUCAACAAAAGAUUCUAGUUUUGUAAGAAGUUUCCAGACCUGUUUGCCAAGCAUAGCGACAUUGAAAGUAUGCAAUUGCUUGAAGCUAAUUCCCCCAAAAACCUUCGGUUUACAUAAGUGCUCCCACUUUAUCCAAUGAAUUCCCCUACCACCAUCGCUUUUGCUGCCCACUAAAAGGAAUUCAUCAUAACUUCCAGCUCCUUGCAUAAGUCAAGAGGUAAGAGAUAGACAUUCAUGGCGUAAUUAGGCAUUACCUAGGCCACCGUUUUCAGCAAGAUUUCCUUCCCAGCUCGAGAUAACAUUUUGGAAUGCCAUCCUUGCAGCCUUUGUUGAACUUUGUCCCGAAUAUAAUUAAAGACAACUUUUUUCUUUCGACUAAUAUAAGAUGAAAGUCCGAGAUAAGCUCCAUGAUCUUCUGUAGCAUUGACAUCCAGGGUUCCAUAAAUCUGACUAACAAUACUAGCAUGCACAUUAGCACUAAAUGAAAUGGAUAAUUUAGUAAAAUUUACCAACUGACCAGAAGCACAUCCAUAGGUAGCUAAAACCUGCUUAAUGAUAGAACCUUCAACUGGAUUUGCUCUAAAAAACAGGAAGCUAUCAUCGGUGAAAAACAAAUGAGACACCACUGGAGCCCUUCAAACAGCUCUCACCCCAUGAAGCAAACCAAGCCUCUCAUAUCUCUUGAUCAAAGAACUGAGUCCCUCUGCGCAUAAAAUGAAAUGAUACAAAGACAGUGGAUCGCCUUGGCGUAGACCCCUGCUUGGCAUAAUUGGACCUACCUCCCUACCCUCACAAUGCACACUGUAACUAACUGUUGUCACACAAUGCAUGAUUAAGUUCACCCAUUUAGCAUCAAAACACAGUUUAAGCAUCAUAUCCUGAAGAAAACCCCACUCGAUCCUAUCAUAUGCUUUAGACAUAUCGAUCUUUAGAACAACGAUACCAUGUUUUCCUUGCCUCUUCCUCUUCGAAAAGUGCAUAAUUUCUGCUGAGAAAAUUAUAUUAUCGGUAAUUGCAUGACCGGGAAUAAAUGCACUCUGAGAGUCUGAAACAACCGAGUCAAGAACUAAUUUCAUGGGAUUAGCUAGCAUCUUGGAGACUAUUUUAUAAAGCAUAUUACAAAGUGCAAUCAGCCUCAUCAACCACAGCAGGAAAUACUAUUUGAGCAGUAGCGGAUCAAGGUAUGCAACGACCAGAAGUGUCAUGAUAAAGGGUCAUGGUCUCGGAUCUGACAACACCUGAGGCCGCUGUUUCUUCGGAAUAAGGACAAUAGAUGUGUCGUUUAAUCAUACAGGGAAAGAACAAUUAUGAAUAAAAGAUAGGUAAGCCGACACCGCAUCCUCACUACAAUGUGCCAGAAUUUUUCGUAGAAUGUAGGAUUCAUAACAUCUGGACUUGGGGAUUUAUCAGGAUGCAUUUCAAAAAGAGCCUCCUUAACUUCAAUAGCAGAAAACUGAGCCAAAAGUAAAGAAUUCUGCUCACUUGUAACCCUUGUCUCCACACACCGUAAAAUAUCAGCAGUAUGACAACCAUCAGACUUAAAUAAAUUACUAAAAUACUCCACAAUCUCAGCAUCAAUAUUAUUUGAAUUUGAAACCCACUGACCUUGACUGUUGCGAAGAGCCCCAAAAGAAUUUCUCCGUUUUCGUGCUGAGGCCGAAGCAUGAAAAUAACGAGUAUUUCGAUCCCCUUCUUUCAGCCAAAGAGACUUCGAUAUCUGCUUCUAAAAAACCUCAUUGCUAUGGAGGAGCUCAUUAAAUCUGUUUCUUGCCUCAGUAAAAGCAACCACGCCAUCCACGUCACGACGCCCUCUCAAGGAAGCCAUUUAUUGCUUACACUCUAAUUUUCAUUUCCGAAAGUCCUGAGCUAAAUGCCCACCCCAUACCAGCAAAGCAUUACCACAAACCUUAAUCUUUUGCUGAAUAUAAAUAUUUGUAGAGGAAGCCCAGCUAGAUCGAAUAACAUCAACACGCCCAACGUCACGCAGCCAUAAGUUCUUAGAGCGGAAUCGGCUAUGUCUGUAUACAUGUAAAUUCGGAUUGGGAUCCAAUAAAAUUGGCAGGUGGUUGGAGCAAGAAGAUUUCAAACUACAAACUUUCGCUCUAAAAAACUGUCGAAGCCAGGCAUCAGUAGCAAACGCUCAAUCAAGUCUUUCCUCAACCCAAUUAUCUGUGUCCCGAGAUCUCUCCCAAGUGAACUUGUUACCCUCCAUGCCCGGAUCGAUCAAACCACAGUCUAUAAUUGCACUGUUGAAACCUAUCAGCUUCCAGUUUGGGUGUUUAUGUCUGCCUCGCUUUUCAUUAGCCGCCAACAAAUCAUUAAAGUCGCCAAUACAAACCCACGGCAAAUAGAAAGAGGUAGACAACAAACGAAGUAAAUCCCAGGAUGCCCGACGGUGGCUAGAUUUAGGGUAACCAUAAAAGCCCGUGAUUCUCCACCUUCGUUGGUCAGCCAAUUCAACUUCUGUAUCAAUAUAAUUCGUUACAUAACUAAGCAAAUUAACAACACAAGAUGCGUUCCAUAAGAGUGCAAUCCCACCACUGCGGCCCACUCUAUCCACAACAAAAAGCCCAUCAAAACCCAACUUCACUUUAAUGCUUUCUAAUUUAUUUUUACUGCAUAAUGUUUCAAUUAAAAAAAUAAAACAAGGCUUCUUACUACAGACCAAGUCCACCAACACCUGAACUAUCCAUGAGUGGCCCAACCCACAGCAGUUUCAAUUCAAAAUACUCAUUGGGUUCGGUGGGCCUGGAGUACAGGUCCCACCGCUGGUUAUUUUUUGCCACUUCAAAUGUGUCAUUUGUUGUUGAAAACUCCUGACCUAGGCCCAUAGUAAUGUGAAGCCCAUUUAGAGAUCUUCUUCGUUUUAAAUAGUUGACAAUAGGGCCAUUCUCAAAAUCCUUAUCACUUUCCAUAUCACCAUCUACAACAACAGCUGUCCCACUCGAUGAAUUCUCUAUUAGUUGAUUCCCAAUGGGUAAUUGUUUAUCAACUACCUUAUUGGGAGCCAUGUUUCCCAUGUUUUUGCCACCAAUAAAGGGCUUAGGUAAAAUAACUCCGGAUAUUGUGGCAUUAACCGAAUCAACUAACAUGGCAACAGCUUGAUUCAUGCUCCUUCCUUUAACUGCCUCAACCGUUUCCGGUGGUCCCUGGCGCAGCCACCGUUUGUCGAAAUUCAUCACAGUUCUUCUAUUUGGUGCCUUCAACCAAUGUCCACAAACUGGCACAAUUUCUCCUUUUGGGCACUUAUACAAUUUGGGGCAUUGUUUUUCAGUAUGCCCAAGCAAGCCACAGAUGAAGCAAAAAAAAUUAAGCCUCUCAUACUUAAAAUCAAUCCAAAUCCAAUCGCGUCCUACUUUCUUCAAUUUCAUCCUGUGCUUAAGAGGUUUUCUUACAUCUAUGGAUACACGAAUGCACAUAUAAUUGCGCCAGACUCCCAUCAAAUUAUUUUCAUCCGAAUCCAAGAAAGUACCAAUGUAAUUCCCAAUGUCUUUCAAGAUUUUCUCUGACAUAAAUCCAAUUGGUAAAUUAUAGAUCUGUAUCCAGAGGGAAGUAAAAAACAAUGGAACAUUUUGUGGUUACUUAUCUUCCUCCAGCUGCUUUACAAUCAAGAUAUGUUGAUCAAAAGUUCAUGGUCCCGAUUCCAACACCCUAUUAACAUCAAUCUCAUGGAAGAAUUGAAAGAGGAACAAUGUUGGUGAUAAGUCUUUGAUGCACACUCCUUUGCCGGGACGCCACAACGACGCCAUUGUGUUUUUCAUGGCAGCAAAAUUUAUCACUUUGUCUGUAAAAAAUCUGCCAACCAAGCAAAAAAGGAGAUCAAAUUUCCCCUAACCACCGUCAUCCCCCUCAUCCCCCGUGACUAUCAAACCUCCUUCCUCCUCCUCGUCGAUGGACAUGCUAGCAUAAUCACUAUUGAUAGCGGUUUCCAGUGAUUCAACGUUGGUGGCCAUUGCAUGAAAUCAAAGAAUGCAAACAAUAUUUGGGAUAGAACAAAUAUUUUGAGAAUUAUAAAUUAACUUGUCCUAAAGACAAGACAAAACACAACUUGUCCCAAAGACAAGACAAAAUCGUUUGUGGAGAAAGUUUAUAAAAAAAAAAUGUAAGUUAAUUAAUGAACUAGACUUUGCAAAUUUUUAUGCGUUACUGAUUAACUAAUUCUUUUCAUCGAUUCUAGACUCUAGAUUCUCAUUUAAGCAUGCAAAGGACACCUGCAGGAUUGACAUCAGUUUAUUCGGAACAUUUCACUAAUUAAGUUAUUUCAUAUAAUUGGAAGAUGAAGAUGAAAUUUCUAAAAGAAAAUCUCCUGGAUACUUAAUUCCCUUUGAUCACGUCCAAUUCUAACACACUAAAAGUGUGCGCAUCGCGUUUUUCAGCGACUUCUAUAGUGUAGGAGCGCCAGUUCUGCAAAUUGAAAGAUUAAUACGCAAAUAUAGGUCCUUUUUUAGGAUUGAGGUGCUAUAACUUUUAAACUAUAGCUGCUAUGGGAAAAAAGUUGUAACUAUAAAAUGAAAAUUAAUAAUAUGUAGUAAAUGUAAAUUUUAAGUAAUAAUUUUGACAAAAUUAUUAAAGAUAUAAGAGAUUUUCUCUUAUACAAGUGAAAAAUCAUAUCAAUAUAGCUUCCAAACUACAGUAGCUAGUGUUUACCAAACACUUUAGUGUUGUAACUUUUACGCUACAGCUGCCCAACUUCAAUCCCAAACGCACCCAUAAUCAUCUUAAUUUGUAACACCAAGAUAUAUAUAUAUAUAUAUAUAUAUAUAUAUAUAUAAACACUUUAGUGUUGUAACUUUUACGCUACAGCUGCCCAACUUCAAUCUCAAACGCACCCAUAAUCAUCUUAAUUUGUAACACCAAGAUAUAUAUAUAUAUAUAUAUAUAUGUGUGUGUGUGUGUGUGUGUGUGUGUGUGUGUGUGUGUGUGUGUGUGUGUGUGUGUGUAAAUUUUAGAGUUUGGUAAAAAAAUCAAAAUCAAAAUCACUUUUGUGAAAAUAAGUCCCUCCUACAGCUGAUUUUAAAAAGAAAGAAAAGAGAUGCUUUCAGAUUUUGAUUUUGAGAACUAAUUUUAUCCUUUAAUACAAUUCCAUAAAUAUCCUUACAAUUAUUACCCAAACCUAAAACUUCCCUCAUUCAAAUUGGAAAUAAAAUUAAUAUUUUAAUAAAUAUUUAUUGUAAUUCACACAUUCCCUUUGUUUACUCUAUUUCUUCUUUAUAUUUUACCAUUCCAUUAAAAGUUCUCUAUGGCAAAUAGGCAAGAUAGAGUAUGUCUUUCAUCGCCUUUUAACUAAAUUCAUGCAUAUUUAAUGCAAUUGAUUGGUGUAAUUCUUAAUAUAAUAUUUGUUUGUUUAUUUUGUUUGGAAUUGUUUAUUUCUAAAAGAUUUCAUGCAUGUUCAAUUGCAAUGUUUAUAAUUUUUUAUGCCGCCAGUCGAUGGUUCAAGUAUAUGAACUAUGAGUGUUUGUGAUUUUUAGUUUUUACGUCAUUUGUCAAUUCUUAACAAAUUAUUUUCUAUAAUAUUAUUGAUUGUCUUUUUUUUUUUUACUAUAUAUUUUAUCCGCCAUUCAUUUUCUUUUUUGUUCAUUAUAAUUUUUAAAGUAAUAUUUGUGUUAAAAUAUAUUUGCAAUGAUGGACAAACACUAGGAACUUAUCAAUCAAACUGAAACUAAUAACGCACCACGAGGUACGGCUAUAUGGAAUAGUGAGACUAUCAAUUUUUUUUAAUUCAUGUAUAAAAGUAGAUGAAGGACUUCACCCUGGGACCAUUUUACUAAACUAGAAUGGGAAAAUUUGGUCAAAAUUUUUUGUAAAGCAAUGGGAAGAGAAUAUAAUAAAUUACAAUUGAAAAAUAAAUGGGAUGCACUAAAUAAUAAUCGGAAAUUAUGGAAAGAUCUUAUUGAAAAGAAAACUGAUCUAGGAUGGAAUAUACAAAAGAAAAUAAUUGAUGCAUCUCCGAAAUGGUGGCAGAGUAAAUUGAAGUUAUUUCUGGGGUUGAGAUUGGAGAAAAAUAAUGGUUGUUUGCUACUCAACUUUUUAAUCGUAAAGAGAAAAGGGGGAUGUUUACAACCAUGAAAGAACCUCAAAUUAUGCUUAAUUGGCUUUACUAUGAGUAAUCACAAAAUUUGCAGUCUUAAAUAUUACUCUUCUCUUUUAACAGUAAUAAGGGAAUUUUUUUUUGUUAUGUAUUUUUUCCUUAUGAUGUUUUAAGGUACAAUUGGCUAUUUAAAUACUGACAGUAAGUUAUUAUUAGUUUUGAACGUUUGUCAUAUAUUUUUUAUUUAUUUAUUUUUUAUUCAAGCUAGAUGAUAUGGGUUUAAAUUAUUGAUUUCAGGUUUUGUUUAUAAUAUGGGCUAGCCAGAUGUCGAGUAGGAGUUUGACAGCAGUACCGUAUCCACUUUUAUGAUGCACUGACAAUAUUAUGAACAUGUUUUUAUAACACUAUAAAAUAUUUGACAACUUUGUAAAACAAUGGAAAAGAUAAUUUAUAACAUUGUAAAAUUGGUUACGAAUUUUUUUAAAAUUUGAAAUUCCUGAACAUGAGAACGACUCUUAUAAUAAGAAUUUAUAAUAUUUUCACCUUUUUUUAUAAAAUUUAUAUUUAUCCACACUAUAGACAUCAAAAAAGAAACUCUUAGAUAACUUGAGAGAUAUGAGCCUAUGGGUUCGAUUGAUAUAGAUUUUCAAAUAGAGUUUAUUUCAGUAAACCUUUUGUUAAUAAAGCUUUUAUAAGUAGAGAUUUCACCCCAAAAAAAUAGUUGUUUGGUUGGUAAUAAAAGAUUUUAUUAAAAAUUAUAAAAUUACUUUAAUAGACAAGUUUUUAAAAGUUAUGUCAUAAGAGGAAUGAAAUAAAAUUGUUAAAUAAGUAGGAUGUUUUAGACCUUUUAAUUUUUUUAAAAAACUUUUCAAUCUCUACUUUUAAAAGUACAAAAUUUGAGCUUUUACUAGUAUAUGUAAAAUAACUUUUUUAACCUUUAAAAGCUCUACUAAAAAAAUAACUAAAUAACCAAGAAAAAUAAAAAAGAGCUUAUGAGAUUAAAUAAGUUCCUAUAACCAUUAAAUAAGUCAUACAAAAUGGACACCAUAUCAUAUUAGAAAAAAUCCUUAACCGACAAAAUUACAGGCCAACAACAAAUCCCAACCACCAUCCUGGAAAAAAAAAAGAAUUCAUAACAAUCACCAUAAUCCUAUCUGACGCCAUAUCGGCGGAUGAUGUCACCAAUAAUAAUUAUAAUGAUAAAACUAUUAAAAAAAAUUAUGGUGCAGUCAACUGCCAUGCCUGGCGGGUUCGCUUGUGGGUUCAAAGCCGCUGUCCGAGCCGUGGUGGAUGCCGACGCAUUUCAUAAUUUAUCUCUACUUCUUUCCCUUACAGAUGGAAAAUGGUAAAUUUUCAAAUUGUUUAUCUUUCUUUUUUUGGUUUUUAUUAUUGCAUAACUUUUAAAUGUUUGCCUAAUUCUUGUUUCAAAUUAGCUGGCAUGUUUAAAUUUGUUGCUUUACUGAGCUUAAUGUUCAAUUUGUAUGAUCACAAGCGAGGGAUCCUGUGAUCUUUAUUAAGCUAAAAUUUUUGGCUUAAUGUUCAUAAGAAUAUAUCUCUUUGGAUUCUAAUACGAAGCUGGUUUAGCUGUUCAAGUAGACCAGUUAGUUUUAAGUUGUUAAUUUUGGAUAUACUUAUGAAGAUGGGGCAUCUAUAGCCGACUCUUCUCCAUUUAGAACCUUCUCUUUGCUCUUUUCUAGUUAAAUCUUUACUUAUCUUUCAGUUCUCAAACUUAGAUGGCGUUUGUUUUUUUAUCUGAAAUCUGAAUAAAUCUUAAUUUUGAAUAGAAUUAAAUGUCUGAAUCUAAUUGAUAUGUGUGUUUUUUUGUUUGAAUUGCUAAAAACAAAUAUUAGGUUAUUUGUUUUUUAACUUAAAAAAUCUGAAAAUUAAUAUUUUUACAUUUGUACCCUUACAAAUUAUAAAAACUAAAGUAAUAAACAUCUCAAAAAACUUAAAUAAGAUAAUAUAUUAUCAUAAUAUGAAUCAUAUUUAAUUAAAUACAACCCUUUAUAUUCUAAAUUAGUAUAUGUUAAUCAAUUUUAUUGUAGCUCAUGAUGUUUUUAUGUGAAAAUAUUCAUAAAAAAUUAUGAAGAUAGAUAAUGCUAAUUUGAAGAAAACAAAAAGAUAAAAAUAAUAAUAGUCUAUCACUAUAUUGUCACAAGUUAUACAAAUUGGUAAUAAUGUUGAUUAUUAAAUUUUAUUUAGGUAAUGAUGAAAAUUCUUUAAUUAGGUAGGGAUAUUUUAGAUAAUAUCUUUUAACGAUAUCAUUAAGACUUUUUAGAUUAAGUAAAAAGAUAAAAAAAAUUGGCUUAAUAACUUAAUGACUCAAUGACUUAAUGACUAAAACUUUUCAUUGAGUUGAAAAAAAUGGACUUAAUAGCUUAAUUAAUUAAAAUUAAGUCAAGUAAGUUAUUAGGUCAAAAAAACAAAUAGCCUCUUAGAUAGUAUUCAAAUUUAGAAAUUGAAUUUCUGUUGUACAUAGAGGAAAAAUUUACUGUGUUUAUUAGCUGAGGCUUAACAAUCUGAAAAGUCAAGUAAACAUUACUAGUAGUUUAUUCUUAUGGAAAUUGGAACUGUAUUCAGAAUGAUGUUGCGGCUACUAAAAGGUUCUAUUAUGUUUUUCAUCAUUUUGUUUCCGUGAAGAUGGAAAAUGAACUCAUUUGGUUUUUGUGAUGUUUACUGAUUCUGCUUGUAAGAAGGGGAAAAAAAACUAGUUUGCAUGAGAAAUUGUAAUACCCAAAUUCUCAUAAGGAUUUUUUAGCCAUUUCCAAGCCUUAAUAGUGAGAAUUUAUAAAUAAAUCAAGGUAUUAGAAGCAUAAGCAUGGAUUAAAGAAAGGAACCAUUCAUACACUGGUUAUUAGAGCAGUUUAAUAUGUGAUGUUUGUCAAUUUCUUUAGGAAUUUUUCUCUUAGAAACCAAAAACAAUCUUUAAGUCAACAGUUCGAAAACUUUCCUUUUUUUCAAAUGGGUGGUUCUUGUUCAUAUGCCUGGGAUUCAGCGUCUAUAAAUAUAUUCUCAAAAAGCAGCAAGCUGCAGAGUUAUUUUACUUUAUUCCGAAUUUUUUUAUAUAAUAUUUAAAAUUUUCUUCUAGCAGGCAUAGACUAGGAAAAUCCCCUUCAAAUCUUAUAAAUCAAAGCUGGGAUUCAGGUGUGACCUGUGCACGACUAAAAAAAGAGAACUGAGCAUGAAUGGCUUCUGUCAAUUUCAAACCUGCCUUCAUUUGAUUUGGAAAUAACUUUUUGUCAUGCUCCUGUACGUCAAUGAUGCAGUCUGUCCUAAGUUUGCAACCCCAUGUUAGUCCAUGGUGUAUGCUUCAAAAAUAAAUUUUAGGUUGUUUCUUUAAACUCUAUUCCAUGUUAGCAAUCUUUUGUCAUGUCACUUAUUUACUGUACGUUUCUUAAACAGGAAAACGGGGUGUAACAAAUUGGAAAUAGUUAUGUCACAUGUUCGACUUUUGGAGCAAACUGUGAAGGGCAGCACAUUGGUACGACAGCGUGAUGGUUGAUCACUCUUUUCCCCUAGCCACCUCCAUAAUAGCAAGUGGUAGGCCCAGUAGUUUACAGUGAGCCGUGAGCCGUGUCAUGCACCGCUUGGAGAAAAGGAAAAAAAAAAAGAAGCCAAACGUGGCAACCUUCAAAAGCACUUGGUCAUGCAUGCUUGAAGCGGUGUGAAGCGGUGGCAUAUAUAUAUAUAAAAAAUGCAACCUUUUGAUAAUUGCUUCAUUUACCAAAUUGGAGAACCGAGAGCAAAAACAGAGCAAGACCGAGAGCAGAAAAGAAGAGAAACCGAGAGAAAAGAGAAGAGAAAAGAGAAGAAAAAGAAAAAGAAAAGAAAGGAAGAAAAGGAAGAUGCCGAGAGUGGGGAAGAGAGAAAUUGAAAGGAAAAGUUACUGAAAAAUAGAAUUGAAUAGUUAGAUUAAAAUCUAGUAACUUAGUGGGUAAUAGAUUUAUGAAGUUUGAACAAUUAUGUUAUAGUUUACAUGACACACAUAAGUUUUAUAAUAGUUCUAAAAGUAAUUUUCUAAUCCUGUAUUUUAGGAGGAACUCGAGAAUCCGAGAACGCACAAGAGCUCCAACGAACCCCAAAGCGAAACAUGAUUUAUGAGUGGACACUAUUAAUAUUAUUAUAGAUUCCGUGAAAUAUUUAUAUUUGAUAUUAUGUUUUAAUAUCAUGUUAUAAUUACAUGUAUACAUAUUAUAUGUUUGAUUGAGUCAUGAGAUGUAAUUGCCAGUCACCAUCUAUGUACCCUUCCUUAUAGGCUCUGCGCAUAAGUAUUGGGAAUUAGGUUACUCUACCCGUGCGAGAUAGUUUAAUUACACCGGGUAUUGAGAGGUGUUUUCCCCGCUCUACUCGUGCGAUGAUGUUCCCGAAAAAUAUUGAGAGUUAUUCCCCUGGGUACUAUUUGGUGCAACUUAUGAUGUAUGUAUGUAUGAAUUUCAUAUCUGCUGAUGUAUGAUAUUCAGUGUGGAGUUAUGUCGCAUGAUUAUGUAUAAGCAUUAGUACACAUAUGUUAUUAUUAUUAUUAUUAUUAUUAUUAUUAUUAUUAUUAUUAAUAUAUAUAAUUACAUCCACUCACUGAGCCGCAAGUGCACUAUUUUCUUAUUUACCCACUUCCUCCCAGGUUUCCGCAGGAUUUCGUGCAGACCAAUUUCUAGUCAGUUGAGGUUGGGUCACAAGACGCAUUACUGAAUAACUUGCAUUUUGAGCACAUUUAUGUUGCUUAUGUUUAUAUAGUUUCAGUGUAAGUAUGUAUAGUAAGACAUGAACUGUGCAAGUUUUGAAUGUAUAUUUUCGGAUGAGACAUAGGGGUUAUUAUGUGCUUAUAUCAGAGACCAUGUUUAUAUAUGUAUAUAUUCAUGAAUUAAAUUUGUGCCAUGAGUUUUAGUAUUAGUCCACACGAUUCACCUCAAAUUCGACAUGUAGGUCGGGGUGGGUCGUGUCAAGCCGCCUGAUAUUAUUAUACUUUUUUGGGAUGGAUACCGUAAGAGCCAGCUCGCACGGUAUAGCUUGCUGUUACAGCCUUAAAACUCGAGGCACACCAAUGCUUGGCUUGCGGCCUUGUGCCAAGCAUAAUGAGGCAGCGGACGUGCGAGAAAACAAGGCAAGUCUGCAUGCGGGCUGGGGCGUGGCAGCAUGCGAGAUAUGUGCAAGGCAGCGCACAAGUGCUUCGAGGGUAUAGCGCGCACACAAAUGCGCACGCUGAUGGGCAGCGGGCGAGCGUAAGCAGUCCCAAGCAGCAUGCGCGCGCACAAAGCGUGCCAGGCAGCGCGCACGCGCACGCUAACGGAUAGCGGACAGGCGCGCCAAUGGAGUGCACAUGCACAGAACAUGUGCCACACACAAGCAUCAGGCCAAGGGGAUUGUUGGAGCAAUUCUUAGUGGCGGCGGCCCGCCACUACAUGGGCACUACCUAAAAUGGGGAUCUUGUCUAAGUGGGGAUGGUCCGCCACUAUUCAAUGUAUCCUAAAUAAUAGUGUAUGGGCAAAGCACUUAGGUAGUGGGCUUAUUUGUUUAUGUGUGCUGGUGGCAAAUAAGGCAUGGGUUGGGAAUACUCUAUACUAUCCUAGUAAGUGGGGUUGUCACUUACAGUGAGUGGUAUUCUCCAAGCACUCUUGUUGGAAGCUAUUUGUAGUUCCUUGUUCUUGAUUAAUAAGAAAAGGUUUGAAGUCGGUGCUUCCGUAAAUGUCGUGUGCCUUGUGUUUGUGUUUCGUUUGUUGUAUCGUUGAAAAUCUUGGGGUGUGUUGCACACACAUAGCCUCCGUUGCGAAUUGUCGAGUGGCUGGCUAAGCGGGAAACUUAGCGCCAUCACGGGCUUGCCGCAUCGAAGAAAAUAGCCUUGUGACACUUGCCAUGAUUGACAUGGUUCCAGUUAGCACCUGGGUGGUUCGAACUAACUUAUUCAUCUUCCCCAAACCAAAUUAUGAAUAAACUCACUAUUUUAAGGAGGAAAACUUCAUUUAGGUAGUUGUCUGAGCUCCUCGGAAACUUUCAUAUGUAUAUUUCUUUGAGAGAUGUAUAUUUGGAUGUUAUCCACUGCUUCCUUAAAUUAUUUAGCUGCGGAAGAUGAUUAAUCGAAUAGGUUAUUUUUUAGUGCUAAGUUUACUGGCAGAGAUGGGUUGCAUAAUAAUGGGUUUUGUGGUUCAAAAAUAUAUAGAGCAUCUGGGAUACGAAAUGAAGGUAUUAAGGUGUUUUGCUUUCUUAAUUGGUAUUUUCUUGGGUUCUGGAUUUCAGUUCCUUUGCAUGAUUUUAUUUUUUAUUUUUCCCUCAAGUUAUACUUCUCCAUUUUUUUGUUAAAAAUUCCAGACCGUGGCAUUCAAUUGUUAAGUAAGGAACAUUAUCAGACAACUUCGAAUAUGUAAUAAAAACUUUAAAGAUAUGGUAACAUAUUUGAUAAUGCCUAAUAUCACGUACUUGAAAUUCCUUUAAAGAGAAGUUUUGCAUAUUGUUAUAGAGCAUUUCUUCGUCCAGGUCAUGAUAGUAGACUGAUGGUUUUAACUGAACUGGGGAGAGGAAUUGAGGGUGAAAUUUUGAAAGCAGGCAAUGGUAUUGGAGUGACGUAUCAAAAACACUGUUAGAUAAUUAAAUCACAAACUAUGUAAGGAGAGAAAGAUUUUAUUCACAAGAUGAAGAAGAUACAUCUAGUCAAGGGGACUUACAAGCCUUAUCCCUUUUGAUUUGGUAAAAUCUCGAACAAGAUUGUGAUGUGGUGAAAGUAGAAAAUGAUUGAAAAGUACAGGACCAUUUACUUGGAAAUAUAAACAAUUCAAUAAUAAAUUUUACAAACUAGACUAAAUCUUUAACAAUUGAGACACUUUCUGCAUGGUUGGUCUGGAUUCUGGACUCUCAUCCAAACAUGAAAUAGCGACUUCUAUGAUUGAUAUCAAUUUGUCCCGAAUAUUGCAUGAUGGGGUUGGAAGCCGAGGAUCCAAUAUUUCAUCAAGUGCUAUGUCCAAGUUUGAAGAUGAAGAGCAAAUUGAGGAAAUGAAAUCUCUUGGAUGCUUUCCUUUUAUCACUUCCAAUGCUAAAAUUCCAAAGCUAUACACGUCGCACUUUUCAGUAACUUUCAUUGUGUAUGCGAGCUCUGAAAGGGAAAAAUAAAAAUAAUUUUUUGUAACGUGGAAUCUAGUUAAUAGAUAUUAGUUAGUAUAUUGUACAUGUUUGAACAACAAUAUAUGUACCUGGUGCAACAUAUCCAAAUGUGCCUACAAGUUCUGUCCAAUUGGAUGAGUCUGGCUUGAGAAACUUGGCAAUUCCGAAAUCUGAAACAUGAGCUUCAUACUCCAAAUCCAACAACACAUUCUUGCUUGAUAUGUCUCGAUGAACAAUUGGAGGGAAGCAAUCGUUGUGCAAGUAAGACAAUGCAUCAGCUACACCUUUUAUCACAUUCAUUCUUUGUGUCCAGCCCAAUUCCUUUGCUGCUGCGUCAUUGCUGAGGACCAUGGCCAAGCUACCGAUUUCAAGAUAUUCAUAAACUAAAAAUGAGUGUUGGACAUGUGAACAAACGCCGUAAAAUUUCACAAUGUUACGAUGCCGUAUCUCAGUCAAUGCCUUGACUUCAUUCAUGAAUUCUUGUUGAUAUGUCAUCUCACCUGGGAGUGGCGAAUGAAAUUUCUUGACUGCAAUGAUUUCUCCAGAAGGUAGAUUAGCUUUGUAUACACUUCCUUGUCCACCUUUUCCAAUGCAGUGCUCAUCAUCAAAACCAUUCGUUGCCCUAAUGAUUUCUUCGUACACGAUUUUUCCUUCAAAGGUUAACACUGAAAGAAAUCCUCGAGUACCUCUAGGGCUACUCUGUAGUGUUUGUAAGGCAUUUUUCCUUCUUCGGAAAAUAAAGAACAAUGCAAUCAAAGAAAUCAAAAGAGCAACAGUCCCUAAGAGAGGGAAUACAAUAACAACCCAAAUCUUUCUCGAAGCUGGUUUGUGUGACUUGGAUGCUUUACAAGAUUGAAAUCCUUUGAUAUCUCCACACAAUCCUUCGUUCCCUUGUAAUGCUUCCAUCGGAGCAUCGCUGAAGGCUGUGCUGUUAGGAAUCGGUCCAUGUAACUCAUUGUAGGAUAUGUCAAUAUACAAAAGACCAUUCAUUUCCUCAAAGCAUCUUGGAAUGAAAUCAGAAAGGUUAUUGUGGGAGAGGUUCAACAUUUCUAGGCUUCGCAUAUUGCAGAUUUGAGAUGGUAUUUCUUUUCCGAGAAAGUUAUGACUCAAAUCUAACUCUGAAAGAUGAAUGAGCUUCUCCAAUUUGAUUGGAAUUUCUUGAAUGAACUGAUUGGUGCUCAAGUUCAAGUAAUGCAGUUUAACCAAGUUACCAAGACUCCUUGGAAUUGAAUUGCUUAAUCUAUUCGAAGAUAAGUCAAGGUACUCGAGUUGAAUGAGUGAGCCGAGUUCUGAAGGCAGCUGUCCAAAAAGUUGAUUCCUUCUUAAGAUAAGCUUGAUAAGAGAACUAAGCUUGCCAAUUUCUGAUGGAAUCUUGCCAAUAAUAUGAUUUGCAGAAAGAUCAAUAACGUGUAAUUGAGAUGAGUCUCCAAUCUCAGGAGGUAGGCUGCCAAUAAUAUUAUUUACGGAAACAUCAAAAGUGCCUAAAUUUGGGCAUUUUCCCCAAUCAGACGAGAUUUGACCAUAAAAGUUAUUGUGGCUAAGAUCUAUGAAAGUUAACUUUGGAUGAAUACCGAAAGAUUCAGAUAUAUUACAAGUGAGAUGGUUUCUGUUGAGACGUAGUCUUAUUAGGUUUGUCAAAUUUCUCAAAUUAGGAAUUGAACCUCGUAAUUAGUUAUCGCUUAAAGUUAGCAUAGUUAAUUUCACUAGGUUUCCUAAUUCUUCAGGAAUAACACCAGAAAGUGCAUUAUCGUAAAGAGCCAAGAGAGUCAUGUGAGUUAAAUUACCCAAAGAAUGAGAGAUUGAGUUACUGAGUUUAUUGUCACCCAAUUGUAGCUCGAAAAGAGACUUUAAGUUUCCAAUUUCUCUUGGGAUUGAACCUAAAAGUGUAUUGCUAUGAAGAUACAAGAUAGCCAAGUUGGUCAAGUUACCCAAAGAAUGAGGGAUCGAGCCACUAAGUUUAUUUUCGCUUAAAUCUAGAUUGGAAAGAGACUUCAAAUUUCCUAUUUCACUUGGAAUUGAACCAGAAAGUGAAUUUUUAUAAAGAUAAAAGGCAGCCAAGUUGGUCAAUGAGGGAUUGAGCUACUGAGUUCAUUGUCAGCCAAUUCUAGACCGGAAAGAGACUUUAAGUUUCCUAUUUCACUUGGAAUUGAACCAGAAAGUGAAUUUGUAUAAAGAUACAAGGUAUCCAAGUUGGUUAAGUUACCUAAAGAAAGAGGGAUUGAGCCAUUAAGUCUAUUUUCACCUAACUCUAGAAUGGAAAGAGACUUCAAGUUUCCUAUUUCACCUGGAAUUGAACUAGAGAAUGAAUUAUUACGAAGAUACAAGGUAUCUAAGUUUGUCAAAUUACCCAAAAAAAGAGGAAUUGAGCCACAAAGUUUAUUGUUGCCCAAUGCUAGAGAGGAAAGGGACUUCAAGUUUCCUAUUUCACUUGGAAUUGAACCAGAAAGUGAAUUAUUAUGAAGAUACAAGAUAGCUAAGUUAGUCAAGUUACCCAAAGAAGGAGGGAUUGAACCUUUCAAAAAGUUUGAGGUCAAAGCAAGUUCGUUUAGAGAGCUUAAUCCCCCUACUUCAUGAGGAAUCGGGCCACUUAGUUGAUUCUUGAACAAGUGAAGGGCCUCGAUAUAACUUAGGUGGCCAAUUUGUGGUGGUAUUCUUCCAGAAAAUUGAUUAGCGGAUAAAUAAAGGAACUUGAGCAUGGAAAGGUUACCAAUUUGAGGCGGGAUGGUACCAGAAAACGAAUUGGAUGACAAGUCAAGGUACUUGAGUUUUGAAAUGUUACCAAUUUGAGGAGGAAUGAUUCCAAAGAUUUGAUUGACCUGAAGAUCGAGAUACGCAAGAUGAGGAAAUGAUGAGAAUGAGAAAUCAUGAAGCGUACCUUUUAAACCUACACUUGUGAGGUUAAUACUAUUGACUCUUCCAGCAUGGUUGCAAUGAAUUCCAAACCAAGCACACGGGCUUAUUUUGGUGGCAUUAUUAAGAGUCCAUGAAGGCAGGAGCGAUCCUUUAUCAUGAUUUUGUAGGCUAGUUUUCCAUUUGAGAAGAGCAUGGACUUCUUCCGUAGAAUUAGAAUAAACAAUUAGUGGGAAAUCUAAAACGGGAAAUAAGAUCAGAAAAAAGAGUGAGAAAAUUACUAAACUAAUUUUCAAGUUUGGUAACACCAUUGUGCAAUAGAAGAUCAACUACAACUUGAUAAUUAUAGAAACAGUAAAGAACAAUUAAAGAUGAAAACAAUAAGAAUUGAAGAUUAGCUUAACAAGGCCGAUAGAAAUAAACAUCUAAGAAUGAUCAAAUCUACAAAGAAACAGACUGAAAACCAAAUUUAUAGUAACUAUACAAGAGAGCAAAUGAGUUAAUAGAAUCAAUGACGUGAGCCAACAAGGAAACUGCUCUAACAUAGACUAGUUGCUGUUAGAGAAAAACAAUUGGUUUUUCAUUAAUUUUGUUUGUUAUCUGUCAAUUGCCGCCUUAUUAAUUGUAUAUAUGCUUCCUUGUAAUGAAUGGCAAACGAGGUGUCCACCGAGAGGUCUAAAAAUCAAUGCAUGGCAGCAUGUGUUAAGAUCGGUUAAGUAGGCGAGCAACAUUAAUUGGUCCAUAUGUGUUGCCAUUUAGAUUUUAUAUAUCUUAACUAGUUAUUGGGGACUAAAUAGUACUUUUCUGUCCAAUCAGACCUUUAAUUAUAUGCUUCUUUUGGCUUCAACGGAUAUCUACCAAGAAUAUGAACCGUCACGGUGUUAAUUCCAAGAUGUCAACGUUAGUUCUAAAAAUCAAUGCACGAGGAUUGACGAAGAAAUUCAGUAUUGGUUAUGUUAAUUUGUUAAAUUAAUUCUAUUGUAAUAGCUGAGCGACAUGCUAAAGAAAAAAAAUAAAAUUGAGUCGUGCGGCACAUUUCAAAUUUUUUUAUCAAUGUGUACGGCAGCUUGUGUAUAUAAUAUUAUAGAUAAGAAAAUAAAUGGUCCAAAUGUGUUGGCAUUCAGACUUUAUAUAGCUUAACUAAUGGAGGAGUGAUCAGUCAGAUCAGCCCCGGAAUCAUACAUGUUGCUUUUAGCUUCAACGAAUAACUACAAAGAAUAUGAGUCGUCACGGCAUUACAAAGCGCCAACCUGUCAGUUCUUUAAAAAAAAAAUUGAGUACUGAAAAUCAGUUCUGAAUUUGAAUAGAAGGAUAUGAUAUAAUGAUAAUAAAAAAAUUAUAAAAUCAUACAGUAUUGUGGUGUUAAGUAAAAAAAUUAAUAUUAUUUGUUAAAUAACGCUUUAUUACUGUAAGAUUUUAUCGUCGUUGUGUUACUAUUAAGAUUCUUAAUAUUUUUUUUGAAAAAAUUGAUGAACGAGUAUGGACGAGGAAAUAUAAUAUGAUUUGUUCCAUUAAAAAAAAAGAAAAAAAAAAGUAUGAUAAGUUGUGCACAUAGACAACAACCAACUAGAGACAUAGAAUACAUAAUCCACAACAAGUCAUUUCGCUAUCAAUGUUUUGUAGUCCAGAUACUUUUCUUCUAGUUCUCAUGAACUAACUGAAUAUAUAACCCAAAUUUUAAGAACUUUUAAGAAAAAUUUAUCCUUUAUAGAAAGAUCAAAACAAAUUUAUUUACCCAUCACACAAGGAUCCUUAAGUUAUUAAAUUAAGUGAUAAGUUAAAAUACAAGAAAUACACACACUCACAUGAUAAAACGCACUGUAUUAGAGUGCCGUGUUUUACUUUUCUUUUAGUUUGUUUUUUAACUUAAUUACUUAAAGGAUCUCUUAUUAGCUAAUAACUACAAUUUAGAUUGUGUAAAAAAUUAAGUGAUUGACAAGUUGUGUACAUAAAACAAUAAACAAACUUGUGAUAUAAAAUUACAUAAACAAUGACAGGUCCUAUAUCUGUAUCAAAAAUUUAUAAGUAAUGGAAAAGAGUUAUGUACUGCAAAAUAAAAAAAUUGAUAAUUUUUAAAAAGAUAAAAGAAUACUCAUUUUCUUGAAAAAAUGACAUUUACACCUCCAAAGUUUAGGGAAAUUGUCACCAACACCCCCAAGUUUUCAGAAAGGGACACCAAGAUUUGUUUUUACGAUAAUAUCCUUUACCUCUAUUAUAAAAAAAAUCAACUAUAAUGUUUUAUAAUAAAUAAAAAUAUAACACUAAAAUAAAUGCAAUAAUGUAUACAUUGUAACAUAAUUGCAACACUUAAAAAAUAUUUUAGUAUUUUACAAUCUCUUAGAUAUAUUUUAUUAUAUAAAAUUAAAUUUUAUAAUAAAUAGAAUCAUAUUAUUAAAACAAGUUUAUUAAAAUUUAAAUUAUUUUGAAUAUUAUGUAAAAUAAUAAUAACAUCAGUAUGCGAGAUUUUUUUAUUGUAGAAUAUAUUUAAUGCAAAUAUUUAUUUAAAAUAUCUAAAAUAAAUAGAAAUAUAUUAUUAAAUAAAUAUAACAAAUUACAUAUUUAAAUUUAUCAAAAUAUUAAAUUAUUUUAAUAUUCUCAAUGUAUUGCAUAGAUUACAUUAUUUAUAAAAUAAUUCUAUUUAUUGAAAAUUUAGAUUCAAUUUUUUAAAAGGUAUAAUGAUCAAAAAGAGAUCUUUGUGUCCCUUUUUAAAAGAUUGGGGGUGUUGGUGAUUAUUUUCUCAAACCUAGGGGGUGUAGAUGUCCUUUUUCCUUUUUUUUAAAUUUUUUUUAAUUUGUUUGUUGUUUAAAAAAAGAUUGGUGAAUCAAUGUAUUCCUUUUUCAUAGUUGAGAAAAAGAAGUAUACGUCCAAAAUUUGUUGACUUAUAAGCAAAAAAAUCCACAAAAUUAUUUUUUAUAGUCAAAAAAUUUUGUAACGGGCAUACUUUGUUCCGUUUAAGCUUAAUUUUGCGAAAUCAAAACCACAAUUAGAGAUGGAUGCAUUCUACUGAAAUCAAAACCACAUUUUCAAUCAGUUUUCAGAAAAUGAAAUGGAUGCAUUAUGUAAAUCUCCCCAUCAGUUAAGGAGGUCAAGAAGUCAACACUCAAAAGUUUUUCCACAAAGAUUAAUGGACAAAAUUGACCGUCGCCUUUUUAGACCUUGAGCGACUAACCAAUUUGUUUACUGGGCAUUAUCUGUCCGAAGAUGAUGUCUGUGUCGGUAAACGGAAUAGUCGACCAAUUCCAAAUCAAAGCAACAAACUGUGCCUUUCAAUACCCAUUAGUCAUAAUAAUGUGCACUUUGAUAAAGAUAUAACUGCUUCGAUAUAAUAAAUAUAUAAAUGAUAAACAAUAAGCAAAAAUUUUGGAUCUAAAUUGAGAUGGUCUGAGGCGGACCCAUGAUUUUAAUUUACAACAGAAAUAUAAUACGACGCAUUCCAUUAAAAAAAAAAAAAUAAAUAAGUGUGACAAGUAAACAACAAGCAACUUGUGAUGUAGAAUACGUAAUCCAUGACAGGUAAUUUCUCUACCAAUGUUUUGUAGUCCAUAUAUUUUUCUUUGAGUUCUUAUGGACUACCUGAAUGGUUAGCCCAAACUUCAAAAACUUUUAAGGAAAAUUUAUCCCUCACAGAAAGAGCAAAAUAAAGUAAUUAACCCAUCAUAGAGACUAUAUCCAAUUUAAAAAGUAAUGUUACAUAUUAGAGUUUGUGUUUUAUAUAUCUUUUAAUUUGUCUCUUAAAUUGAUAACUUAAGUAAUCUCUUAUUAAAUAAUGACUCAAAUUUAAAUUAUGUAAAAGAUUGAGUGACUGACAAGUUGUAUACAUAAAACCACAAACAAACUUGUGACGUAAAAUACAUAAACCAUGGCAUCAGUAGGUCGUAUAUUUGUAUCAGAAACUUAUAAAUAAUGGCAAAGAUUUAUGUACGGUAAAAUAAAAAUUCUAAAAACUAUUAAAAAAGAUUAAAAAAUUAUUUUCUUAUUCAAAAUUUUUUGAAUUUGAUUGCUAUUUAUAAAAUUGAUUGAUGAAUCAAUGAAUUCGCUUUUUAUAGUUUGAAAAAAAAAUUAUACAUGAAUAAUUUGUGACUUAUAAUAUUGGAUUUUAUGUUGUUUAACUAACUAAUGGGGUUAAUAAUAUAAUUGUUCUGUCAAAUCAGUCCUCGAAUUAUAUGCUUGUUUUAGCUUCAACGAUUAUCUACCAAGACUAUGACGUUCAUUACAAAAUGUCGACAUUAGUUCUAUAAAAUUCAAUGCACGGGGAUUGACAAAGAGAUUUAAUAAGGGUUAUGUAUGUUAAAUUAAUACUGACGUAAUGAAUGACUCGUUCCAUUUUAAAAAAAAAAGAGUGAGAUGUUGCAACAAAAAACCUUUACACAUCUAUUACAUAAUCGCCGACACAGAUCAUAUAUCUCUAUCGAAUAGUUGUAAUUUGUAUGUGAAACUGGGAUAGCAGUAAUUAAAAAAUUCAUAUUGUUAUGUGAUAAAAUGCUAGUAUAACUUAAUGAGUCUAAUAAAUACUUUUGUGCCAAUCAUUAAGAAUUAUCACAUAAUUUACUAUUAUCAUGAUGCGGUGGUUUCAAAUGGUCACUUUUUGGCAAUUCGUUUUGGUAUUAAGCUAAAAGAUAAUGUUGAUGCUGUUGUCCAAAAGGUAAGGCAUUUGGGGUUUUCACAUAAAUUCUUUUGUUAAUUUCUUUGAAUUCAAAAUUUCCUAAAAAAAUAAACAGUUAUUUUAUUCCAUUAUGAAUCUACGAUGGCUGAACGGGUGGAAGGAUGUUGAUUGGUGUUGGGGGGACUUAGCAUAAGAUUUCUAGGUAUCCAACCCAAAAGACUAGUCUUUUAGGUAGAGUGACCUACCACCUUAUAAACCCAAGCAUCUCCCCUUUACUAGUCAAUGUGGGACACAACUCAACAAUCCCCCCCUCGGACGAAACCACCGCCGAACUCUGGUCCUUUCGUCCGACACACCUGAGUUGUUCCACCACCACAUUCCGGCUACUAGGGUCUAGCUCUGAUACCACUUUAAUCCGUGUGUAUUUUGUGCUUGAUCUAUUUGUUAUUCUUGAUUUGUUAGUGUGUUGAUUUCUUCUUGUUUGGUUCUUGAUUAUAAACCAGUGAGUUAAGUGUUCUUGGGGUGGGUUUAGUCUUGAUUGUUAGGGCUUCAAACACAACAAAUUGGUCAGUGCUGGUCAGGUUUGGUAUGAAUGAAUCAAAACCUGUCCAAACACCUUUGGCAAGCCACUUUAAGCUUUCAGCAGCUAUGUGUCCCCAAACAGCUGCAGAACAGCAAGAAAUGUCAAAAAUCCCUUACUCAAAUGCUGUAGGGAGCCUCAUAUAUGCAAUGGUGCUAACCAGGCCAGACAUUUCACAUGCUCUCAGUGUGGUGAGUAGGUUUAUGUCAAACCCAGGGGCUGACCACUGGAGGGCAGUAAAAUGGGUAAUGAGGUAUCUUAGGGGCACUACAGAGUAUGGGCUGUUAUAUGGUGGAACUAGAAAUAAAGGAAAUAUCUUGGUGGGUUAUGUAGACUCAGACUUUGCUGGGGAUCUAGAUAAAAGAAGGUCACUGACAGGAUAUUUGUUCACCUUGGGGGAUGUACAGUCAACUGGAAAGCUACAUUACAGAAUGUAGUUGCUCUGUCAACUACAGAAGCUGAGUAUACAGUAGCUGCAGAAGCUCUCAAGGAAGCCAUUUGGCUAAAGGGAAUGGUUGCUGAACUUGGAACUGAACAAGACUCAGUUGAGGUUUAUUGUGACAGCCAAAGUGCAAUUUACCUCAGCAAAAACCAGACACAUCAUGGGAAGACAAAACAUAUUGAUGUGAAGCUCUAUUUUGUAAGGCUUGAAGUUUCCAGAGGAGCUGUAAAGCUUCUAAAGAUAAAUACAGAGGAGAAUCCAGCUGACAUGCUGACCAAGACAGUACCCUCUGCUAAGUUCAACCUAUGCAUGAACUUAGCAGGGAUUUGUAGGAACUGAAGUUACAAAUCGUGAGGAAGAAAGUUCUGUGGAGUAGCUGGAGUAUUGAGUUCAAGGUGGAGAUUGUGAAAUAUGAACUAAAUACUCAGUCACGACAUGUCAUAUGUUGAGUAUGUGUUAGCACGACAUGUCAUCUGAUAUGCAUUUGAAACAAAACCGACAUGAGCCAAAAUGUCGUUCUUUGUUUAAGUAAAUCACAUGCCUGGCACGUGAGCUGAAGAAACUGGUUUCUCUCUAAAACGACUAAGGAAGAGGCCGUUUUGAGCAUGCUUUAUCAAGACAUGUUGCAAGCACGUGACUGAGGCAGAGACUGUUAUGAUUAGCGGGAAAAGCCGUUGAGAAAGAAUCUAGAAUCAGUUGAUAAAGAGCUGGGGUUCUGGGUUUUUGGUAACAGACCUGAGAAUUGUGAGAGGGCAAGAAAGAAGGGAAUGAGAGAGAGAGUUUCAACUAAACUUGUAAUCUCCAUUUGUGUUUGCUUCUCUGUAAACUCUUGAAAGCAAUAAAGUGAAAUCACAGAGCUUGUUUCCAGUGGAUGUAGGCAUCAUUCAUUUAGUGCUGAACCACUUUAAUCUGUGUGUAUUUUGUGCUUGAUCUAUUUGUUAUUCUUGAUUUGUUAGUGUGUUGAUUUCUUCUUGUUUGGUUCUUGAUUAUAAACCAGUGAGUUAAGUGUUCUUGGGGUGGGUUUAGUCUUGAUUGUUAGGGCUUCAAACAAUUGGGAGUAGCAAGGCUAAGCUGCUCAGAACCAAACAAAGUGGUAUUGCGAGGUUUGGCGCUCAUUUUUUGCAUAUUUACGUAGAGAUGUCAUUGUUUCUUAAAAUUUUGGCUGCGUUUAGAUUGAAGUCGGACAAAAGUUACAACAUUAAAGUGUUUUGGUAAAUAUUAAUUACUAUAGUCUUAAAACUAAAUUGAUUUAAUUUUACACUUGUAUGAUAAAAAUUAAUUAUAUCUUUAUUAAUUUUCAAAAUUAUUAUUAAAAAAUUAUAUUUAUUAUAUAUAGUUACUUUUUUUUUUUCACAACAACUAUAAUUUAAGAGCUACCAAAUGGGGCCUCACUUAAAAUGACUAUAGAUUUUGAACAGGAAGCAUGGAACCACCUUCAGUGGAUUACUUGUUUGAUUUUUGGGUGUGGAUUUCAAAAUAAACUCCUCAAUGCAAACUGGAAUAAUUCGCUUGCUGAUGGAUAACAUAUGGGUGAAAUUAGUUCAAUGUCUAUGAAUGCUCCUGAUGUGAGUGCAGGUUUCCAUGCACUUCAUUCUCUAGGAUAUACCAUGCAUUUUUAAUUAGAAGCUAUGAUCUCUAGGCUAACACUGUCUCAAAGCAGAACUCCGAUGAUAAUAUCUCUUGCAGGACAAUGUUGACACGUAUCAGUUGCUCCUCUAUUCGCACUAUUUCUCCCGUCUGGCAAGGUUAAUAUAUCUAACUUAGUGCAUGUGGAGCUAUUAGGCCUUACUAAGUCCUUGGCAAAGGCAGGGGCUGCGGUAUCCGAUUCUUUUCAGGCUGGCUAUAGCAAGAAUGAUUGAGAAAAUUAUUCCCAAAAUAGUUUCAAAUAUGGGUUCCCUAUUAGUUCCUGGUAGAACAGGAUCAAAGUGUGACGCACAAAUGCACAAUGGUACUGUCUCGACUGCAUAUUACGAGAAAAACGAUGAAACAAACUAAAUCAAAUCGCAAAAGGCUUAAACCUGGUGAGAACCCUAGACCAAGGCCAAAAGAUCGUUAGAUGAUUCAAGAGGGCGUAAAAGAGUUGGGAGAAAUUUUACCCAACAGCGCAAAGGUAAUUGCUUUUUUUUUUUUUUUCUCACUAAUGAUUUUAAGUUUAUCUGUAUUUUGUCAAUAGUAGUUUAUGUUUUAAUGCUGAUACUAUUCUUCUUUCCCUUGAUAUGGAUCAACAAUGUAGCAUAGAUGCACUUUUAGAACGUACCAUCAAGCACAUGCUGUUCUUGCAAAGUCUGACCAAGCACAUUAACAAGCUAAAAUAAACAGAGUAGUCUAAAACAACUUUGAGGCAGUCAUCUUGCCUGAACUUGCAGAUAAUCAGCACGAAAGGAGGUUGGCUUUAAAAGAUAACUCUGAGAGAGGGUGACAUGGGCAUUUGAAGUCUGUUCACAAUCUGUGGUCUGUCUUAUCACAAUUGAGGAUCUGAAUCCACCUCGGCAGCUGCUCGUAAAGGUAGUAACUGGCCUUUUUUGAGUAGAAAUUGUUUGGUUUGAGUAAAUGUUCGUAUAUAUGGCCUUGUUGACAUAUGCUUUUCAAGCAACGUGGUUUCUUUUUCAAAAAAACUUACUUAAUCUGGGGAAGGGAGUGAUGGAAGCAAGGAAUGAGAAGAUCUGACAUGCUUUCGGCAGUACCGGUACAAAAGCAAUAUCGCUUUAACCAAUGAAUUAUAAUUUCCUACUAAAUUAAAUUUGCUUGCUGUAAUAAAUGAAUGAUUUAUGCACAGCUUAUUAAAGAUGUAUAAAUAUGUGACAUUUGCCAAUUUCUUUAGUUAUUUAUCUCAAAGAAAAUGAAAACAUGCUGUAAGUCUACAUUUCAAAAACUUUCCUUCCUUUCAAUUGGGUGAUUCUUGUUGAUAAGCCAGGGAGUUAGAGUCUAUACAUAUGUUAUCAAAAUACAGCAAGCUACAUGGUUUUUCUUUUAAAUUUUUAUAAUAUUCAAACUUUUCAUUUAGCAGGCUUAGACUAGGUAAAUCCCCUACAAAUCUUAUUCAUCAAAGCUGUUACUUACGAAUAUACUAGCUGCAAUAAGAACAUGAGUGAAUUUUGCGCAACAAAGCAACAUAACUUAAAAUGAUUGGGUUCAGUCAAUUUCGUUUUUUGGAGAACACACGGAUGUAACAUUGGUAAAUGCCUUGGAUAACAACAAUGUGAUGGUUCAUCAGUAAGCUCAGUUGUCCACCUGGAUAUGUUAAGAGCAAGCUCGCGUUGCAUUGCUUGCCACGACUGACAUGGUUCCAGUCAACACUCAGGUGGUUCUAACUUACAUGUUCAUCUCCCCCAACCCAAGUUGUGACUAACCUCACUUUUUUGGGAGGGAAAACUCCAUUUAGGUAGUUGUGUGAUCUCUUUAAGAACUUUCAAAUAUAUGUUUCUUACAGAGAUGUAUAUCUGAAUGGUGUCUAAUGUUUUCUUAAAUUAUUUAGCUGUGGAAGAUGAUUAUCGAAGAGGUUAUUGUAAUUGCUAAGUUAACAGGCAGAGGGGGGCAUAAUAGUGGGUUUUGUGGUUCAAUAAUGUAUAGAGCAUCUAGGAUACGAGAUGAAGACAUUUAAGGUGUUUUGUUUUCUUAAUUGGUAUUUUCUUGCAUUCCAGUUCUAUUGCAUGACUACAGCAAUCACGUUUUUCUUCGUUUCUUAUUUCAUUUUUUUCUUUUUGUUAUACUUCCUAAGUUUUUUGUUAAACGAACCAACAUGUAGCAUUCAAUGGUUAAGUUAGGAACAUUAUCAGCCUAUUUAGGACGUACAAUAAAAAUUUUGAAGACAUUGUAACAUAUUUGCUAAUAUGAUGUACUUGAAAUUUUUUAAAGAGAAGCUUUGCUUCUUGUAAUGGAGCACCUCAUCAUCUAGGUGACAGUAUGUUGAUAGGCUUUAACUGAACUGAGAAGAGAAAUUGAGGGUGGAAGUUUGAAAACAGGCAACGGUUUUGGAGUGACAUAUCAGAAACACUAUUGGAUUAUUAAACCUCUAACCGUGUGAGGUGAGGAAAGAUUUUAUUCAUAAAAUGAAAAAGAUACAUCUAGUCAAUAGGACUUACAAGCAUUACCCCUUGGGAUAUGGUAAAAUCUAGAAAAUGAUUUCAAAGGACCAGACCGAUUACUUAGUAAAAUAAGCUAUUCACAAGCCUGACUAAAUCUUCAAUUGACUAGAUCUUCAACAGUUGACACACUUUCUGCAUGGUUGGUCUAGAUUCAGGAUUCUCAUCUACGCAUGAAAUGGUGACUUCCACGAUUGAUAUCAAUUUGUCAUGAACAUUGCGCGAUGGAGUUGGAAGCCGAGGGUCCAACAUUUCAUCGAGUGCUAUGUUCAAGUUCAAAGAUGAAAAGGACAUUGAGGAAAUAAAAUCUCUUGGAUGCGUCCCCUUUAUCACUUCCAAUGCCAACACUCCAAAGCUGUACACAUCGCACUUUUCAGUAACUUUCAUUGUGUAUGCAAGUUCUGAAAGGGAAAAACAGAAAGAAUUAUUAUUAGAUUAUUAUUAUUUUUACACUGCACAAGCUUGAAUAAUAAUUUGCAUACCUGGUGCAACAUAUCCAUAUGUGCCUGCAAGUUCUGUCCAAUUAGAUGAGUCUGGCUUGAGAAACUUGGCAAUUCCAAAAUCCGAAACAUGGGCUUCAUUCUCAAAAUCUAACAACACAUUUUUGCUUGAUAUAUCUCGAUGAACAAUUGGUGGGAAACAAUCAUUGUGCAUGUAAGACAAUGCAUCAACUAUACCUUUUAUCAUAUUCAUUCUCCUUGUCCACCCCAAAUUCUUUGCUGCUGCAUCAUUGCUCAGGAUCACGGCCAAGCUACACAUUUUAAAGUAUUCAUAAACUAUAAACAAGUGCCGAACAUGUAAACAAAAGCCAUAAACCUUCACAAUGUUACGAUGCCAUAUUUCGGUCAAUGCCUUGACUUCAUUCAAGAAUUCUUGCUAAAAUGUCAUCUCACCUGGGAGUGGCGAAUGAAAUUUCUUGACUGCAAUGAUUUCUCCAGAAGCUAGCUUAGACAUGUAAACACUUCCUUGUCCGCCCUUUCCAAUGCAGUGCUCAUCAUCAAAGUCAUUUGUUGCUCUAAUAAUUUCUUCAUAGAUAAUUUUUCCUUCAAAAGUUAACACUGAAAGCAAACCCCGAGAAUUUCCAGGGCUACUCUGUUGUGUUUGUGAAUCAUUCUUUCUUCGUUGAAACUUGAAGAACAGUCCAAUCAAAGAAAUUAAAAGAGCAACAAACCCUAAGAGAGGGAAUACCACAACAACCCAGAUCGUUCUCAAAGCUUGUUUGUUUGACUUUAAUGCUUUGCAAGAUAGAAGUCCUUUGACAUCUCCAUAUAAUCCUUUGUUCCCUUGUAGUGCUUCUAUUGGAGCAUCCUUGAAUGUUGUGCUGUUAGGAAUUGAACCUCGUAACUCAUUGUAGGAUAUGUCAAUGUGUAGCAGGCCAUUCAUUUUUUCAAAGCAACUUGGAAUGAGACCUGAGAGGCUAUUGUGGGAAAGAUUCAGCUUCUCCAAACUUUGCAUAAUACAGAUUUGAGAUGGUAUUGCUUCUCCGAGAAAGUUACGACUUAAAUCCAACUCUGAAAGAUGAAUUAACUCCUAGAAUUUAAUUGGAAUUCCCUGACUGAACUAAUUAUUGCUCAAAUUUAAGUAAUGUUUAACUAAGUUGCCAAGACUUUUUGGAAUUGAAUUGCUUAAUCUAUUUAAAGACAAGUCAAGGUGCUCGAGUUGAACGAGUGACCCGAGUUUUGGAGAUAGUUGUCCAGAAAGCUGAUUAUGAGCCAAAACGAGCUUGAUAAAAAAAUUAAGCUUGCCAAGUUCUAUUGGAAUCUCGCCAACAAUAUGAUUUGAUGAAAGAUCAAGAACUCCUAAUUGAGAUGAGUGUCCAAUUUCAGGAGGUACAUUGCUAGUAAUAUUAUUUAUAGAAAAAUCUAAAGUGCUUAACUUUGGGCAUCUUCCCCAAUCAGAUGAGAUUUCACCAUAAAAGUUAUUCUGGCUAAGAUCUAUGUAAGUUAAGUUUGGAUAAAUAUAAAAAGACUCAGAUAUAUUGCCGGUUAGAUAGUUUCUAUCGAGACGUACUCUUUCUAGGCUUGCCAAAUUUCUCAAAAUGGGAAUUGGACCUCGAAAUUGGUUAUGACCUAAUAGUAGUAUAGUCAACUUCACAAGGUUCCGGUAUUCAUAAGGAAUAGCACCAGAAAGUGAAUUCUCAAACAAAUUUAAGUAAGUCAAGUUGCUCAAAUUGCCCAUAGAAAUAGGGAUUGAGCCACUGAGUUUAUUGUACCCCAAACUAAGGUUGGAAAGAGACCUCAAGUUUCCCAAUUCACUUGGAAUUGAGUAAGAAAGUGAAUUGGUAUCAAGAUACAAGGUAGCUAAGUUGCUUAAAUUGCCCAAAGAUGGAGGGAUUGAUCCAUUGAAGUUAUUCUCACUCAAUUGUAGAUUUGAAAGAGACUUCAAGUUUCCUAUUUUACCUAGAAUUGAGGCAGAAAGUGAAUUGCUAUAAAUAUACAAGGUAGCCAAGUUGGUUAGGUUACCUAAAGAAUGAGGGAUUGAGCCACUGAGUAUAUUAUUGUUCAAUUGUAGAUUGGAAAGAGACCUCAAGUUUCCCAAUUCACUUGGAAUUGAGUCAGAAAGUGAAUUGGUAUCAAGAUACAAUGUAGCUAAGUUGCUUAAAUUGCCCAAAGAUGGAGGGAUUGAGCCACUGAGUUUAUUAUUACUCAAUUCUAGAUCAGAAAAAAACCUAAAGUUUCCUAUUUCACCUGGAAUUGAGCCAGAAAGUGAAUUGGUAUGAAUAUACAAGGUAGCCAAGUUGGUUAGGUUACCUAAAGAAUGAGGGAUUGAGCCACUGAGUUUAUUAUUGCCUAAUUCUAGAUUGGAAAGAGAUUUCAAGUUUCUCAAUUCACUUGGAAUUGAGUCAUAAAGUGAAUUGUUGUAAAUACAAGGUAGCUAAGUUGCUCAAAUUGCCCAAAGAUGGAGGAAUUGACCCACUAAGUUUAUUAUUAGUUAAUGCUAGAUUAGAAAGAGACUUCAAGUUUCUUAUUUCACCUUGAAUUGAGGCAGAAAGUGAAUUGCUAUAAAUAUACAAGGUAGCCAAGUUGGUUAGGUUACCUAAAGAAUGAGGGAUUGAGCCACUGAGUUUAUUAUUAUUCAAUUGGUAUCGGAAAGAGACCUCAAGUUUCCCAAUUCACUUGGAAUUAAGUCAGAAAGUGAAUUGUUAUCAAGAUACAAAGUAGCUAAAUUGCUCAAAUUGCCCAAAGAUGGAGGGAUUAAGCCACUGAGUUUAUUAUUGCUCAAUUCUAAAUCAGAAAGAAACCUCAAGUUUCCUAUUUCACCUAGAAUUGAGCCAGAAAGUGAAUUGGUAUGAAUAUACAAGGUAGCCAAGUUGGUUAGGUUACCUAAAGAAUGAAGGAUUGAGCCACUGAGUUUAUUGUACCCCAAACUAAGUGUGGAAAGUGACCUCAAGUUUCCCAAUUCACUAGGAAUUGAGUCAGAAAGUGAAUUGUGAUAAAGAUACAAGGUAGCUCAGUUGUUCAAAUUGCCCAAAGAUGGAGGGAUUAAAUCUUCUAAAUAAAUUGAGUACAAAGCAAGGUAGUUUAGAGAACUUAAUCUGCCUAUUUCAUAAGGAAUUGAGCCAUUUAUUUGAUUCUCGAACAACUGAAGGGUCUCGAGAUAACUUAGGUGGCCAAUUUGUGGUGGUAUGGUACCAGAAAAAAAAUUAGAUGAUAAAUCAAGGUACUUGAGUCUUGAAAUGUUACCAAUUUAAGGCGAGAUGUUUCCAUAGAGUUGAUUGCGCCAAAGAUCAAGAUACACCAUAUGAGGAAACGAUGAGAAUGAGAAAUCAUGAAGCAUACCUUUUAAACCUAUACUUGUGAGGUUAAUACUAUCGACUCUUCCACCAAGGUUGCAAUGAAUUCCAACCCAAGCAAAUGGGCUUGUUUUGGUGACAUUGUUAAGAGUCCAUGAAGACAGGAGAGAUCCAUUAUUAUGAUUUUGAAGGCUAGUUUUCCAUCUAAGAAGUGCGUGGGCUUCUUCCAUAUAAUAAGAAGAACAACCAGUGGAAAAUUUAAAACACAAAAUAGGAUAAAAAAAAUGAGUGAGAAAAUUACUAAAUUAUUUUUCAAGUUUGGUGACAUCAUUACGUAAUGGACGAUCAACCGAGACUUGAUAAUCAUAGAAACAGUAGAGAAAAGUGAAAGAUGAGAACAACAAGAAACUAAGAUUAGCUAGCCAAGGCAGAUAGAAAUAAACAUCUAGGAAUGAUGGAUGCACAAAGAAACACAUUGCAAGGCAAAUUUAUAAAAUGAAUGACGUGAGGCAACAAGUCAAUGCGCCAACCGCUCUAAGGUAGACUAGUUGUUGUUAGGGAAAAAAUUUGGUUUUCAUUAAUUUUGUUAGUUAUCUGUCAAUUGAGGCCUUAUUAACUCUUUGUGUGUAUGUAUAUAUGUUAUUUUUUUUGUAGGGGAUUUUAAAGUUUAGAAAAUUCUAAAAAAUCUUUAAAACCUCACGCUUUUAAAUUUUACUAGAUUUUCCCCGAAUUUUAAACACCUGAAAUAAAAAUUUUCUGUAUAUAUAUAUACAUAUAUAUAUACAUAUACAUAUACAUAUAUAUAUAUAUACAUAUAUAUUUUUGGAAGUGAGUGAUGCUUUUAAAAUUGCUGGAGCAACACAAGAUACUUUAAGACAAAGGCUUUUUCCUUACUCCUUAAGAGAUCGAGCAAGAGUAUGGUUGAACUCAUUACCAUCUGAUUCCAUCACUACAUGGAAUAAAUUGGCUGAAAAAUUUUUAAUGAAAUAUUUUCCACCAACCAAGAAUGCAAAAUUGCGGAAUGAGAUCACUUAUUUUCAUCAACUUGAAGAUGAAAGUUUGUAUGAAGCUUAGGAGAGAUUUAAAGAGCUGCUCAGAAGGUGUCCUCAUCAUGGCAUUCCUUGUUGCAUACAGUUGGAAACCUUUUACAAUGGGUUAAAUCCAAGUACGAUAUUGAUAGUUGAUGCUUCAGCAAAUGGAGUUCUGUUAUCCAAAUCUUACACUGAAGCUUAUAAAAUUUUAGAGAGAUUGCCAACAAUAAUUAUCAGUGGCCAUGAACUAGACAAACGGUAGCAAGAGGAGCAGCAUGAGUACAUAAUAUAGAUGCAAUUACAACAUUGUCAGCUCAGGUAACUUCAUUGACUAACAUGGUGAAAGCCAUGACUUCUGCUCAUACAGAAGUAAAGCAAGUUGCUGAACUAUCUUGCCUAUAUUAUGGUGAGGAGCAUGUAUUUGACAACUGUCUAGGAAAUCCAGCAUCAGUAAACUAUGUGGGCAACUUCAAUCGAUAGCCUCAGAACAACCCAUACUCAAAUACUUACAAUCCUGGAUGGAAGCAACACCCAAAUUUCUCAUGGAGCAAUCAAAAUCAGCAUGCUCCAGUACCGAAUGGACAAAACAGAAAAACUCAACCACCUGGUUUUCAUCAGCAGAAUCAAGGGCAAAAACACACUAGCAAUGAUCCACUUACUUUAUUGGAAACACUGAUUAAGGAAUACAUUGUGAAGAAUGAAAUACAAGUAUGCAACCCAAGAGGGGGGGUGAAUUGGGAUUAUAAAAAUUAUUCAAUUUAUUAAAGAAAAUCUUAAUGCAAUUAUAAAUCAAAUUCAAAGCAAUAACAAUUAAGAUGAUCACAAUAUAAAAAGAUAAGGGAAGAGGGAUUCAAACACCGAGAUUUUUACGUGGUUCGGCCAACCUCGCCUACGUCCACGCCUCCAAGCUUUCCGGGCUUGAGGAUUCCACUAAGCAAGCCUCCAAGGCUUCAAAUGCUUACACUUGACUUCCAAGGUGUCAAUGGACCUUCACAACAAGAGAUUAUCCCCAAUCUCUUAACCCAAGUGUAUCCCAACACUUACAAUCACUCAAAAUAAAAGAUUACAAACUGUUUUGCCUCUCACAAUAUAUAAGAUUACACAAUGAUGCUUAAUAUGUGAAUAGAUGAAGCAAGAAUGUGUUCUAAGCUCUAUGAAGAUUGUAUUCUCGAAUAUUAGCUCAAAUGGUCGUGUUGUGAUCAGCCUUCUUUGAAUUUGAAUGAGCUUAUUUAUAUUUGGAGCCGAAAAUCUAGCCGUUACAAACUGUCGGACAGAAAACGGUUUGCCGUUAAUCAUUAACGGUUAACCAUUUAGGCUGGUCAAAGUUACCGUUGGGCCAGAUUUCAAAUAAACGGUUUGCCGUUUAGGGUUGCCCUUUCACCGUUAAAUUCCAGAGACCUGCAAAAUGAACAUCAGUUAAUCCGUUUUCAUUUAGCGGUUAAGGGAUUGCAUAAAGUGGCUUCUCUGGGUAUUAUCGGUUGACCGUUUAAAAACAAACGGUUUGCCGUUUGGCUCCAGUAACCUGCACAACAAUUUAGCCUUAUCAGUUUUCGUUAAUCAAUGCCAGAGGAGGACAACCUUCAAUUCUGGACGUUAUCGGUUAACCGUUUAAAAAUAAACGGUUCACCGUUAGUUUUCAGUAGCCUUCCCAUCAUGGGUGUUUUUCGUUAAGCAUAAACGGCUAGAGAUUAGGCAAAUAUGUUGCUCUCUGGUGAUAAUCGGUUAACCGUUUAAAAGCAAACGGUUUACCGUUAAUUUCCAGUAACCUCCCUAUCUAUUGUGUUUUCCGUUUUCCAUAAACGGUUAGAGGUUUAGGAAAUGUGUUACUCUCUGCCUUUAAUCGGUUAACCGUUUAAAAUAAACGGUUCACCGUUUAUGACCAGAAUUGUAAUUUUAAACAAGUUUUUGCAGAGAAUUUCUUUCUAAUUUGAAAAUCCAUCUUUUAUGAAGAAAUAAGGCAAUGAUUAAAAGGCUUUCGUUUAUUAAGAAAUAGCUCCAAUAUUUUUGUCAAAAACCAUAUAAAAUUUGUUAUCAUCAAAAUCAAUAUUAUUAACAUAUUCAUGUUAACAAUCUCCCCCUUUUUGAUGAUGACAAAUUUCAUUCAAUGUUUAGCUCCCCCUUAAUAUGUGCUCCCCCUACAUGUAUGGCCAAAUUGAGAAAUGUGAAUAAAAGGAUUUUUGCUUUAAAACUUCCCAUUUUAAAUCCAUCUUAAAAUAAAAUCUCCCUAUUUAAAAAAAAAACCAUCUUACCAUCUUAAAAACCAUAAUUAUCUCCCCCUUCAUCAUCAAAAAGAAAAGAAGAAAUAAGAAAUACACAAAGCCGGUUUUGGCAAGCGAAAAUUUUGGCAGAGUUUCCCCUUAAAAAUGAGCAAAACCAAUUAUACAAAAUGAGAUAGAACACUUCCAAAAAUAUAUGAACAUCAACUUCUUCUUGCAACAAGCCAACAACUCCAUAAACACAUCAAAAGAACACUUCAAGAACCACAAACAUACCAAUACUCCAAUAGCCACAAUUAAACCACAUUUACAAUAUCCAACCAAUUAGGCAAUCACAAAGCAUUAAUAAUCGAAUCAUCAAGAACAUCACACACAUAUGCAUCAAAAUCAAAAUAAUAAUAAAAAUGCUAGCAAUCAAAAUGUAAAAUGUAUGUGCGAAGACAAAGCUCAGAAACUACGGAGGCGGAGAAGAUGUGCUCCCCGGAUCAUAACUGAAAUAGCCGAGAAUAGUGCGCUGUCCAGCGAUAAGCUCCAGCUGCUGAUCAAGGCUCAGCCGCUGGAAUAUCUGAAAGUCAAAACGCAGCUGCUGGUGGUCACGGGAAAGAGUGUCCAACCGAUCAAGAAUCAGCUGCUGGCACUCCGAAAUCCGCUGAACAUCAGUGAUCAGCUGCUGCAUUACGUCUGAAGCAGGGGGCUGAACUGGAGCUGGAGGCGGCAUAGAGGCAAAUGGCUGCUCGGGAACAACAGAAGGCUCAGGAGCAGGAGGCAGCUCGGAAGAGGAGGGAAUGUCAGUAUCUAUCGCAUGCUCCUCAGGGACAGAAUCAGCAGGAGGCCGAGAUACAAAAUGGCGACGCGGAGGAUGAGGAAGAGCUCCUAAUCUAAAGUCAGGAAGCUGAUCGGAAGGAUAGAUAUCAUUGAGCAUCCGAUCGUCCUCUGCGGCAAUCAAGGUAUCCCGGUUUUUGGAGUUGCUUGUCUUUAUCCACACUCCAUUCUUCCUAGAGAAUCCGAUACUGGUCACGGCCUCGGGACCAAUCCGUCGAGUCUCCAUAUGACCGGUAUCAAGAAGUGGCACCUCAAAGCGUCGUAGUAUUUUAGUGAUGAUACUGCCAUAAGGAAGCAAGCGGUGGUUGACCGCUGGAGUACUCAACAUAUGUCGCACAAUAAUAUACCCGAGGUUAAUGGGACGGUCUGUAAGAAGGCUAUCCAGUAGGGUAACGUCCAACCUCGUAACCUCAUCCGAGUGACCCUUCAUAGGAGUCACUAUGUGCUGUAAAAUAGAGUGAAGAAUACGAACUUGGAGAGGUAAAAGUUGAGACCGAAACGGAAGCAUACAAAUCUCAUCCGAUAAGUCUCUACGACGACAUAUAUUACGGACGCCAUGAGUAUGAGAAAAAGUAUCAAAGGAGAGGGCUUUCCUAGAGGUGUAAAUGUCAAUCCCCUCACAAGAGAUACCUAGAAAGUCAGCUAAGUCCGCAUCAUCAAAUUCUAUGGGUACACGGCCGACUUGAGUGACUAUCCUAUUUGGGCGAGUAUCGGAGAUUUCCAUAUUAGAGUAAAAGACUCGCACUAAAUUUGGAAAGACCCGGUCAUCAAGGUCAAUGGCAGCCUCCCAAGGCUGAAGCAUAUCCCUAAUGCUUCUACCACAAACAACUAAGUUGCGGAAAUCAUCAAUAUCAACAAAAAAAGGAUCAAGUACCUUUCGACCAUCGAAGCGAUCCUCAAACCGCUUAGCCAAGGCAGGAGUGGGGAAGUGAAUCCUUGAAAAUUCAGAGACCUCCCGAGGUGGUAUGGGAUUCCUUGGAGGCACAGAUUUACGCCUGGGAUUUCUCUGAGAGGGUUCAGCCAUGGAAACUCGUAAUGGGACGAAAGUAAAUCGAUAAAAGGUUUAAGGAAGAGUAGAGGAUGUGAGUAGGAUGUUCAAUUUGGUUGAAGAAAGGUGGAAAUCGGAUUAAGAACGAAGAAACCCGACCCGCGACAGUUAGGGUUUAGAUUUGGGAUUUUUGAAUUUUGGGCUCGAUUUGAAGUUUUGAAUCGGUAGAAUUGUUCUAAAGGUGAUGAGAAAUGAUUUUGAGGGUUUGAUUUGGCACGGAAAGCAAGAAAAAUGAGGAUUUGAGGACAAGGAGACCUUCGGCUGCGCAACAAUAGAGGAAACGGUGAGAGGGUAACUGGAGAAGGAGAAAAACCUUUGAACAGUUUUAUACUUCACGAAAACGGUUAACCGUUUAUUUAAACGGUUAAAGGGUAACUCCCAGGGGCUGAAGAAACAGAAAUGGUGUAAGCCUAAGCGCUUAACGGCUAAGGGGUAACUGUUAGAGGACUCUCUGUUCAAAAACGGUUCACCAAUUGUGGCAAACGGUGAAAGGGUAACUGGACAGACACACAAUCUCAUUUCUGGAAUUAAACGGUGAUCCGUUUACAGUAAAUGGCUAACCGUUUAUUUUAUCUGUAAUUUCGCACAUUUGAUUUAAUUUUUGGCCAGCAAAUAAUAUAUUCCAAGAUCAUUUAAUCGAUCUGAAAAUAUUUUAUGAGCCAUUUUAAUGCAUGAUUCAUGAACAUGUUUUCAACCAAUCAAUACAUAUACUCAAGAGUUAUCAAUGCAAAUUCAUCAUUUGUCUACCAAGCUCAAGCAUUUCAUAAAUAGUAAUCAAUCAAUUCAGUACACUCAAUAGCAUGAAUAGAGAUGUUAAUGCAAAAAUUUCAUCAUCCCAAGUUCAUGCCGAAUUUUUUAAAAUUGUUCUUCGCAAAGCGGUUUUGUGAAAAUAUCGGCAAGUUGUUUUUCUGUGGAAAUAAACUCUAAUGCAAUAUCUCCAUUUUGAACAUGAUCUCUCAAGAAAUGAUGUCUUAUUUCUAUAUGCUUGGUUCGAGAGUGUUGAAUGGGAUUCUUUGAAAGAUUAAUAGCACUAGUAUUAUCACACUUAAUAGGAAUUUAUUCAAGAUUAAUGCCAUAAUCUCUAAGUGUUUGUUUCAUCCAAAGUGCUUGUGCACAACAACUUCCGGCAGCUAUAUAUUUAGCCUCGGUAGUUGAAAGUGUGACAGAAUUUCGUUUCUUGCUAAACCAUGAAACAAGAGAGUGUCCUAGAAUAUAGCAAGUUCCACUAGUGCUCUUCCUAUCCACUAUAUAACCAGCAAAAUCCGCAUCCAAAAAACAUGUUAAAUCUAUAUGAGUUCCCCUAGGAUACCAAAGGCCAAUAUCUAUGGUUCCACUCAAAUAACGGAAAAUUCUUUUAACAGCGAGCAAAUGAGAUUCCUUGGGACAUGACUGAAAUCUUGCACACAAACAUACACUAAACAUGAUAUCGGGUCUACUUGCAGUCAAGUAAAGUAGAGAUCCGAUCAUACCUCGAUACAUUUUGAUAUCCACUUCUUUACCUUUUUCAUCUUUGUCUAGCUUGGUUGUUGUGCUCAUUGGUGUAUUCUUGGUCUUUGAAUCAUCAAUGCCGAAUCGUUUGAGUAGAUCCUUUAUGUACUUGGCUUGAUUUAUAAAAAUUCCUUCCUCGUUUUGUUUGAUUUGAAGUCCAAGGAAGUAUUUCAACUCUCCCAUCAUACUCAUCUCAAAUUCCUUGCUCAUACAUGAUGAAAAUUCUCCACUCCUUGGGGAGUGUUUGAGAAGUACCUUUAUUUUGCUCCACAUUUGGUUCUUCAUGAUGUUCCUCUUGAAUUCCAUGUGGUGCAUCCUCUUGAUUGUCAUUUGAUGCUUCUUCUUCUUGUUCUUCUUCUCCUGCAUCAUCAUCAACAACGACUUUCUCCGUAGAUGAGGGGUUAGACUCAUCAAAUGUGACAUGCAUAGAUUCUUCCACAACUAAAGUUCUUUUGUUAUAGACUCUAUAAGCUUUGCUUGAAUUUGAAUAACCAAGAAAAAUACCAACAUCGGAUUUUGAAUCAAAUUUACCAAGAUUGUCUUUUGUGUUCAAAACAAAACAUUUGCAUCCAAAAACUUUAAAAUAGCCAAUGUUGGGUUUUCUAUCUUUCCAAAGUUCAUAUGGAGUUUUAUUAAGAUUAGGUCUAAUCAACACCCGAUUUAAAACAUAACAAGCGGUGUUGACGGCUUCGGCCCAAAAAUAUUUUGGUAAUGCAUUUUCAUUUAACAUGGUCCUAGCCAUUUCUUGAAUAGACCUAUUCUUUUUCUCAACAACUCCAUUUUGUUGUGGAGUUCUAGGUGAAGAAAAUUGAUGCUCAAUGCCUAGAUUAUUGUAAAAACUCUCAAAUGCAUGAUUUUCAAAUUCUCCUCCAUGAUCACUCCUAAUGCAUACAAUACCAUGCCCUUUUUCAUUUUGUAAUUUCUUACAAAUCACUUUAAAUGCAUCAAGAGCAUCAUCCUUAUUGGCUAAGAAUAAUACCCAUGUAUAUCUAGAAUAAUCAUCCACUAUCACAAAAGCAUAAUAUUUGCCAUUUAGACUUGCAUAUCUAGAUGGCCCAAAAAGAUCUAUGUGAAGAAGUUCAAGUGGUUUUGAAGUAGAAAUAUGGUUUUUAUUCUUGAAAGAAGUUUUAAUUUGUUUUCCAAAUUGACAAGCUUCACAAAUCUUAUCCUUUUGAAAGCUAAUUUUCGGAAGACCUUUAACUAAAUCAUCUUUCGAAAUUUUUGAAAUCAAAUCCAUACUUGCAUGUCCUAAACUUCUAUGCCAUAACCAACAAUCAUCAUGUAAUGCCGAAAAACAUUUAUCAAGAGUAGAUGCACAUCCUAUGUCAAUGAUAUAAACAUUACCACAUCUAUUUCCAACAAAUAAGGUUUUGCCAUCACAUGAGUUCUCAAUAACACAACUAAGUUUAUCAAAGAUAACUUUAUAACCUUUGUCACAUAAUUGACUAAUGCUAAUUAAGUUGUGUUUCAAGUUUUCAACCAAACAUACAUUCUCAAUUAGAGUUGAAGAGACUUUACCAACAUUUCCAAUUCCAAGAAUUUUUCCUUUUGAGUUGUCUCCAAAAGAUACGUCUCCACCAUUUUCAAUUUUGGUGAAGCUUGAGAACCAUGCAUAGUUUCCGGUCAUGUGCCUUGAACAACCGCUGUCCAAGUACCAUUUAUUUUUCUUCUUCUUCAAGCCCUCAUUGAGAUCACCAUCCCCUCCUAUUGCCAUGAGUGCUAGGUUUGAUACUUCUUGCGAUCCUUCUUCAUCAUUUGAUUCUUCCUCACUAUCAUCCCAAGUUGCAACCAUUGCUUUCUUCUUGAGUUGUUGAUAAGUGGGCACUCCGAUCUUAUAUGUCCAGGCUUCUUGCAUUCAUAGCAAGUGAUUGCCUCAUUUUUCUCCCUAUAGUUCUUGAAGUUUCUGAAAUUUCUUCGCUCUCCGGUUUUCUUGAAGAAUUUUCUGAACCUCCUUGCUAGCAUGGCUGCCUCUUCAUCAUCCGGUUCACUCUCCCCAUCACUCUUAUAUUUUGAAGCUUUGAGAGCAAUGCUUUUCUUCUUCUCCUCAUGUCCUUUUUCUGCAGCUAAAUCCUCUUCAUACGAAAUAAGAGAACCAAUUAAAUCAUCAAGAGGUAAAGUAUUUAAAUAUUUGGCCUCUUCAAUAGCGGUUCUUUUAGGUCUCCAUUCUUUUGGAAGUGACCUAAUAAUUUUCUUAACUUUCUCACUAUUUGAGAAGGUUUUCCCUAAGGCCCCUAGGGUGUUCACUAUGUCCGUGAAUCUAGUGUACAUAGAAUACACAUUUUCAUUUUGUUCCAUUUGGAACAACUCAUAUUGACGAGUGUAUCUACUGAUUUUAGACUCUUUCACUUGAUUUGUCCCUUCAUAGACAACUUCAAGUUUGUUCCAUAUCUCUUGUGCACUUUCACAACUAGAUACUCUAUGGAAUUCUUUCUUAUCAAGGGCACAAAACAAAGCAUUCAUAGCCUUGGAGUUUAGAGACAUCUUUCUCUUUUCUAACUCACUCCAUUGACUCGAUGGUUUAGGAAUAUCAUCUCCUACUUCAUCUUUGAACGUAGGCAUGAAUGGACCAUCACAAACAACUUCCCAAAUUUCAUAAUCUAAGGCUUGCAAAUAGAUUCUCAUUCUAGUUUUCCAAUAAGCAUAGUCAUUACCAUCGAAAAAUGGUGGUCUAGUUGUGGAUUGCCCUUCUCUAAAGGUUGAGUCAUUUAGGGUUGCCAUGAAUCUUUUACUCUAGACGAUUAAGUCUUAACAAGAGAACGAGGCUCUGAUACCAAUUGAAAUACAAGUAUGCAACCCAAGAGGGGGGGUGAAUUGGGAUUAUAAAAAUUAUUCAAUUUAUUAAAGAAAAUCUUAAUGCAAUUAUAAAUCAAAUUCAAAGCAAUAACAAUUAAGAUGAUCACAAUAUAAAAAGAUAAGGGAAGAGGGAUUCAAACACUGAGAUUUUUUACGUGGUUCGGCCAACCUCGCCUACGUCCACGCCUCCAAGCUUUCCGGGCUUGAGGAUUCCACUAAGCAAGCCUCCAAGGCUUCAAAUGCUUACAAUUGACUUCCAAGGUGUCAAUGGACCUUUACAACAAGAGAUUAUCCCCAAUCUCUUAACCCAAGUGUAUCCCAACACUUACAAUCACUCAAAAUAAAAGAUUACAAACUGUUUUGCCUCUCACAAUAUAUAAGAUUACACAAUGAUGCUUAAUAUGUGAAUAGAUGAAGCAAGAAUGUGUUCUAAGCUCUAUGAAGAUUGUAUUCUCGAAUAUUAGCUCAAAUGGUCGUGUUGUGAUCAGCCUUCUUUGAAUUUGAAUGAGCUUAUUUAUAUUUGGAGCCGAAAAUCUAGCCGUUACAAACUGUCGGACAGAAAACGGUUUGCCGUUAACCAUUAACGGUUAACCGUUUAGGCUGGUCAAAGUUACCGUUGGGCCAGAUUUCAAAUAAACGGUUUGCCGUUUAGGGUUGCCCUUUCGCCGUUAAAUUCCGGAGACCUGCAAAAUGAACAUCAGUUAAUCCGUUUUCAUUUAGCGGUUAAGGGAUUGCAUAAAGUGGCUUCUCUGGGUAUUAUCGGUUGACCGUUUAAAAACAAACGGUUUGCCGUUUGGCUCCAGUAACCUGCACAACAAUUCAGCCUUAUCAGUUUUCGUUAAUCAAUGCCAGAGGAGGACAACCUUCAAUUCUGGACGUUAUCGGUUAACCGUUUAAAAAUAAACGGUUCACCGUUAGUUUUCAGUAGCCUUCCCAUCAUGGGUGUUUUUCGUUAAGCAUAAACGGCUAGAGAUUAGGCAAAUAUGUUGCUCUCUGGUGAUAAUCGGUUAACCGUUUAAAAGCAAACGGUUUACCGUUAAUUUCCAGUAACCUCCCUAUCUAUUGUGUUUUCCGUUUUCCAUAAACGGUUAGAGGUUUAGGAAAUGUGUUACUCUCUGCCUUUAAUCGGUUAACCGUUUAAAAUAAACGGUUCACCGUUUAUGACCAGAAUUGUAAUUUUAAACAAGUUUUUACGGAGAAUUUCUUUCUAAUUUGAAAAUCCAUCUUUUAUGAAGAAAUAAGGCAAUGAUUAAAAGGGCUUUCGUUUAUUAAGAAAUAGCUCCAAUAUUUUUGUCAAAAACCAUAUAAAAUUUGUUAUCAUCAAAAUCAAUAUUAUUAACAUAUUCAUGUUAACAAAGAAUUAAACAAUUGUGCAAAGUCAAGCUGUAUCUCUGAGAAACCUGGAAAACCAAAUUAGACAGCUUGCUACAGCAAUGAGUAGCAAAUCUCAGGGAAGUUUACCCAGCAAUACAGAAGAUCCAAGAAGAGAGGGUAAAGAACAUUGUAGGGUAAUCAACCUAAGAUCUAGAAAGAAUGUUGACAUUAUUGUUGAUGUGACUAAAAAGAGGUUGGAACUUAACUCCUCGUAAGAACCUCCUCAAAAUGAAAUGAUCAUACAGCAACCCAGCCAUCAAAAUACUGAUGCUAGUGGUCAAGCUACAGCAACCUUGGAAGGAAAUCAACUGAUACCUGCUGAAGAAGAGGUUGCAACACCAGUGGUGACAACUUACAAUAAGUCAAAGGAGUAGAGACUGGUACCUCCUGAAGCUGCCCAGCAAUUUAGGCAUUUACCUCCUUUCCCACAGAAAUUUCAGAAACAAAAACAAGAAAAGCAGUUUAGUAAAUUCCUGAAAGUGCUGAAGCAAUUACACAUCAACAUACCUUUUGUGGAAGCAUUAGAACAAAUGCCUAAUUAUGUGAAAUUUCUAAAAGAUAUUUUGGCAAGAAAAAGAAGGUUGAGAGAAUUUGAAAUUGUUGCUUUAACACAGGAAUUCAGCCACAUGCUUCAAAGCAAGAUCCCUAAAAAAUUGAAGGAUCCAAGAAGCUUCACAAUACCAGGUUCAAUUAGAACUAGGUACAAUGGCAGAGCACUCUGUGAUUUGGGAGCCAGCACUAAUCUGAUGCCAUUAUCUGUAUUUAAGUAAUUGGGAGUAGGAGAAUGCAGGCUAACAACAGUCACUCUGCAAUUAGCUGACAUAUCUCAUGCAUACCCUGAAGGAAAGAUUGAGGAUGUACUGGUGAAGGUUGAUAAAUUCAUCUUUCCAGUGGACUUCAUUGUACUAGACUUUGAGGCUGACAAAGAGGUACCCAUUAUACUUGGAAGACAUUUCCUGGCAACCGGGAAGAGACUCUGAUAGAUGUGUAAAAAGAAGAGCUAACAAUGAAGGUGAAUGACCAACAAGUCACAUUCAAUGUAUUAGAGGCUAUGAAGAAUCCUGAUGAGGCAGAAGAUUGCAAUUUCCUAAGUGUUGUGGAUCUUAUUGUAGCAGAUAGAAUAAAUAGAUGCUGCAAUAAUGAGGUUAUCAAAGUUGCCACAAUUGAAAGCUUUGAAGAAGAAGAUGUUGCAGCAAAUCAGAUAGAUUAGAUGGGAGAAAGGCAAUCUAUCAGACAUAGCAGAUAUGUUGAACCUAUAAAUCUUUCAGAUAGGGAAGUAAAGACAACUUUGCCAUCUAUUGAAUCACCUCCUACUCUUGAAUUAAAAUUGUUACCUUCACAUUUGAAAUAUGCUUAUCUUGGUCAGAACAACACACUCCCUGUAAUCAUUUCAUCUACUUUGGAUGCAGGAAAGGAGCCUGGUAGAUGUGCUUGGGAAAUAUAGAAAAGCAGUUAGAUUGACCAUGGCAGACAUUAAAGGGAUCAGCCUAUCCAUAUGCAUGCAUAAAAUUCUGUUAGAAGACUACUACAACAAUUCAGUAGAGCAACAGAGAAGGUUAAAUCCCAUUAUGAAGGAAGUUGUGAAGAAGGAAAUCAUCAAAUGGUUGGAUGCUGGGAUCAUAUACCCGAUAUCAGACAGUUCAUGGGUGAGCCCAGUUCAAUGUGUUCCAAAUAAGGGAGGAAUAACAGUGAUAGUAAAUGAAAAGAAUGAACUUAUUCCUACAAGAACAGUAACUGGAUGGAGGGUAUGUAUGGAUUACAGGAAGCUCAACAAAGCCACAAGGAAUGAUCACUUUUCACUUACAUUUAUAGAUCAAAUGUUGGACAGACUUGCUGGAAAACAAUAUUAUUGUUUCCUAAAUGGGUAUUCAGGCUACAACCAAAUUGCUAUAGCCCUAGAAGAUCAGGAAAAAACUACAUUUACAUGUCCUUAUGGAACUUUUGCCUUCAGAAGAAUGCCCUUUAGUUUGUGCAAUGCUCCAGCAACUUUCCAGAGAUGUAUGAUGUCUAUUUUUUCAGAUAUGGUGGAGAAAACAUUGGAAGUCUUCAUGGAUGAUUUCUCAGUCUUUGGAGAAACGUAUAUUGAUUGUUUACACAACUUGGAAGAAGUUCUUAAAAGAUGUUAGUGACUAACUUAGUACUCAAUUGGGAAAAAUGUCACUUCAUGGUGCAAAAAGGCAUAGUGUUGGGUCAUAAGGUGUCCAAGAGUGGAAUAGAGGUAGAUAAAGCAAAGAUAGAAGUGAUAGAUAAACUGCCACUUCCCACUUCAGUCAAAGGGAUUAGAAGUUUUUUGGGACAUGCUGGAUUUUACAGAAGAUUCAUAAAAGACUUUUCCAAAGUAGCCAAACCAUUAUGCUCAUUGCUAGAACAUGACAAGCCUUUUCAUUUUGAUAAAGAAUGUCUUUAAGCGUUUAGAGAGUUGAAGAAAGCCUUGAUCACUGCACCAGUGUUUAUAGCACCAGAUUGGACUCUACUGUUUGAGCUGAUGUGUGAUGUCAGUGACUAUUCUGUUGGGGCAGUGCUGGGGCAGAGGAAGAAUAAAGUUUUCCACUCCAUAUACUAUGCCAGUAAAACUCUUACUCAAGCUCAGAUCAAUUACACUACUACAGAGAAAGAGUUGCUAGUAGUAGUAUUUGCUUUCGAUAAGUUUAGAGCUUACUUGGUGGGUACUAAAGUGACAAUCUACACAGAUCAUGCAGCCAUCAAGCACCUAAUCUCAAAUAAUGAUGCUAAAAUAAGAUUAAUAAGAUGGAUCUUAUUGCUUCAGGAGUUUGAUUUGGAAAUUAAAGAUAGAAAGGGGAUUACAAAUCAAGUGGCGGAUUAUUUGUCCAGGCUAGAAGCAGAUGCAAGCACUUUGACAAAAAAAGACAUCACUGAAACAUUUCCUGAUGAACAACUACUAGUAAUACAACAGACACAGAUGCUGUAGCAACUAGGAUCUCCAUGGUAUGCGGAUUUUGCUAACUACUUAGUAAGUAGAUUGCUACCACCUGAGUUGAAUUUUCAGCAAAAAAAGAAAUUUCUUCAUGAUGUUAGAAGCUACCAGUGGAUGACCCACACUUGUAUAAGUUAUGCUCAGAUCAGGUAAUACGAAUAUGUGUUUCAGAAGAAGAAAUUUCUCAUAUACUGCAAUCUUGCCAUGCUGCAGCAUAUGGAGGACAUUUUAGUGGUCACAGAACAACUGCCAAAGUUCUACAAUCAGGUUAUUACUGGCCUUCUAUUUUUAAGGAUGCUUAUGAGUUUACUAAAUAUUGUGAUAGGUGUCAAAGAACAGGACAUAUAACUCAAAGACAUGAAAUGCCAUUGACGAACAUUCUGGAAGUGGAGAUUUUUUAUGUAUGGGGAAUAAACUUCAUAAGUCCUUUCCCACCAUCUUUUGGAAACUUAUAUAUCCUGGUUUCUGUGGAUUAUGUAUCUAAGUGGAUAGAAGCUGCAGCAGUACCUACUAACGAUACUAGAGCAGUAGUGAAAUUUCUUUAGAGAAGUAUUUUUUUCUAGGUUUGGCACUCCACGAGCAAUUAUUAGUGGUGAGAGAACUCAUUUCUGCAACAAAAGUAUUUGCUGCAGCUAUGGUAAAAUAUGGAGUCAAGCAUAAAAUAACAACAACAUAUCACCCACAAUCCAAUGACCAGGCAGAAGUGUCUAACAGGGAGAUUAAGAAGAUCUUAGAAAAAGUGGUUAACCCAUCAAGUAAUGAUUGGUCCUUGCGAUUACAUGACUCCCUAUGGGCUUCCAGAACAACAUACAAGACACCAUUUGGCAUAUCUCCCUACCGAAUUGUGUAUGGGAAAGCUUGUCAUUUGCCACUUGAGCUAGAGCACAAAGCAUAUUGGGCAUUGAAGCAAGUAAAUUGGGAUAUACAUGCUGUAGUAAAGCAAAUGAAACUUCAACUAUGUGAGUUUGAUGAAUUAUGGUUAUUCUCAUAUGAAAAUGGAAGAAUCUAUAAAGAGGGGACAAAACACUGGCUUGACAAACAUAUCCAACAUAGGAAAUUAAUCCCUGGUCAACUAGUACUGCUCCAUAAUACGAGGUUAAGACUAUUUCCAGGAAAACUGAAAUCUAGAUGGUCUGGACCCUUCAAGCUGCUCAGAAUUUACCCUCAUGGGGCUGUCGAUCUCUUAGAUGAAAAGACAGGCCAUGAAUUCAAAGUUAAUGGGUACAGAGUUAAGCAUUACAUGCAUUCAGCUAUAGAUUAUUCAAAGAAGGUCUUACUCCUUAGAGAGUUAAUGGCAAAGAUUUGCGUACUGUAAAAUAAAAAUUUUAAGAACUAUUAAAAAAAGAUUAAAAAAUUAUUUUUUUAUUUAAUUUUUUUUGAAUUUGAUUGCUAUUUAUAAAAUUGAUUGAUGAAUCAAUGUAUUCCUUUUUUGGGUCCUGCUAUUGUGCAACUGGUGUUUGGUAUCCCUAUUUUGUCAUUUAGUAAUUUAACCGUUAAAUCUAACCAAAGAGUUGCAUAACGGUACAGAUGGGUUUGCAUGGUUAUUAACAUUGUCAUUCCUGAUGUUUUCUAACAAAUUAGAAAAGGUAAAAGUUUCUAAAUGUUGACAUAUAUGUCCAAAUUGUUUUAAAUUUUUUUACAAUUAAAUCUAUUGACCUAGUUUGACUAUUAGCAUGAGUAUAGUGUAUGGACAAAAAUGUAAUCUCAAGUAAAAAUUUUAAAAUGCACGAAAAAUUAACAUGCAUUAAUAAAUAUUUUUUAACAUAAUAUUUAUUUAAUAUACAAUAAUUAUUUGAAUAUGUCAAUUAAAAAAGAAUACAUGAUAAAAAUAUAUUGAUUUAUUAACAAUAAUAAUAUAUAACCAUAACGAACAUGCAUAUGCCUAAAUUAAAUGUUUCCAAUAAUAUUAUUAAUCAUCAAAUUGCAUAAUUCCUAAGGUAUAUUUAAUUAAAUAUUUUUAUUUUAAUAUUAUUAUCUUCUUGUGUACGAUAACUGAAUUUCAUUUUUGUUCAUUCUUUAUUCCUAAUUAGCAAUUUAGCACCCACAAACUCUAUCCUCUAUUUUUGUUUCCUUCUUUUCAUAAACUCUAACCUAAUAAAAUAGUUUUAAUUAAAACUAUCAUAUUUUAUAAGUAGAUUUUUUUAUCGACAAAAUCCUACUAUUGAUUCUUUGGUCUAUGCAGUAGUGUGAUUUAAAACAGUUUUUAAUUUUUCAUAAAUGCUAUUGAAUAAAGAUUUAAAUUUUUAUUUUGUAUAAACUUACCAUUCAUGUUCUCUAAAGUUCUUGAAAUAAACCUUUUCUUGGGAUUUUUUAUUUGAAUUUAUACAAAUGACUAUUUUUAUGUUAAAUAAAAGAUAACAUAGGUAGAGAAUAAAUGGUUAUAAAUUAUAGAUGAUUAUUUUUUUUCCUGAAUAGUAAUUUAAUGAAUGGUUAUUUUUAUAAUAUUUUUAUGAUUUAAUUAUAGUAUGAGGUCAUUUGAACCUACCAAAUUACUUUCUACACCCAACUAGUCAAAAAACCUGUAGCCUAAAUUAAAAUUAGACAAUGUACACCUUAUAAUAACAAAAAUAACCCCAAUUUAAUUUAUUUUUUGAAUAAUAAAUUAUUCACCUCUGUUUUUUUAAUCAAAAUUGAUCUUUUAUGGACUAGAUAAGCUUACAAAGUAUGGACAAUAAAAAUGAACAAAAAAGUACUUUAAGCUCCUAAAAAUUCAACUCUUAAUUUGAUAGUGAUAAACAUUUAUUUAUCUCUUUAUUAUUCAUUUUUUUACUUGUAAUGGAAAAAGAAUUCUCUGCAAUUUUGUUAUCAAUUGCAAACUUACAACUCUCAAAUGGGGAUUAUAACUCUCAAAUGGGGAUUGGUGCUAAAUAUUAAGUAAGGAUGCUCAAAUCUUGUUUUUGUGUUUUUUUUUUUGGUGCUAUUUGCCUUUGGUUUUAUGGUUAAUUGAUCAUUAUGCAAUUCUUCAUAUAUAUAUAUAUAUAAAUGUUUCAGUCCAAAACUUUAAAGUGUGGGAAAGUGCGGUAAAGCUUUAAAACUGUAUGGUUUUAAAGGCUUAAAACUGUAAGCCUUUAAAGCCGUGCGGUUUUAAAGUUUUCCCGGACUUUCCCGCACUUUAAAAUUUCUGACCAGAAAACUACUAUAUAUAUAUAUAUAUAUAUACUUCUAGUGUUUAUGCAAUUUUUAAAUAUUCAUCUGCUAAAGGAUUCCAUAAAAGCCCAAUUCAUGCCUCGUGAAAUAAAUGCUAAAACUUGCUUAAAUUAAAGGUCUCCAACAACAAAUGCGGAUGGUAAUUCAAUUUGAUUCCUUUGUUCCAUUAAUUUUUACACUAUUUUUCUUUUUUCUUGUUGAAUGAAUAUUAUUUUUUUACAAUGAAAUUACAUUUAGCUUAAAAUAAAAUUUAAAUUUAAAUUAGGAUAAGAUCAAAGAAAAGUAUAAUUAAUUAAGUAUAUAUCUUGUCCUUAAUAGUAAAUUAUUUCAUAGGCAUUUUUAUAAUUGAAAUUUUGAAUUAAAAAAUAGGUGCAAAAAGUAUUUUUAAGUCAAAUAGCCUAAUUUUAAUUCAAAGGAGCUACUACAUGUAUUUUUAUUAUUUUAAUAUCCAAAAUGCUUAAUUUAUGUUUUGUAAGGGUAAAAUUUUGUUAAUGGUCAACUCAACAGUAUAAGUAUUAAAAAUUGAAAUGAAUAGGACUUGAGUGUCAAAUUUUAGAAAUACUAUUUAGUUUCUUUAUUUUUUUUAACAAAACAUAGACUAUAGUGCAAUUAAACGAAAAAAAAAGACAAAGCAAGGGGUUACUUACCCUAUUGAUAACGUAAUUUUGCCUAGUUUGAUAAUAAAAAAGAAAGUGAAAAAGAACUAUGCAAUCCAUGAAUUUGAUAAGAGGAAAGAAAGUAAAAAGAGUUGUACAAUAUAUUUUAAUACUAAGCUCUCAAACUUUGUUUGGGUCACAUGAGCUCUAUUCAAAAUGUGCUUUUUCAGUUUAUUAUAAAUAAGUCUCAUUUCUUAGAUCUCACGGUUCAAAAAUAAUGUUAAAUGGAGAAAAUCAGACUGAUUAUGGGGGAAAGGUGAAAAAGAAUGAGAAAAUAAAAUUAUCGCUAUACUUGUAACUAAAUUAUAAAUAAAAAAUAAUGUAAGGGAUUCAAUCAAAAAAAGACAAAAGAGGGGUACGGUGUCACGGGGGUAUCGUAGCUUUGUCCAGUUAGGAGAAAAAAGUAUACAUCAAUAAUUGGUUGACUAAUAAUAUUGGAUUUUAUAUUGUUUAUCUAAUUAAAGGGGUUAACGCUAUAAUUGUUCUGUCAAAUCAGAUCUCGGAUUAUAUGCUUCUUUUAGCUUCAACAAUUAUCUACCAAGACUAUGACGUUCAUUACAAAAUGUGGACAUUAGUUCUAUAAAAUUCAAUGCACGGGGAUUGACGAAGAAAUUUAAUAAGAGUUAUGUAUGUUAAAUUAAUACUAACGUAAUGAAUGACUCGUUCCAUUAAAAAAAAAAAAUGAGUGACAUGUUGUAACAAACAACCUGUAUACAUAGAAUACAUAAUCGACGACACAGGUCAUAUAUCUCGAUCGAAUACUUAAUUUGUAUGUGAAACUGAGAUAGCAAUAAUUAAAAAACUCAUAUUGUUUUGUAAUAAAAUGCUAGUAUAGCUUAAUGAGUCUAAUAAAUACUUUUGUGCCAAUCAUGAAGAAUUAUACAUAAUUUACUAUUAUCAUGAUGUGGUGGUUUCAAAUGGUCACCUUUUGGCAAUUCGUUUUGGUAUUAAGUUAAAAGAUAAUGUUGAUGCUGUUGUCCGAAAGGUAAUGCAUUUCGUGUUUUCACAGAAAUUCUUUUGCUAAUUUCUUUGAAUUCAAAAUUUCCUUAAAAAAUUAACAAUUAUUGUAUUCCAUUAUGAAUCUACGAUGGCUGAACGGGUCGAAGGAUGUUGAUUGGGAGUAGCAAGGCUAAGCUACUCAGAACCAAACAAAGUGGUAUUGCGAGGUUUGGCGCUCAUUUUUUGCAUAUUUACGUAGCGAUGUCAUUGUUUCUUAAAUUUUUGGCCAUGUUUGGAUUGAAAUCGGACAAAAGUUAUAACAUCAAAGUGUUUUGGUAAACAUUAAUUAUUAUAGUCUAGAAGCUAAAUUGAUUUAAUUUUAUACUUAUAUGAUAAAAAUUAGUUAUAUCUUUACUAAUUUUUAAAAUUAUUAUUGAAAAAUUGUAUUUAUUAUAUAUAGUUACAUCUUUCUUUUUUCUUUUUUUUUUCUACAACAACUAUAAUUUAAGAGCUACCAAAUAGGGCCUCAUUUAAAAUGAUGAUAGAAAAACUAUUCGAAGUUUGUUUGCAAAUUUUAGUUCUCAUUUUUGUCACAUUUGUGGUGGCACUUUGACUACAGAAUCGAUACGUUAAAAAGCCAUUUUCUCGAAAAUUUUAUAGGAACUUAUCUUGUUAGAUUUUAAUUUGUAGAUGGUCCAAAUGUUCAGGUACACCAAUUAGUUUAAGUAGCUGAUUUUGGACAUAAUCAUGAAUAAGGGGCAACUAUCAGCCUAUCACAGGCUCCUCCAUUCAGACCAUCUGUUUGCCCUGUUAUUGUUAGAUCCUCACUCUUCUUUCAGAUGUUAAGCUUAGGCAGCAUUGAAUUUCUGUUCUACAUAGAAGAGAAAUUUAUUGUGCAUAUUAUAUAUUUAGAUGAGGUUCAAGAACUUCUUGCUCUUGCUGAUGGGGCUCAAGAAUCUGAAUUUCAAGUAACCAUUACUUGUAGUUUAUUGCUUUGCAAAUUGGAGCUGUAUUCAGGAUAAUGUUGCACUUGCUAAAGAUUCUAUUAUGUUUUUCAUCAUUUCGUUUACAUGAAAUGGAAAAUGGGGUCUUUCCUUUCACAUAAGUGAUUUUGAGGAUAUUUUUCGAUUCAAAUAGAGAACUUUUUUUUUUUUUGCUUUUGUCUACUGUUCCUAACCAUAUACAAUUGGAUGUCCUCAGUCAUUCUAACUACCUAUUAUCUUAUACAUCUUUUUGUUGUUGGCUAUUUGUUCCAUUUUCUGCAAGAUAUUUUUAAUAUUUAUUUAAGAAUCUGUCACUUGUCCUUAGUUAUGUGAGACUCAAACAAUAAUGGGGGCAUGUCUUUAUUUUAUGGAAGACAUUUUAUUACCGUCUGGGCAAAGAAAAUGGGAUCAGUUGCAAAGAAAAAUUGCAACUGUAAUUGACGCGGGGUUUUUAAUUAAAGAUGCCCUAAAAAUGGGGUAUUUAGUUAAAUAUAUCCCAUGGUUGAAAAUUAUCUACGUAUACUUUUUUAUGUGGUACAUUAUCUAAAAUACUCCUAAAGAAAAAUAUAAAACACACAACUCACCUUCAACACUCUUUACUUCUUACAAAAACUCACUCCACACUCUCAAAAUCACUCAUACACAACUAAUGCACUGAGAUUUGGGUUUGAGCUGGGUGCAUUAUUCAUCUCAUGAAUAAGGUAUUUGAAGCUUUAUUUUUAUUUUGUGUUAUUUAUUCAUUUUGUUGGCAUUAUAUUAUAUUUAGGGUUUUGUUUGGUUUGUAAUAAACAAUAAAGCAACUCACAUUUUCAUUACAUUUGCAUCAUAUGACUGUUAUUUGAUGGGUUUUAUAACUACAUUCGUUAAAACCUGAAUUUGUUGCUAAAAUUAUGUUCUGCACCCGACAUACACGAUUGUAGUCGUGUACAUAUGAAUUUACACAACUGUAGUCGUGAAAAUGUGUAAAAUAUUCCAAUUAUUAUGACACCCUAGCAUUUUAUUGGUGCAAAAUAUAUAUAUUUUUUCACUAGAUAUGUCCUCUGACUAUUACUAAACUAUAGUCGUGUGUUUUAAUAAGUUACACAACUACUAUCGUGUAUGUAUGAAUUUACAUACUACAGUUAUGCAUAUAUGUAAAAUGUUUCAACCAUUAUGAGACCCUAACAUUCUAUUAGUGCAAGAAAAAUAUUUUUUUAAGAAGAAAUAUGUCCUCUGACUAUUUACUGGGCUGUAGUCAUCUAUUUUUGCAACUUACACGACUUUUGUCGUGUAUGUAUGAAUUUACACGAUAACAGUCGUGUAAAUAUGAAAAAUAUAGUAGCUGUUAUGACACCUAGGAUUCUGUUAGUGUAAAGAAUACAUUUUUUUCUAAAUAUAUCCUCUGACUAUUUACUAGACUAUAAUUGUGUAUUUUAGCAAGUUACGACUACUGUCGUGUAAACAAGCAAUUACAUGAUGGCAGUUGUGUAAAUGGACAAUGAUUCCACAUUUCGUUUUAUACCUUAUUUGAUUUUUUUUUGUAUUUGUUGUAUAAUUAUGUGUUAUAUUAUGACAGGAAAGAAUAUCUCAAGUUAUUUCCGUUGAUAUUUCUAAAUUUGAUAUUGAAAUGAAGUUCAAGCUUAAGACAUUUGAUCCAAUCCCUCCCGUUUCAAUUAUGACAGAUGAUGAUGUAGAUUAUUUUCACGACGAAGCAAAAAAACUAAAUUUGCUUGGGUAUUUUAGCUAUGAUAAUUGAGUAGCAACUUGUAUUCCCUUAAUAACAUGACUAUUAAUAACUAUGAUGAUUAUGUAACAACCUCUAUUCUAUUAAAACUUAUUUAUGAUUCGAACAUGUAUUGUACCUAUGUUGUUUGAGGUACAACAACUUUUGUCGUUUGUUGAAUUAAAGUUUGAUAUGUUAAAGCUUAUGUUGAUUGUUUUAUCAUUAUAAUAGCUAUUUUAGGGGGUUUUUGUUCUAUGUCCAUGUACUCGACAAUAGUCAUGUAUUUUUAAAGUUACCCGACUAUUGUCUUGUAUAUCUAAUUGUACUUUACUACAACUUAUUAAAAGAUGAAUAAUUGGUAUUUCAGUGAUGGAUGAUGUACGUAUGUUGUUUUAAAGAUACUUGACUACAGUCGUGCAUCUAUGAAAUCCCAACUGUAGUCGUGUAUCUAUGAAAAUACUCGACUAUAGUCGUGUAGUUAUGAAAAUACCGACUGUAAUCGUGUAUUUAGGCUAAGCAUUCCUUGAAUUAUAUGAUCAUCCUGUUAUAUCAUAUAAAUUGUACAAAACUAUCUUGUUGUCUUUGAAUAUUGCACUUAAAAAAAAAAUAAUUUAACACUACUAGUUGGAAAUACCCAACUAUAAUCUUGUGUCUAUGAAAAUAUCCAACUAUAGUCGUGUACCUAUGAAAAUACCUGACUGUAUUCAUAUAUUUUAGCUGCUCGUUCCUUCAAUAUAUAUGAACACGCUGUUAUAUAACAGACAUUGUACAAAACUAUUUUCUUUCUCAAUAAUAUACUUAACAAAAAAAAAUGAAUACUGAUGUAAAAUCAUCUUUAAUGAUAUCAAAUGUCAACAACAUCCCCAUUGCAACUAUUACAUCUUAUGAUGACUAAUCCAAAAAAUGGCAAAAUCACAACAAUGAAGUUUUUAGGUAUGACACUAUGUAGUUGGUUUCAACGACCUGUGUCCAAAUAAUUUGACAGCCAAUGCUUUUCGAAAUUGUGUAACACCAUCCUGCUGACAAUAUGUGUUGAUGUCAAGGCCAUGGGAUAGGACCUCCAAGUACUACAACAAAAAUGCUUCACAAUCACCACUAAUAAAAUUCAUAUACAUCAAUAAUAAAAUCACCAUUCUUAUUGAAAAAAAAAACAAUAUAUAUGAUGUACUCAAUUGCAUACCCUGAUUUUAUUGUGGGAUAUUACGUACUCACAAGGAUGAUCUUUAUUUAUGUCUUCCACUGCAUCUAGUGAUAAUCGAUUAGAAAUCUUUGCUUUGAAGUAUUCAGAUUCCUGAAUUUUUAGUUCCAUCUGCAUAAACAUAAAUAUUUUAAUUAUAAUAUAAAAUGACUGAAAAGUUGCAUAAUAAUAUAUUCUAGACCAAUAAAAAAAAAUUCACGACACACCAGUCGAGUAAAGCAUUCAUUACACGACUAUAGUCGAGUAAAGCAUUCAUUACACGACUAUAGUCGAGUAAAAUAUUCAUUACACGACUAUAGUCGAGUAAAAUAUUCAUUACACGACUACAGCCGAGUAAAGUAUUCAUUACAUAAUUACAGCCGAGUAAAGCAUUCAUUACACGACUACAACAAGCAUCAAAUAUGUUUUGACUUCUAUAUCUCCUUGGAUUUAAAUCCUUUCAUGAUAAAACAUAAUGCUUACAACAUAAAACUAAAUAAAAGCUAAAUAUGUUUUGACUUCUAUAUCUCAUUGGAUUCUAAUCUCUGUACAGAAUUUUAAGUGAAUGACAGUAUGAAAAAGAAUUUACUUUAAUAUGGCUUGUCAACGAAUAGGGAGAAUGAAAAUUUUGUUUAUUAUAAAAAUAUAUUGACGAACCAUUAAAAAGCCAAAUGGACAUUUAGGCCUCGUUUGGGAUUGAGGUUGAAACUCAAUAAGCUGCUUAUUUUAUAAGUUUUGAUAAAAAUAGUGUUUGGUAAAUUUUGUAAAAGUAGCUUAUUUCAUAAUUUUCUCCAUUUUGUCUGCAACUUUUAAAAGCAGGUAGAGGGUUGCUUUUUAUAAGCAGCUUAUUCAAUAAACUACUACGCCUUUUUAAAAUACCUAUUAUAACCUUAGUAUUUUGAUAAAAAGACAAUUAUAUCAUACUUAUUCAUAAACCUUAAUAUAUAAAUCAUUAGAUAUUAUAUUACUGCCACAAUUUUAUUGCACAAAAUUUAUUGUGAAUGUAAUACAUAUUACUUUUUAUUUUAUUUAGAUUAUAUAAAAGUAUAAAUUUUUAUCAUAUUUUAUGUAAUAGAUUAUGAAGUUCUUCAUAUUUUUUUUAAUUGAGUUUUUUUUAAUUAAUUUUACACAUUUAAGAAAAAAGUAUGUCUGAACAAUUUAUUAAACAUAAAGUAAAAAAACAAUUAAAACGUAUGUCCAUUUUGGUCAUUAUAUAAUAUAACAACACUUUCGUAAUAAGAUUUACCAAACGCGUGUACUCUAUUUUUCAAACUCACAGCAACCGCAACAACACAAUUUACCAAACACCAAGCUACUUUUUUAAUCAGUAGCUUAUUUCAUAUGCACAGCACAAGCAACUUAUUUUAUCAGCCUCCGCAAUCCCAAACUGGCCCUUAAUCAUUAACAUAUUAUUUGAAAUCCAUUCAAUAUGGGUAAGAAAUAACUAGAAUUGUAAAUUGAAAGUUCAUAGACUAGAAUUGUAAAUUGAAGGUUCAUAGCAUAUAAUAGAGAAAACCCAGAUUGCGACAUAAUGAAUGCAUACACAGUUGAAAAAAAUUAAUGUAUAAUUCCCAUGGAUGAAAGUCCAACUACAAACAACAAGUAAAACCAAACACCGAUCUAAUAGAUAAAUCAAUGUAGCCAUAACUGAGUAGUCACAAGGAUAAUAUUUCUUUUAUCCAAUUCCCUCUGAAUAUUUAAUUAGGAACUCCCAUAACCAUUAUAAGGAGAGUGAGCUCCCUUGAAAUCACUCUCUUCAAUUUCAACUCCACAAGUUUAAGAAGCUUCAUUACAUGAAUCAUGAAUUCAUUACAUGAAUCAUGAAGAAACAUUAUCAGCAAGCAUGUAAGUGAAACAAAUAACUCGGCAAAUUACAAUAAUGACCAAAAUCACGUGGGCAAUUUAUUUUUUAAAACCCUAAUGCAUAUAACCCCAACAAUUAUGAAUCCUAAACUCUCUUUAUGAAGUAAAAAUUAAGUGUAAAUGUGGUAAAUAUCCUUUAAUUCGGUGAAUUUCCAGCCUUAGUUUCGUGAAUUUCCAAUGAAAGCAGCGGAUUUGUGGUGUUAGAACCAGAAGCAGAAGAAGCACGAAGUUGCAGCAGAAGAAGCACGGACUUACAGCAGCAUAAGCAUCUUGGGCAUUGUAAUAUCUGUGAUUUUGAAAUAUUAGAUUUUGAAUUAGGGUAAUUCUGUAAUUACAUAUUGAAAAAAGCAUAUAUGAGAAAUUUUAAAUUAUGAGGAUGUAUUUAAGUAAACACCCCACUUUUGGGGUAUGGCGUGGAUAAGUCCCUGAAUUGACGCAGCUUCAGCAACGCCCUUCUGGAGUAAAGGUCCGUUCUUUCUUAUUUCUCAUUUCAUCAGUUUUAUAAUUUAAUUUUCUGCCCUGAUUGUCUUCAGAUUUUUGUGUUUCACAGGAGCAUUAGCUUUUAACAUCUUCCAAUUAGUGAUGGGUGCUUGCAAUUCGCUUUCUUAUUAGUACUCUGAGUUUGUUUAGCGUUCUCUUUCUAUUGGUUUGUUAGUGUUCUCUAUGAUGGGAAAUUGGGGAAUUAUGUUAGUUUGGUGAAUGCUUUAUAUUAAGAAUUCAGCCCAUCGUUGCCAAAAUUUAUGUACUUUAAAGCUUGAACUUACCCUCCGUUUGUUUUCAAACUUGUUCAUUUAUCUGCUCUGUACCAAACGCAUGAUUUCUCUUUGUGCUGUGUAUUUGGUGCUGGUAAUUUUUGUUGACAUUUAACACUGCCACUAUGUGCUUGGUCAGAGGCUUGCUUCCUACAAAAUAUUUUGUAAAGGGCGACCUACAUGGUGGGAUCAGUAAUCAGACAAGUCUAUUUUCAACUGCAUGCACCUACGAUUAAAAUGCUAAUUCAUCUGAAAAGGAGGUUUCUUUGUACAGUCUGGUGGAUACACCCACCAGUUUCAUGCUUUCAUGAGGCUGUGAUGAAGGACAUAGUUUUUUAGAUGCUAAUCAUACUCCAAAUAAUCUAGCUUCAUGGAAGGGAAGGGUAGAUGAUGAUUUGUUUCAAACUCUUAACAACCCUCUGACUCAACUUGAUCAGCAUAUGUUGAGUGGGCAAUUGCUUGGUUUUGUUAACAACUGCCAAACAUCUGACUAUGGAAAUGUGUCACUUCAAAAUCUCGUUUCCGCUAGAUUUUGAUCAUGAAGCAUGGAACCACCUUCAGUGGAUUACUUGUUUGAUUUUUUGGGUUUGGAUUUAAGAAUAAGCUCCUCAACACAAACUGGAAUAAUUUGCUUGCUGAUGGAUAACAUAUGGGUGAAAGUAGUUCAAUGUCUAUGAAUGCUCCUGAUGUGAGUGCAGGUUUCCAUGGACUUCCUUCUCUGGAUAUACCAUGCAUUUUUAAUUAGAAGCUAUGAUCUUUAGGGCUAAUACUGUCUCGAAGCAGAAUUCAGAUGAUAAUGUCUCUUGCAGGACAAUGUUGACACAUAUCAGUUGCUCUUUUAUUCCGACUAUUUCUCCCUCGACUAGCAAGAAACUUAGUGCAUGUUAAGCUAUUUGGCUUUACUAAGUCCUUGGCAAAGGCAGGGGCUACGGUAUCCAAUUCUUUUCUGUCAGGCUAUAGCAAGAAUGAUGGAGAAACUUCACACGCUAUGGAGUCAGAGUCUAUACAAAUGUUAUCAAAAUGCAGCAAGGUCUAUGGUUUUUUCUUUUAAAUUUUUAUAAUAUUCAAACUUUCAUCUAGCAGGCAUGGACUAGGUAAAUCCCCUACAAAUCUUAUUCAUCAAAGCUGUUAUUUAGGAAUAUACUAACUGCAGUACGAACAGGAUUGAAUUUCGCACAACAAAGCAAGAGAACUUAAAAUGAUUGGGUUCAGUCAAUUUCGUCUUUUGGAGAACAGACGGAUGUAACAUUGGUAAAUGCCUUGGAUAACAACAAUCUGGUAGUUCAUCAGUAAUUCUUUUCCCCAAGCCACCUUUGUAGCAGCAACUGGUAGGCCCAGUUGUCCACCUGCUAUUAUUAUACUUUUUAGGGCUGGAUACGUUAAGAGCAAUCUCGGGCUGCAUUGAUUGCCAUAACUGACAUGGUUCUAGUCAACACCCAGGUGGUUCUAACUAACAAGUUCAUCUCCCCCAACCCAAAUUAUGACCAACCUCACUUUUUUUUUUGGAGAGAAAAUUCCAUUUAGGUAGUUGUGUGAGCUCCUUAAGAACUUUCAAAUAUAUGUUUCUUGCAAAGAUGUACAUCUGAAUGGUGUCUAAUGCUUUCUUAAAUUAUUUAGCUGUGGAAGAUGAUUAUCAAAGACGUUAUUGCAAGUGCUAAGUUAACUGGCAGAGGGGGGCAUAAUAGUGGGUUUUGUGGUUCAAUAAUGUAUAGAGCGUCUAGGAUACGAAAUUAAGACAUUUAAGGUGUUUUGUUUUCUUAAUUGGUAUUUUCUUGCAUUUUAGUUCUAUUGCAUUACUACAGCAAUCAUGUUUUUCUUUAUCUCGUAUUUCAUUUUUUUUUUUUUUUUUGGUUAUGCUUCAUAAGAAUUUUUGUUAAGCUUACCAACGUGUACCAUCUAAUGGUUAAGAUAAGAACAUUAUCAGGCUAUUUAGGACGUACAAUAAAAAUUUUGAAGACAUUGUAACAACUUGAAAUUCUUUUGAAGAGAAGCUUUGCUUCUUGUAAUGGAGCACCUCGUCAUCCAAUUGACAGUGUGUUGAUGGGCUUUAAUUGAACUGAGAAGAGAAAUUGAGGGUGCAAGUUUGAAAACAGGCAACGGUUUUGGAGAGACAUAUCACAAACAUUAUUGGGUUAUUAAACCUCAAGCCGUGUGAGGUGAGGAAAGAUUUUAUUCAUAAAAUGAAAAAGAUACAUCUAGUCAACAGGACUUAAAAGCAUUACCCCUUGUGAUAUCGUAAAAACUAGAAAACGAUUUCAAAGGACCAGACCAAUUACGUGGAAAAAUAAGAUAUUCACAAGCCUGACUAAAUCUUCAAUUGACUAGAUCUUCAACAAUUGAGACACUUUCUGCAUCGUUGGUCUAGAUUUAGGACUCUCAUCUAAGCAUGAAAUGGCGACUUCCACGAUUGUUAUCAAUUUUUCUUGAACAUUGCGUGAUGGAGUUGGAAGCCGAGGGUCCAACAUUUCAUCUAGUGCUCUGUUCAAGUUCAAAGAAGAAGAGGAAAUUGAGGAAAUAAAAUCUCCUGGAUGCUUCCCCUUUAUCACUUCCAAUGCCAGCACUCCAAAGCUGUACACGUCGCACUUUUCAGUAACUUUCAUUGUGUAUGCGAGCUCUAAAAGAAAAAAACAAAAAGAAUAAUUGUUAUAUUUUUAUUAUUUUUACAUGAAAUCUAGUAAGCUAAUAUUAAUUAGUAUACUGAACAAGCUUCAAUAAUAAUUUACAUACCUGGUGCAACAUAUCCAUGUGUGCCUGCAAGUUCUGUCCAAUUGGAUGAGUCUGGCUUGAGAAACUUGGCAAUUCCAAAAUCCGAAACAUGGGCUUCAUUCUCAAAAUCUAACAGCACAUUUUUGCUUGAUAGAUCUCGAUGAACAAUUGGUGGGAAACAAUCAUUAUGCAUGUAAGACAAUGCAUCAGCUAUACCUUUUAUCACAUUCAUUCUCUGUGUCCAUUCCAAAUCCUUUGCUGCUGCGUCAUUGCUUAGGAUCACGGCCAAGCUACCCAUUUCAAGAUAUUCAUAAACUAUAAAUGAGUGCCGAGCAUGUGAACAAAAGCCAUAAAACUUCACAAUAUUACGAUGUCGUAUCUCAGUCAAAGCCUUGACUUCAUUCAAGAAUUCUUGCUGAAAUGUCAUCUCACCUGGGAGUGGCGAAUGAAAUUUCUUGACUGCAACGAUUUCUCCAGAAGCUAGCUUAGCUUUGUAAACACUUCCUUGUCCACCCUUUCCAAUGCAGUGCUCAUCAUCAAAGUCAUUUGUUGCUCUAAUAAUUUCUUCAUACACGAUUUUUCCUUCAAAAGUUAACACUGAAAGAAAACUCGGAGUACUUCUAGGGCUACUCUGUUGUGAUUGUGAGUUAUUCUUCCUUCGUUGAAACUUAAAGAACAGUCCACUUAAAGAAAUUAAAAGAGCAACAAUCCCUAAGAGAGGGAACAACACAACAAUCCAGAUCUUUCUCGAAGCUUGUUUGUUUGACUUUAAUGCUUUACAAGAUGGAAGUCCUUUGAAGUCUCCGCAUAAUCCUUUGUUCCCUUCUAAUGCUUCUAUUGGAGCAUCUCUGAAUGCUGUGCUAUUAGGAAUUGGACCUCGUAACUCAUUGUAGGAUAUGUCAAUGCGUUCCAGGCCAUGCAUUUUUUCAAAGCAUCUUGGAAUGAAACUAGAGAGGCUAUUGUGGGAGAGAUUCAGUUUCUCCAAGCUUUGCAUAAUGCAAAUUUGAGAUGGUAUUGCUCUUUCAAGAAAGUUAAGACUCAAAUCUAAUUCUGAAAGAUGAAUUAACUCCCCCAAUGUAAUUGGAAUUUCCCAACUGAACUGAUUAUUGCUCAAAUUUAAGUAAUGCAAUUUGACCAAGUUGCCUAGACUUUCUGGGAUUGUAUUGCUUAAUCUAUUUGAAGACAAGUCAAGGUGCUCUAGUUGAACGAGUAACCCGAGUUUUGGAGAUAGCUGUCCAGAGAGCUGAUUUUGUGCUAAAAUGAGCUUGAUCAAAAAACUAAGCUUGCCAAGUUCUGUUGGAAUCUCACCAACAAUAUGAUUUGAUGAAAGAUCAAGAACUUCUAAUUGAGAUGAGUAUCCAAUUUCAGGAGGUAUAUUGCCAGUAAUAUUAUUUAUAGAAAAAUCUAUAGUGCCUAACUUUGGGCAUCUUCCCCAGUGAGACGAGAUUUCACCAUAAAAGUAAUUGUGGCUGAGAUCUAUGAAAGUUAAGUUUGGAUAAAUACUGAAACAUUCAGAUAUAUUUCCAGUGAGAUGGUUUUCAUUGAGACGUACUCUUACAAGGCUUGUCAAAUUUUGCAAAUUGGGAAUUGGACCUUGAAAUUGGUUAUUACUUAAAAGUAGCUUAGUCAACUUCACAAGGUUUCGAUAUUCUUCGGGGAUGGCACCAGAAAGUGAAUUCUUAUAUAAACUCAAGUAAGCCAAGUUGGUCAAGUUACUCAAAGAAAUAGGGAUUGAGCCACUAAGUUCAUUGAACCCUGAAUCUAGAAUGGAAAGAGACUUCAAGUUUCCUAAUUCACUUGGAAUUGAGCCAGAAAGUGAAUUUUUAUAAAUAUAUAACGUAGCUAAGUUGCUCAAAUUGCCCAAAGAUUGAGGGAUUGAGCCACUGAGUUUAUUACCGCUCAACGAUAGAUCGGAAAGAGACUUCAGGUUUCCUAAUUCACUUGGAAUUGAGCCAGAAAGUGAAUUGUUAUAAAUAUACAAGGUAACCAAGUUGGUUAAGUUUCCCAAAGAAUGGGGAAUCGAGCCACUGAGUUUAUUAUUGUCUAAUCGUAGAGCGGAAAGAGACUUCAGGUUUCCUAAUUCACUUGGAAUUGAGCCAGAAAGUGAAUUGUUAAGAAUAUACAAGGUAACCAAGUUGGUUAAGUUACCUAAAGAAUGAGGGAUCGAGCCACUGAGUUUAUUGCUGUACAAUUCUAGAACGGAAAGAGACUUCAGGUUUCCUAAUUCACUUGGAAUUGAGCCAGAAAGUGAAUUGUUAUGAAUAUACAAGGUAACCAAGUUGGUUAAGUUACCCAAAGAAUGAGGGAUCAAGCCACUGAGUUUAUUGUUGUACAAUUCUAGAACGGAAAGAGACUUCAGGUUUCCUAAUUCACUUGGAAUUGAGCCAGAAAGUGAAUUGUUAUGAAUAUAUAACGUAGCUAAGUUGCUCAAAUUGUCCAAAGAUUGAGGGAUUGAGCCACUGAGUUCAUUACUGCUCAACGCUAGAUUAGAAAGAGACUUCAGGUUUCCUAUUUCACUUGGAA